rnacentral:lncRNA from 1 species
UGUGGGGCGACGUGCUGCCCGGCCACGGGGAUGUGGUGCACGCUGGUCACAUAGUGAGUCACCAAACACCGCCACACAGCGUCGCCAAAGUGCGAAUCACAGUCAACGCAAAUAUCCAGCUCAACGCCAAUUUCUACACCACCUCCUGACUUUGCGUUGAUUAGCGCUGGAACCGACGCUCGUUUCGCGAUGAUAAAUCUGGACGUGUGCGCCGAUUUUGGCGUACGCAAGGUUUUCUUGCGCCGCAAGCGUUGAUACAUGAGGCCCCUGGUAGCUUCGGUUUUUUACAAGCCUCGAGUAUCCUGUAUAUGUCCCUCUGUGUUAAGAAUAAGAAGAACUUUAUUAAUCCCCAAAGGGAAAUUCAAUAUUAAAAUUUUGAAAAAAAUUAAAUGUUAGUAAACUAUUGAUAGCAGGCUAUCCUACAAUUCCACAUAGCACAGUGAUUCUAAACAUUUUUGAGCCUGAACCCCCAUUGUAACAUGCACUGGUGUUUGUGAACCCCCCAUGAUGGUUUGCAUGGAUAACAGAUAGAGCUCUGUUUAUGGUGCUGAAGCACAUGCACUCAAAAAACAACUGAAUAAUGUGCUUUGAGUUCUUAUUUGACUCUCUUAAUUAGUUGUCAAUAAAACUCUGGCUCUGAUUUCACUUUAAUGCCAGCGGGGGAAUCAAAAGAUAGUGGAAACACAACAAAGUGAAGUGAUAGUAAACAUGUGAGGGGGAGAGACCACAGCAGCUUUAUCUCUGGAGAUGAGCUUCUGUUCAAGAAAUCUAACGUACAUACAGUAAAAAACAGAGUGUACAACAAAGUUAAAUUUAACUCAAUUUCGGUAAUAUUUGGUCCCACUCAACAUUAGAGUAAAAGUAAUUCUAUGGCCAGUGUCACAUUUUCAGUGUUAAUUCUACUCCAUUCAGUGUCAAAAUUAACAAUCAAUUCACUAGCAAUGACCACGCCACAACGAUAUAAGUUUGAAUAUUUAAUACAGUUUCAGGAGUGUGUAUAUCUUGUCUGAUGCGUGAAUGUUGUGAUGGAUAAUGACGUUGAUGAGAAGUGUUGCAUGUCUGGUUGGUCUGGGAGGUUCUGUAGAGGCCCCGCAGUGAGAGACUCAGGAUGGGGGUCUGUCUCAGGCAUAGCUCUGCCCAUGCUUAGUCCGACCCCCAAAGAGUUAUAAUGAAAGGGAGACUUAAAAACAGGCAACUGGACUGUGUCGAGUUGAGAAGACGUUUCGCCUCUUAUCCAGGAAGCUUCUUCAGUUCUAAAAUUGCUAGUGUGAGGAGCAGAUAUUUAGCUUACUGGAGAAGGGGACAGACAAAGACUGGGAGGAGUUGUAAAAGAAUGGGUCAUAGAAACCCAUCUCUGGGUGUGUGCCCACAUGACUCAUGCCACACCUGGGUCAUGUGGUUCCAGGUGUGAAUGUUUGUGGAGCUUCCUGGGGAGAGAGCUGAGAACUGCAUUGUAUGUGCCAGAGAGAUUGUGCCUGAGUCCACCCCCUCUGUUCAGAGAAGGUUUCUCCAGCCUGGUAAAGAUGGCUUCUUUAACUCCUCUUUCAAACCAUCUGUCUUCUCGAGCCAACACCUGUACAUUGCUGUCCUCGAAAGAGUGACCUGUGUCCUUUAUGUGAAGGUGGACAGCUGAGUCCUGACCUGAAGAAGUGGCUCUCCUGUGUUGAGCCAUGCGCUUGUGAAGCGGUUGUUUAGUUUCCCCAAUGUACAGGUCCAAGCAUUCCUCGCUGCACUGGACAGCAUACACCACAUCACUCUGUUUAUGUCGCUGUGUUUUGUCCUUGGGAUGAACUAGCCUCUGCCUUAGUGUGUUACCAGGCUUAACCUUUUCAUUGCAGGUCUGCCGGAUUUUACACUUACUUUUAACUAUAUUCUUGGAGUUGGUUUACUCUUCAUAUUGUUGAAAAUACUCUAUCUAGUUUAAAAUAAGUUUACACUGAAAUAUUGACACAUUUUUUACUGUGCAGGUAAACAACACUGUCAUGGUAAAAAAAAUGUUUUAGGUUGGCAUCAGUUGAUGUGAGGACAUCCGUGUAGUGUAACCCUGGCCUGUAAUAAGUCAAUCACAACAUUAAGACUGUUUGCAGACAUGACAACUCAGGGUCAGAGGUGGGAGAUACAUGCUUUGAUCAACACUUCUGACACCCAAUAGAGAUAAAUGUUGAAAAGAUGAUGAAAUAAAACAUCUUUCCAUUGGCCAUUUGGAUAACCAAAGCUACAGGCUGUUAGGGAACAUUAUGGACAAUGCAUAUAUUGAAAAAAGUCCAGAUCACCAUAAGUGGAGAUACAUGUUUUUCUUCGGACAGUGACAAUAUGAUUUUUUAAAUUUUUUUUUUUGUAUAGAUUCUGACAUGACACAUACAGCAGCAUCAGUCAUUGACAGCUGUGGCUGGUUGCAUUGAGUCUAAACACCUGACAAGCAGAAAUCUAGAAGACAAAUCUAUAAAACCACAGCCAAUUACACCAGAUUAAGACUUGUGGAAGGCCCUGCUGCAGCCAAGUAUUGUGGGAGGAGGGGAAAACUAAUCAAAUAGAUGAAUCAACAAAUUAAACUUCAACAUAUUUCCAUAUCUGACCUUGUGCUUUGAAGAUCCUCUACUUACAUGGUCAGUGAUAUUUCUUUUCUUAAUUUGAUUAUUGUCUCUGUUUUAAACCAGUUGGUACAGGGCAUGGCAUGUGUAGUGCAAAAUUUCAUUUGUAAUUGCUCUGAAGUUAUUUGAGUGUUUUAAUGUAUCUUUUAUUUAUGAUAUGCACUUAAACCAACACUAAUUUUACUCAAAGUUGGCUUUUGUAGGAUAGUAUUGUUUUUCACUGCUUCUCCAAUAAUGAAAUAACUAAAAAAGAGAGAGCUGUAUAUUUGAUGAUUAACACAAUGCAGACUUGUAUCUUGUCCCUCAGGGACGGACAGUCUGCACAGUGUGAUAGUGUAAACACAACACGUGUAACAAAUGUCAAUAGUGGCUCUCACAAAUCAAUGCUUCACUCAAUGUUCUGAAAGGUAAUUGCAGGAGCAAGCGUUGUGAUUAUUGGACUCUGUCAGUAAAGUUGAGCAAUCAACAGCGAUCGCUUACACAACAGGGUGCAACACUUUAACACAUGUGCAUGAAGUGAUCAUCAGCAGAAGUUAUGCGAAAAUAGAAAAUUGCUGAAGAUGAUUUUAUGUUUGUGCUUUAAACUUUGUGCUAUAGCUUAAUGUGUCCAUUCUAGCAUUAUCCAUGUGUCCGAGAAUUCAGCCUUCAACUGUCACACAAAAUAAAAAACUAAUCAGGAUAUCCAUGCCAAAUUUUUUCAAAGAGGUCGUUACAUUUUUGUAAGCUCUUAACGAUAAGACUCCAGGACACUCUGAGUGUAACAUCUUGCAUUAUUCCGAAAGAGUGACGCAGUUUGGAUAAAAUGCCUAAACUUUUAAUGAGGCACUUUAUUAGUCAAAAGGCCACAUUGGUUGUGUGUCAAUGCAAAGGCUUGUGUCAAUGUCUGUGUGCUCUUAUCAAACACAGACUAAAGGUCUUUUGUCUGGGUAACGUAGUGGCAGACAUUUCUGCAGCACAUUUUGUCAUUCUCUGUCUCUCUCUGCCGCAGGUUGUGUUUGGACCGGUUAAUUGGCCUAGUUUGAUUUUUAUGGCCUCCAGGGUACUCACACACACACACAAUAUAAAUGCAAAGAGUGUCACUGAUGCUGGUCCGUUUUAUGUAAGUGGGCAUUAAGAGUCAAUUAGCACAAACUCACACAGGUGUCCUGCUCUUUGUCAUGCAAUUGAUAUUAGAUGGAGCACAUGCAUACAAAUGAUACAACAGUGGUGGGACUGAUUUUGGACAAUUAUGAAACACACUACAGAGAGGAAAUAGACAGGCUGAUGGACAGGUGCACAGACAGCAACCGUACACUACACAUCAAAAAGACCAAAGAAUAGUGAUGGGAAGAACAGUUCUUUUGACUGUACUAAAUCUUACGAAUCCAUUCAUUAAAACAAUUUGUUCAAAAGAUUUGUUCACUGAAUCAGUCAAUGCUUCGGAGCCCCAUCCUGCCGGUGCAGUACACGAGUGAGUGACACAGCCGUGCUGAUUGGGAGUUUGUUCACCAAACCAGCCCCUCCCCUCCCCUGCUGCUGAAGUCACAGCAUUGUUCACUGGGUGACACAUAUCAAUUAUUCAUCCGCCAAAACCCCAGGAAAGAAUCACUCCCCUGCCCUGAAAAACUCACCUCUCGGUGUUCCCCCAUCGCCGGAAACAACACAGCAGCAAGCAGCACGCCCACUAAACGAGCACAAGUCAUUCUUUUGUAUCGCGGAUAAGUGGAGAGAUUAAAAAUAAAUAAACAUCGCAGCUGUAGCGGGGAUAUCAAAUAGCAUAUUGCUUUACAUCGGCUGAAAUAAAAUCCUUCUUGCAGGAAAGUUUACAUUACAUUUACAUUAAUACACAGUUUAUGUGUAUUAAUGUAAAGGCACUAGAAUUCACUGUUUUAUCUCAGCCUACGUUCAUCCUCACAGUGAACGACCUGGUGCUUGGCAGUUCGUAAACGUUGCUAUGCCCUUCCCUCCUCCGCCUGCCUCAAGUUGCUCAGAAGUCGUUUGUUUAAUUCACAGUCUGACUGAUACAUAUCGUUCACUCACUGUGAGCAAAUCACGAAACUCGGCCCGCUCGCUCACUCGCUGACUGGCUGACUGGCUGUGUGCCAUUCGCCAAAGAGUCAAAGGUGGCAGUUCCACUCCUGACUGGCAUGCCAUGCUGGCGGCUGAGCUCAACUAAACUGGGAAGAGAACGAAUCAGGUCUUGGACUGAUUCCAUCCACGUUGUUCACUCAGCAGUUUUUUUUUUUUUUUGAAUAAGACGUUCAUGAAUGACACAACACUACCAAGGAAAUCAUUUUUGAUUGUGAAGACCAUGUCUCCCUAACCAUGAAGAGAAAACAAGCGGAAUGGGUCACCAACUUCAAGUUCCUCAGAACCAACAUGGUCAUUCAACUUCACUCUGGUAAGAACAGCUCAACAGUGGCUAUCCUUCCUGCAGACACUAAAAAAAAAAAAAAAAAACCUUGUCUGCUGAGCUGCUCAGAGCUUUCUACCUCUGCUUCAUCCAAUAUUCUGACAUACUGCUUGAAAGCUUGGUAUGUGAACUGACCAGAAAGGUCUGCAACGAGUCAUAAAAACACCAGAAAAGAUCAUCAGACUCAGUCUGCUCUCACUGGAAGACAUUUUCAGAACACUGCCUUCACACUACCACCAACAUACUCAGAGAUCCAAGCCACCCGAGUCAUCACCUGUUUUCUCUGCUACCCUCUGAAAGGCACUACAGGGUGCUCAGUGCCCACACCUCCAGACUCUACCAUAGAGCCAUAACUGAACUGAAAAAAGCCAGCCAACAAGCACAAUAAUCUAAAAACAAAAACAAUCUACGUCUUCUGAGGCCUAAGGUCUAAGACAAACUGGACUCCCUGCAGUUUGCAUACAAAGAACACAUUGGAGUGGAUGAUGCUGUCCUCUACAUGCUUCACCGUGCCCUGUCUCAUCUGGUGGAACCUGGGGUUUAUGUGAGGAUCAUGUUCUUCGACUUUUCAAGUGCAUUCAACACCAUCCAACCCACCAUACUCAAAGACAAGCUCACAGAGAUGGGAGUGGAUCCUGCCCGUGUUUCCUUGAUCACAGAUUACCUGACAGGAAGGCCACAGUUUGUCAGGCUGGGGAACUGUGUUUCUGGGACAUUAACGAGCAGUACAGGGGCUCCACAAGGGACAGUGCUGGAGCCAUUCCUGUUCACACUGUACACGUCAGACUUCAAAUACAGUACUGAGUCCUGACACAUCCAGAAAUAUUUAGAUGACACCGCUAUUGUGGCAUGUAUUGGAAAUGGACAAGAAGCUGAGUACAGAGAUCUAAUAAGAGCCUUCAGUGACUGGAGUCACAAAAACUGCCUCCUCCUCAACACAGGUGAUGGUCAUAGACUUCCAUAGAUCCAAACCCCCUCUUCAGCCAGUGAACACCUGUGGAGUGGACAUUGAAGUGUUGACAUCAUAAAAAUACAUGGAUUGGUCUAAGAAUAUAGACUACAUCUACAGAAAGGGGCAGAGCCGCCUCUUUUGCCUGAGAAGACUCUGAUCAAUAGACAUCUGUAGUAAGAUGCUGCAGAUGUUUCAUCAGUCUGUGGUGGCAAGUGUUCUGUUCUAUGCUGCAGUCUGCUGGGGAGGAAGCAUCAAACACAAAGAUGCAAGACGUCUUAACAAACUGGUGAAAAAGGCUGGCUCUGUGGUAGGACUCAAGCUGGACUCAGUGGAGGAUGUGGUGGAGUGAUCUACACUGAGGAAGGUGGAGACUAUUCUUAAGAACAUGGAUCACCCACUUCACAACACCUUGAUGGACCAAAGGGCAAAUGGUGGUGGACGGCUCCUCUCUCUUCACUGAAGGACAGAAAGAGUCAGAAGAUCUUUUGUACCAACAGCCAUCAGGCUUUAUAACUCUUAUGUAAAUACUAGAUAACUUAUACAGAUAUGUUAUGUGAGACAACAGACAAUUGAAUUUCCCUUUGGGGAUCAAUAAAGUUCUUCUUCUUCUUCUUCUUUAAUAAAUAGGACAUUUUCUUCCGGUCUGUUGGUGCAAUCUUGCCCUCUGGUGGCUUGGUGCAGGGUGGCAAACCACCCACAGUGGUAAAACCGUGCAGCGCAGUCCUGUGCGCAGACAGUUUGGGAAAUUGGUAAACCAAGGUGCACAGAGAUGUGCCAAGAUAGGCAUGGAAGUGCAGUUAGGGAGAAAUAUCUACAGAUUCAGCUGGCGUAAAUUGUGUUCGCAGGCGGCACAGAGAGUGUGCUGAAAACUCAGUCAGCUUUAAGAGCAAUUGGAGCACAGCUGGUCAACUGGAUUAAUUUGUGGACUGGCUGAGCAGUACACACAUGUCAUCAAUACCUCACAGGCAGGUUUUAAGCAGUGCACAACCUAGGUGCAAAGUGAGACACAGGACGCAUAGAGGUUGGAUUAAAUCCCUCGGUUAUUUAAAGGUGUGUUUUGGGUGUAAUAUAAAGCAAACUAAUUAGAGUGUCUUUUCUCCCUCCCUUUAAUAUAGGUGGAAAUAUAGAAGUCUCUUAUUAAAAUACAAACAAAUGCAUUUGUCCCUUCUAGGAGUGCACAUGUACUUUAUUUAUUCCAUUGCAUGAUUUGUUUAAAACCCUUAUUUUGUACUCUGUGCACCGUAAUAGUCAAAUAUCUCUGGUCAGGGCCCUGCUUUCUAUAAGACUGUUUGCAAGUGUUUUAGUAUGUGUCGGUUUCAGCAUGUGUCCUGGCACCCUCAGUGAGGCCCCAUACCACCUGCAGUAGAAUAAUGGAGGAAUACACUUCCUGCAUUUCCAAGAUGCAAUGAGGCCUUUAGAUUUGAUCCUGCUGAAGGGCACUGAAGCAUGUUCUUCAGGAGUGAGUAAAAUGACUUAAAAUGUAAGGACUCAGUUAAGAAGAACUUAUUCUACCUUUGGACAAGGGAAGAGUAGAGCCAGCAAAUGGACAGUUGAAACAUGUAGUUUUCGGCAGAGGUUAAUUUAUUUAAAACAAACCAAAUAAAUGCAUCCCUGUUUUUUACAGAACAGUGGGAAAGUGGAGUGGUCAGCUACUUGAGUUCUUGGUUCAGUAGCUGAGUGGGAUUUGAAGUUGUAGCUGGAGAUUUGUGUACUUUAAAGCAGAACUGUGUACCCAUGCUUGUAAUUUACUUAAGGUCGAGGGGUUAUUGUCAGGGAAUGAAGAAAGGGUUUUUUCCCCCUUUUUUUUUUCCUUUUUGGUCAGACUAUGUUCUUUUUUAGUCCUCUGUAAUCCUUGAAUUUCUUAAACCCAUAUUUUUUUCUCUUUCCAUCCGCUGGUGUCUAUCCAUCUUUAUUUUUCUCUCCUGCUCUCUGCCGAACACUUCAUUCUCCCUCCUGUUUUUGAUUACAUCAAUAUUUGUCUUUCUCAGACCAAUCCUUUUUUUUCCCUCCUCUUUCUUCCUCUGCCCAUAGCUUGUCUAUUCCCAUUUAUUCUCUUACAAUUGAAAUCCAUUCCCUCUAAAUGGAAAACAGACUAACUGCAUUACUGUAGUGUGUUAACCGAGGUAAUUCAACAUUACUAGAUGCUAGAUGAAUGAGGAUAUGAACAUUUAAUCAUGAGAGUGAUCAGCAAUGCAGUAACAAUAUUAUGAUUCUUCUUCAUAAUUAUUUGAUGUCCGAUGGAGAUAAAAGUUACUUUAUCAAUGAAAUAGAAACACAUUACUGGGCUGAUAAAACAAAGCUGGCUGCCUGGGUGUUCAUUUAGUCUGUUGAUGGACCUAGUUAAAGGGAUAUUCUGGUGUAAAAUUAAGUUAGGGUCAAACACACUGUAACACUGAGUUAGACAUCCCAUCGAGAGACGAAUGUUGCUGACCGCUUGCUUCUCUAGUUCUACCAACUUUAGUAACGACCGCACAAUAGCAAUACAGAGAGCCACAAGCUCAACCAAAAAGCCACUCUAAAGCCACAAAUAAUGCUCAGAACAGCACCUAACUUCAUCAACAGUACAUACAGGGUCCCAGCCAUAAUACUAGCCACCAAACAUCUUUUUAGAUUUGCUUGAUUUCUUUAGCAAAGAGCCUAAACACAACUCACCCACUCUCCUCCAGCAGCCGCUUGUUUGUAUGGAGACCUCUGGGUGAGUCCAUUGACUGCAGUGGGGGGACGCAGCUCAAAGCAAAACAUUUAUGAUCAUUUCCUCAUGGAAAUGCAAUCAGACCAAGACGCUAAGGCAGAAUAACUUUUGCGUCUCCAGUGCAAAAUGAUUAAUAUGGUGAUUAUUACUUCAAGGAAAUGAUAAAGAAAUAAUCAUAAAUGUUCUUCCUUGAGCUGCAUCACCAUGCUGUAGUCUAUGGACUCACCCAGAGGACUCCGUACAAACAAGCAGCUGCUGGAAGAGAGUGGGUUAGUUGUGUUUAGUCUCUUUGCUAAAGAAAUUAGGCAAACCUAAAAAGAUAUUUGGUGGCUAGUGACCCUAUAUGUACUGAAGUUAGGUGCUGUUCUGAGCAUUAUUUGUGGCUAUAGAGUGGCUUUUUGGUUAAGCGCAUGGCUCUUUGUGUUGCUAUCGUGCGGCCGUUAUUAAAAUUGGUGUAUCUUGAGAAGCAAGCUGUUGGCAACAUUCAUCUCUCGACGGGUGUCUGACUCGGUGUUAUGGUGUGUUUGACCCUAACUUAAUUUUAUGCUGGAAUAUCCCUUUAAUAGUGUUGGCUGAUUGGCUGGUCUGUUAAUUGGUUGGUUGGUUGGUUGGAUCUGUGUCAAAUCUGAUCCAAUCCACUUUAUUUAUAUAGCAUGUUUUAAAAAAAACAUUCAAGUUUACCAAAGUACUGCACAGUAAAAUAAAACACUGCAGAAAACAUCAAGAGGAAAUAAAUAAAAGCAGGUAAAAACCAUUUAAAAUGAAAUAAAAUGAAUGAAAUAAAAAGACAAAAGCAUAAAAGGAAUAAAAGUGAUAAGAGGACCAUAAAAGACAUAAAAGGACAGAGAUCCCACAACUCUCAUGCUGAACUAAAAACCAAGGAACAAAAAGGAGUUUUAAGACAUGAUUUAAAACUAUGGAGGGUGGGGGAUGUUUUAAUCUUGAGUGGCAAUUCGUUCCACAAUUUGGAAGGCACAGCUGAGAAAGCUCAAUCACCUCAGGUUUUUAAACGAGUUAUUGGGACAAGUUGAAGCUGAUCAGCAGACCUCCAGGAAUGUGUGGGGGUUUUAACAUUUAAGAGGUUGGAGAUGCACUGUGGUGCUGAUCCGUUUAAAAAACAAACAAUAACAUUUUAAAAUGAAUACUAUGUUUUCAUGUUUUCUUUUACCUGUUAAAAGACAAGCAGCAUUACAAUCGUCCAACCGUGUCGAAAUAAAAGCAUGAAUUACUCACUUAAAAUCAUCAACAGGUUAAACUGAUUUAAAAAUAUUCACUCAAAAUCCUCAGAUAAUAAAACUGGAUUUAACAACAGAGUUAAUUUGUUGAUCCGAUUUAAAAUCAUUGUCAACUUUUACACCAAGAUUCAACCCUGUAAGACACAGUGUUGCAGGAUUACAACAAUUUUGGUUAUCCCCAAAAAAACUCUAAUUUAUAAUUUUUUUUUUAGUUCAACCAAAUUUACAUGAUCAUUUGGUCCUAUUGUUUGUUCUCACAAUGCGAUUGGAUCCAACAUUUUUAUAUAAGGCCCGCCCUCAGGUGAAGAAGUCACACAACCUCAAUUUUUUUGAUCGAGCAACAUCCCUUCGAUUUACUGGACUGGAUUCAUCUGAAUCAAGUAAGUAAAAUGCUUUGAAUAUUUUUUUGUGUUUGUUACAAUGUCUAGAACAUGAACAUAUGUAGUUGUUGCAGUAAAUAUGCCCUACAUUUUAUUUAGAGCUUGUUUUAUAAUUGUUGCAAUAUUACAACGUUGGGUCAAAGUGGUAGCCAAAACAGCCCUGUUUUUGAGAGGAGUGUCUUGAGAGGAACUUCAAUUAAAACGUUCACAAUAUAUCUUUAAACUACACAUGAUUUACAUAUUCUAGCCUUAGCCUUAUAUUGGAUUACAUAUUUUAUUGUAUUAGAAACUAUAUAUUAAUAUAUAUUGCUGUAUCUAAACAUUUUCAUUUACUUAUAAUGAUUUCUAACCACCUUCAACACUCUCAGUAUUUUCUCCUCAUCACAAAAUGCAGGACUUUCUAACAAAGAAAUUCUGUUUGUGCAUGUCUCCCCUUUGUUUUAGUCUCUAUUGAUAAGAAAAUGCUCCUAUCAAUUCUAAGUCAAAGCAGUUGUGGGGGAUGCUCCUGGUGCAUUUGUAGCAUUGUUCUGGAACAGGUGUUAAUUAAGGUGUGGUUGUAAGCUGUCUCCAGUCUCCAAUAUGUCAAUAGGUCAGUAUUGUGUGACCAGUGAAAUGUGUGAACAGGCAACUUCAGUGCAAUGUGUAAACACUUCAUAAUGAAAUCAGUCUCCCCACCAUCCCAUCUUUCCUGUUGGCCAUCUAGAAUCUAGUAAGCAUGGGAGGUAGUUCUGAGUGUCGUCUGCAUACAGAUGGUAAAAAUCAAGCCAAGUGGGAGAAGGUAUAGGGAGAAGAGGAUGGGACCAAGAAUAGAGCCUUGGGGUACUCCACAGGUAGGGGGGCACAAGAAGAGACACAGUCACCAAAGUUCACUUUUAAACACCUCUCAGACAAGUGGGACCUGAACCAGUUAAGAGCUGUACCUGUUAAACCGACACAGUGUUCGAGGCGAGCAAUGAGAGUUGUGUGAUCUACAAAUGCAGCUGUUAGAUCUAAAAGCAUUAAGAGUUGAGUCACCAGAGUCAGUACAAGAUAAUUAAAAACCUUUCAAAGUGCAGAGUCAGUGCUGUGAAAUGCCUUAGAACCAGAUUGAAAAAUGUCAAGAAUGCCGUGAUCAUCUAAAUAAGACUGGAUUUGAAGGAGCACUGCUUUCUCAAGGAUUUUUGAGAUAAAAGGAAGCUUCAAUAUAGGUCUGAAAUUAGACACAAUAGAGUGAUCUAGAUAGGAUUUUUUAAUUAAAGGUUCCACUACCGCUUUUUUAAAAUAAGGAGGAACACUGCCUGAAGCAAAACUGCAGUUUAUAAUUUGUUGGACUAUAGGAACAAUGGUAACCCAAACCUCUUUAAAGAGGCGAGGGGGGAAAACAUCAUUGGGACAUCCAGCAGGUUUACGCUGAUUGACAAUUUUGUGAAGAGUGGGCAGAGAGUGGGCAAGCAACAUAAGGGUCAUGCAAAGGUGGGGAUAUGAGUGCUCUGAUAUUUCUGACUUUAUCAAUAAAAAAGCAAAGACAUUUUUCACAGACCUCAGGUGAAGCUUCAAGAUAAUUGGACUGAGAGGCAUUUAAAAUGGAAUCAAGUUUUAAAAGAACGCGUGAAUUAUGAAGGUUGACUGAAAUUAUAUCAGAAAAAUGUGUAGUCUUGUGUUCUUUAACAACUCUGAUAUUUUUUUUCCAGGUGUCUCUCAUGAUUUCAUAAGACUCUUGAACCUUUUUUUUUUUCCACUUGCGCUCUGCCUGUCUGCACUCGUGUCUAGCAGCACGAGUGAUGUCAUUCAGCCACAGCUUGGAUAUGGGAUUGGGGGCAUCAUUAUAAGAGGAGUGACAUCAUCAAGAAUAUUACCUCAAGUGCUAAGGAAGCAGGAGAUUAACUGUUCAGUGUUUGGUCCACUAAGUGGCUCAGUGCCAGACACCAUUGCAUUAAAGGCAGCAGAAAAGAGAGCCGCUGUGGAAGGAUUGACUAUCCAGCACCUGUAGGAGCACACGGUUUAGUCACCAGACCAGGUGGAAUAAAUUCAAAAUAUACAGGCAUAUGGUCAGAAAAAAAGGCAUUGCAUACCUGAAGAGACAUAAUCGGUAAACAACACGAUAAAACCAGGUCUAGUGUGUGCUCUUGUGUGGCUCCAGAAACAUGUUGCACAAGGUUACAAGCGUCAACAAUAUUUAAAAAGUCUUAAGCCAGCAGCUUCUGUGGACAGCAGACAUGAACACUGAAAUUUCUGACAAUCAAGAUAGUGUCAUAAUUUGGCACUACCAACCAAGAUGUCAGAGAAUUGAUCAAUAAAGUCCUUAUUGUACUUUGGCGGCCAGUAAAUUACAGAACAGAAAAUCCAGGGCUGGCGAGGUGAAAUAAUCCUUCAGGAUGAAAGUCUUGUUCAGCAGAGACCUUGGUGCAUCUGGUGGAAGCCGACCCAGACCCAGUUAUUUAGAAAUACAAAAAAAUAUAUCAGGUAUAAAAAUCUGGAUCUCACCAGACUCAAUAUCAAACUCAAGUGUUUGAACACUAGAGCAUACAGUACUAAAACACUGCUUUAAAUAAGACUACAACACCAACACAUAAGAACUCCUCUGUAAAAUAUGGUAUUUUUAGUGAUGCCUUUUUUUCUGGCACUCUUAAAAUCAUGUUACAAUUUCUAUGCAGUGUCUUUGUCCAUAUCCUUUUCACCAGAUACAGUCAUUUGAAAACGUUAUUACAGUUAUGAUUAUCUUUUUUACCUGCCAGUUGCAGAAAUAUCUCAACUAGAUGGCUGAGAAGUACACCAGGAAUAGAUCAAUCUGAAUUUCCUGUUAAUUGCAAUUUUGUAGCUUUUUUGACUGCUACAGUCAGUAGUCUUAAUUUAUUUAUUCUAUUUUUUUUUUACUUGUCUUUCUUUACCUGUCCAUUAGAUGUCCUCAGUGUGUCUCCCUGUCUCUCUCAGCUUUGGCUCAUUACUUUGUCAGCCCUUGUUCUGUGAUCCUAGUCUCAGGAGCUGCACCACAUCAAUAAUUAGCUUCUUUGUGUCUGUUGUCAGCUGUGGCUGUAUCAGUUUCACAGGUUUGAGCUGCUUUUGUUGCGGUACUAUUCUAGUUCUUACCUACAGUAUAGUUUACCCGUCUCUUGUCCAUGUGCUGUCAGCAGGAUGUUGAAGCAACCCUCUUUUGAAUUAUUAAUAUCAUACUGCUAUUACUGUUAUCCUCAGUAUCUAAGGCUGUUCAGGUCACAGCUGGUAAUAAAUGUGUGAGGCUUGAAAGCAUCUUAUACACACCAUUUUUCAAAACUGGGCAGCAGAACCAUUGAACUGCAGGGUAAGGAUGUACAACAGAGAGACAGAUGGACCAAACAGCAGCUGACAGUCAGAAAGAGUACAAGAAUAAGAAAGCAGGGGGAAUGGGUAACCCUACAGUAAAAAAACAGCCUUAUUCAGACAAGAACAGUCUCAUUUAAAAUGGUAAAUUUUGAUACUGUAUAAGCAUGUUUCUAGUUGGCACUUUGAUUUGAAACAACAAUGAAGAACACCUUUUCCUGUGCAUAAAGGCAUAUUUCAAUGGGACUUAAAGUACAAACUACCUGACUGGCUGCACAUUCAGCCACUCAAAUACUGUUUAAUGAAAACAACCAGCCACGAAAAGUAGUAAUAAAGUUUGUGUUUCAGUGUAAACAGCCCUUAAGUGGUUCCACAAAUCACUGGCAUCAAGGUAAACUUAGACUGAUCUAAAUUGAGCAACAACAAAACAGCCAAGGAGAAGAGCCAAAGGAAUCUGAAGUCACAGAGGCAGAGCUCACAGUCUGUGAGUUAAGGCUGAGCCACCUAUUGGACUAACUUUGAUCACAAUUAUGCAUAGAAAGAAGUAAGAAUAUAAGAAUAUUCGGAUGAAAAAAUGGGGGCAGUAAAGGAAAGACAACAAAGGUUAAAGAUGGAAAACUAUUGGCUAUGGUAGAAAUUGAAAAUGGCGCAUGAAGUGGAGACAGAACAAGUUAAUAACACACACACACACACACACACACACACAUAUAUAUGUAUUUAGUCAAGCAGGUAGGGGUUCGACUCCUGCAUGACACACAUCUGUAAGAAACAAGUUACAUCAACCAGUGUCAACCGCAGUCAUCAACCGCAGUCAAUGCUAACACCGAAACAGCUCAUAGCUCAGUGUUCCAACCUCAGCAAACAGCAGCUGUUACCACGACUAGAGAUUGAGGAGAGACAACACGUUUUUGCUAUGGCAACCUUCUUUGUAAAUAAAGCAACAUAUAGUAGCUAUGGAGUAUUUCUUUGGACUGUGUGUUAGACAGAUCUCCCUAUCAGCCUCCCAGCGGCAAAUCGCAGUGAGGAAAGCAGACCCUAACCCUAUGCAGGCCCACAGCCUUUCUUACCCAUGAUUGAGUGACAAGGAAGCAACCCAAAUACAUGCGCACUCCCACAUUAUAUAUGAUAUGCGUUUUGUGACAUAAAAUUCCCUUAAAUAUUACAGAGGAGAUGAGCUAGCUAAGGAUCCCUGUGCAUCUAUAGGUGUUUCAUCCUCCGCGAUUGCAACUUUUUGACUCAAUGAAGGCUUGAAACAUCCAGUUAAUUUAAGCUCUUCAUCAUGUUGUUCUUUUGAUUGUUGCUGUUUUUGUUUGGAGGGUCCACUGUCAUACUUUCUCUCUGUCAAAUGACAACUAAAAAUAACUGACAUGCCACAUGAUGUGACCAAUACAACAGAUUGGAUAGAUUUAACACUUGGGUCACAUCCUUUCAAUCAAUUGUUUAUUUAUUUUAUGGGCCAAUACAGGUCAUUUUUGCUGUUUCUGUUUAGGGAAAAUGUAAAAUAGUGAAGCCAAUCUGGGACUCCUGCACAUGUGGGGCCCCUGGGCUGCAGCCUAGGCCAGCCUGUGCAUAAAGCCGCACCAGCCUGGGAAUACAAUUAAGCUCAUGUGUGUCAAACAGGACAUAAAAUAUCGUGAAAUAAGCUGAAUUUUUAGUUACGUUCAUUGUAUUCCUCAGGUGAUAAACCUUUGGUGAUAUCAGGCAUUAAAGUGAACAAGAAAUUGAGGAAAACACGGGUGGGCUAAUCAUUUGACCAUGACUGUUCACACACACACACACACACAUACACACACACACACACACACACACACGACCCUUCAUAAAAAUCACAGUCUUUAUGCCUGUUGUUUCGAAAUUAUCCCUCUCUGCAGCCUGCUCUUUCUUUUUCUGCCACCUACUUGCUUUUCUCUUCUCUUUUCUCUGCUUGUACUCUCAUGCAGUGCUUUGUACAAUUGAAUUUACUUUAUACAGAAUUUCACGCCUAACGCCUUUUUCUCUUUAACUCCAAGGCUGGCUGAAGUGAGUUUUUUUUAUUUUUUUUUUAUUUCAUUUCUCUGUAUAAAAUCUUGAUUGGUUGAAAGCAUAUGUCUGUAGGAACAGGACACAAAAGAUUAGUACCACACGGCAGUAGUGACAUGCUGAGUUUAAAGUACAGGGUUGAAUGAUUCUUGUUUUGUUCUAUUUUAGUCCAGAACAGUUUUAAAUUUGAGUCUUUUAGCACUUGUUGUGCUGGCCUUUGGGAAGUAAGAAACUGUAUGUACUUGUUUGUUAUUCAGCAAAGUAAGAUGUUCAGAAAAAAAAUAAAAAAAGUUAGGGAGAAGUUUCUUCUGAAUGCCACUACUCCCGGCAUCCUUUUUCAGGUAAGAAGUAUGUCUCUUCUCUGUAAAGGUUAGCACAUCGUACAUAGUGAGAGACACGUCUGUGGAAAGUUUAAAAAAUAAAAAAAACAGUACCUCUGUUUCAAAAAUGCCAGAAAUCUGGAUGCAGAGAGCUGUGUUGCUGCAUUGCCAUUGAAUACAAUGGUAAGAUGACUUUGAAAAGUACACUCUGAAUAAAAGUGUGAGACCGAGGCAGGAAAGAGAGGUAGAAGGUGAUAGAAACAAUGUGCUUCAGUUAGGCAGAGGGAAGGACCAAACAGAGGGUGCAAAAAAAGAUAGAGUCCCUUAGGAGAUAACACUGAACUGAUUUGUUUUCAGCAAGAGAUGGAAUUAAAAAAAAGGAAACUUUGUUAAGAAAGUGCACUUUAGUCUUUCCCAAUUAAGUUCCCUUUGUGUGCAUGCAUCGUGAUCAGGGAUUCAAAAUCAAGACAUUCUCUGUAAAUGCUCCUUGGAAAUGGUAAUGAUCAACUAUCUAAAUUAUUCUACAACACACACGUACACACACACACGCAUGCACACACACAUGCAGACAAACACACACACACACACACACACACACACACACACACACACACACACACACACACACACACACACCAUCCCUCUGCAGUGAAGCCAAGUUCAAUGAAAACUGUCUGCAGGAUCUUAUCAAAAAUAAAAUAUGUAAUUUUUUACAGUUAAUUGUAACCCAGGUUACAAAAUCCUCAUAUCCUCAUCCUCAAUCCACAUAUUUCUGCUCCCUUUCAUCCCUUCACCCCCCAUUGGACACCUUCCCUGUCAGUCAAACCCAUAGAGCACAAAUCACAACCUCUCACCAGUGAACCUCCUCGUUCCCUCUGUGCAGCAGCUCACCAGCUCUUAACCACCUCCCUGAUCAGUCAUUCACACCAACUCAGUCUGUGAGCAGCAGCAGCAGUAUCUCAACAACGAGAUCUCACCAAACUUUCCUCCACAAUUUUUCCCAACUUGGGGAAAAAAAAGAAAAUGAACCCACAGGAAACUGGAUCUGGACAUUCUUUACUUAACCUUGGACCUAGUGAUGGGCACGGCAGUUCUUUUGGAUGUACUGAAUCACUAGAACCAGUUCACUAAAAAGAUUUGUUCACCAAAUCACUGAAUCAUUUUGUUGGAGAAGUCUGCGACUCUGACCUCCUGAACUGAUACACAGCUGAACGUUUCAGAAUUCGGUUCAAUUCAUAGCUUCUGGGACCAGGACACAAGAGUGUUUGUCUGUGUUGCUUUGGCAAACAGGUUUGUAAAAAUGAACUUGUUUAUGAGGCAAGAUUUUUUAAAUGUACUGCCCUAUGGUAUGCUAUUUAUUAGGUCUGCUCAGUAAAUUGGGGUCAGUGAGUUGAAUUGAACUGUUUUUUAUUAAAUGUGAAUUUUGUUUAACUGAAAAAAGAUAACUGGUCUAACUUAAAAGGAACUUUUUGAUAUUUCAGUGCAUUUAAAUUGAAAUUUGAUUGAUAUAUUUUAUUUGCAUUUCAAAAUUUUGCUUUAUUUUUAAUGUAUUUUCCUGGUAUUCUAUCAAGUAUUUUGAGUUUUUCAAUACAGUUGGUAUAAGUCACAUUUUUCAUUUGUGUCUAUUAAUUUCUACCCAGCUCCAGAGCCAAACCACUAGCCCAAAUCUUACCUUGUGUUAUAUGUAUAAUCAUUUAUAAUUUAAAUUUAAAAUUCAUAAAGCAUUAUCUAAUAUAUCAUAAUAUAAAUAUAGUAUAUAUUUCAUAAGUGUUACAUAAAUUGGCAAGCUAGCCAGGAGCUGGUUUUGAAAAUUAAUAGACAUAUUACGUGUCAAUCAUGGAAACUGUGAUGCAAGAGUCCAUAAACGUGCCAAACUCAGUGAAGUACUUAGAAAAGUACCAAGUACUUGGUUUCAUUAAUAGGGUUUUGCACAUUGAUAAUCCCAAGUCUGAGCAUCAUGGAAGUGCAAUCGUAGAGUUUAAUUUUGGUACUGCAAUGUAGUCACUUUCAUCUUUACUGCCUUUUCCAUAGUCUAUCUAAACUAGAUAUCACCUUCAAGAAUGUUCAUUAGCUGGUACUUACAGUCCACUUGCUUGCACAAGGGCCACCAAGAGCUGCAUUGAAGAAUUGCAGGCAAUCUCCAAGUUAACAGAAAAACCCCUAGAGACUUUGCUUCAAGAGGAACUUGCAAAGCUAACUGUUAUAACCCCUUCCUCCAUGGAGUCAAAAGCUGAUCUCAAACAGGAAAAAACAUCUCCCAAUAAAACCUGAAAUAAAACUUCCAGUGCCAGACCCUCAAAUUCAACCUCAACCAAACAAACCCCAAAAAAGUCUGACCACUGACUUUGCUUCUUUCUUUGUGCUUCCUACCACAGAAAAAUGUCCUUUUACUCUCCCAGGAGAUGCAGUUAGCCCACUUGAGAUCCAGAAAGUUGUUAUAGAGCACAUUGUCAAGACUGAUAAUGCUAUGUCCCAUGUCUAUGGCUUCUCCCGCCUUAGAGCUUUUCUGGAAAAAUCACACGUCAGUUAUGAAACUGAUUAUGAUACCUGGAGAACCAAUGUGGAUUUGUUUCUCACUGAUCCUUCUGUGUCCGAUUUGGAGUGUUCACGGCAGAUUGUAUAUAGUCUGAUGUCACCUUCUGCACCUGAUGUCUUCAAACAACUUGGUCCCCAAGCUUUGCCCAAAGCUUACCUUGAGCUUUAGACUCAGCAUACGGUACUGUAGAAGAUGGAGAUGAGUGUUUUGCAAAAUUUGAACACUUUUCAGAAUUCUGGUGAAGAACCUUCAGAUUAUUUGCAUCGUCUUCAAGUUGUUUUGAAUGCUGGGGCAGUGCUCUCAUCAGUGACCUCCAGCUAGAGCAGAGAAGAGACAACCUCCCUACCCUCGCAGAUCUUCUUCUCUUGCUUCAAGUUGAUGAAGAUAAGCAAGCAGCUAAAGCCUGUCAUAUGAAAAAAAAAAAAAGUAUAUAUACAAAACCCAAUUCCAUUAAAGUUGGGAAAUUCUGAAACAUAAAUAAAAACAGAAUACAAUGAUUUGCAAAUCCUUUUCAACCUUUAUUUAAUUGAAUACACUACACUAUUUUUUUGCAAAUAAUAAUUAACUCAGAAUUUCAUAGCUGCAACACGUGCCAACGAAGUUGGGAAAGGUGGCAAAAAAUACUGAGAAAUUUGAGGAAUGCUCAUCAAACACCUAUUUGGAACAUCCCACAGGUGAGCAGGCUAAUUGGGAAUUCCCCCAAAUUCUCAGUCAUUUACAAGCAAGGAUGGGGCAAGGUUCACCACUCUGUGAACAACAGUUUAAGAACAACGUUUCUCAAAGUACAAUUGCAAGGAAUUUAGGGAUUUUAACAUCUACUGUCCAUAACAUCAUCAAAAGGUUCAGAGAAUCUGGAGAAAUCACUGCCAUAGACCGUAUAUAGAAUGGACAGCAUCUGCCUCCUUGCUGGGUGAAGCCACUCUGAGAACAGCACCCUCUGUUGAUGGGCUGCAGUAUAAAUCCCGCCUCCGCCAGCAAAGCUUAUGGGACUGUGGACAAACUUUAGAAAUUUAUUACACAGAAUAUACAUUUUUCUCCCCCCUGCUUGUGAUGUUCACAUGUAAUUAUUGUAAGACUGGUUUGUGCUCAAGUCCUCUUUUUUUCUUUGAAGCUCAGUUUUUAAAGGUUAUUAGGGGGUUCAUGUUUUCUAUGAUUGACACCUGAUACAGCCUAUGGGCGUUCAGGAAUUGCGUAGCUCACCCAGGGGAUACGCUGUUUGAGCCGAGCGUCAUCACAGCGACUCUCGGCGACUCUCCUGCCGAAUGUGCUACUGCGCAGCGCUGGUUUCAGGAAAUGAAGAAAAAUCACGGAAAUACAGAGAGCUUUUUGGCUUCAAAUCCGUAUACAGGCGGUAGGCAGAACCAAGUUGUCCAUAGUAUAUACAGUUUAUGAUCAGUUCAUAACUGAUGCAAAGUGGAAAAGUGUUCUGUGGUCUGACGAGUCCAUAUUUCAAAUUGUUUUUGGAAAUAGUGGACGUCGUGUCCUCCAGGCCAAAGAGGAAAAGAACCAUCCGGACUGUUAUUGACACAAAGUUCAAAAGCCAGCAUCUGUGAUGGUAUGGGGGUGUAUUAGUGCCCAAGGCAUGAGUAACUCACACAUCUGUGAAGGCAACAUUAAUGCUGAAAGGUACAUACAGGUUUUGGAGCAACAUAUGCUGCCAUCCAAGCAACGUCUUCUUCAUCGAUGCCCCUGCUUAUUUCAGAGAGACAAUGCCAAGCCACAUUCUGCAUAUGUUACAACAGUGUGGGUUUUUAGUAAAAGAGUGCGGGUACUCGACUAGUCUGCCUGCAGUCCAGACCUGUCUGCCAUUGAAAAUGUGUGGCGCAUUAUAAAGCAUAAAAUACGACGACAGAAACCCCGGACUGUUGAACAACUGAAGCUGUACAUCAAGCAAGAAUGGGAAAGAAUUCCACCUUCAAAGCUUCAACAAUUAGUCUCCUCAGUUCUUAAACGUUUAUUGAGUGUUGCUAAAAAGAAAGGUGAUGUAACUCAGUGGUAAACAUGCCCCUGACCCAACUACUUUGGCACUUGUUGCAGCCAUGAUAUUAAUUAUUAUUUGCAAAAAAAAAAAAAAAAAAAAGAGAUUUAUGAGCUUGAAAAUUCAAUAUCUUGUCUUUGGAGUAUAUUCGAUUGAAUAUAGGUUGAAAAGGAUUUGAAAAUCAUUGUAUUCUAUUUCCAUUUCCAUCUAAUACAUUUACAUAUAUACAGUAUAUAUAUUGAUCGGUGAGAUAAGAACAAAACCAUUUAAAAACAGUACCAGAGAGGUCUACAAGGUGCCAAAGUCUAUUUACUAAAUGAGAUGGUCUACUGUGUGAGAAGCGGCGCUUACAUCCAGUAGAACCAACACUGUGAUCUUUUUGGUAUCUAAUGUUUUGCAUGACCAUGCGUAUUUGUGUCAGUUCGUCUCUGACUGAUCUAAUUGCCUUCAUGGUGUCCCUCUGUGUCUGAAGGACUCUAUUGGUGAGGACCCACCGCUAGGGGCAGGUGGGCCUGCAGUCAGUGUGCCAGACAUACUGGGAACCUCCUCCACCUACGCCUCACCCACCGCUCCCUCACUGACUGGCUAAACUCACAGGAUCCAGAACGGCUCCGCUCUGGACCAGCAGGGGGAUCGGCUCCGCAAGCAUACAGCGCCCAUCGGAUCCGAUCCACCACCGCCAUCAAAGGAGAAGUGCUCACGAGAUUACCAACAUUUCUCAUGGGACUGGACGAGAUCUCAUGAGCUUUCCCAUGUUUCCCUGGGAGUCAUAGAAUAAGAUCCGCUGAUUGGUGUAUAUAAAUGGUGAUGUAUAUAAACAACAGUGUUUAUAAUCACCCACAUCCCACAAUUUUGGCCUCUCCCUUUAUCAAGUUAAGAACAGUUCAAUGUAUUGACUUUAUUUUAUUUUGAAAAUUAACCGGAUAUUUUACUCUGUAACCGCAUAAAACUUCCACUGCUGCUUGUGCAGUGCUGCACUGAAUUGAUACGCCAAAAAUAGAAGCCCUGCAUAUCUGAUCCAGCCGCCAGAGCCAGUCCGCAGGGGAACUGAAUGCCAGACGGAUUCUGUGGAAUGACUCACAUUGAUUAUAAUGCUUGCGGAUUUGAUACGCUGGCCAUGGUGGAGCGGAGCGGAGCCGUUCAGGACCCUGUGAGUUCUGCCUGUGAAACCACACCGGACACACUGGCUGUUCCAAGGAUCGAGGCAAUUUUAGAGUUGAGUGGCGUUGGCUCUGCUGUGGCCUGCCCCCCACUGUGUGAAAAACUGGUAGACUUGUCGUGCAUAAGACAUAUGUCUUUAUGAAGUAGGGAAAAGUAACAGUAAGCCCUGGAGGUGGGGUUACAAAACCGCCACACAGCCACUACACCAUCAGUCUUCAGGAGGAGCUGAAUAGUGUGCUGACUUCAAUAGGGAUGCCCCUCAAGAAAUACUCCUAUCCAAAUGAGGAGAAAGUGCACUGUUAAUGUCACCACCAAGUGUAAGAUCAUGUGUUGGCAUAUCUGGUUAGUAAGACAAUAAUCAUUGGUGAAGAGUGUAGGGUCAUCCCACAUUAGGGCAUAAAUACAGGCUAAAAUAACUGGGAGUGUGUAUAAUCUUACUAUUACGAUGGUAUAUCGCCCUGCAGAGUCAGUUUGCACAUAAGAUACUGUGAACUGUAUGAUUUUUCUGAUCAUAACAGCAACGCCCUUAGCCUUUGAGCGAUCAAUCAGCCGCUCUUUGUCCAAUUGUAGCACUUCAGUUAGCCUCUUUCACCUAGUCAAUCUCAGGCUUUGGCGCUGUGGUGUUAUUACCGCCGUUUUCACCGCCUUCAGUUCAUUUUUGAGAAUUUGGAAAUCAUUGGCAAGGCCCUUCCUCAGUUUGGCCGUGUCACUGUUGAAAUGUCUGCUUUUACAGUAAGAAGAAUUUCUGACUUCAAGCCUGCAACAGCCAUCCCUCCCAUAGCAGGUGAAGGCGGGUCACUUCAGCUGAGAUCUUGGCAGUACUCUGGUCUGAGAAGGAGUUGUGACUUGUGUUGGAGGAUCCAGUAUAUCUGUUGCCAUCUGGGCACCGCUGCAGAUUUGUUCCACUAUCCCAUUGAGUUUAGAAAGAGUUAACUGUUGCAUGAAAUAACAUAUUUUUUUUUGUUGUUGUUUAAAAUAGAGGUUUAAGGGGGCCUAUGUUAAACACAGCUUACUUCAUUGACCGUAAAACGAAUAAGGUAUAGGAACCAAGGGUUAAACACAAUGUCCCUUUGAUCAGAUUGUGUUAUGUGGAAAUGGAAAAAAAUCUCUCAGUAAAGAUCUCAAUCACGCAAACAGCAGACUGCUGGCAGUUCGGAUCACAACACACACCUGCCAACUAAAUGAACAGAGCAGAUAUACAUCUAGAAUGAGCCGCCCUGUAAAUAUAAAAAAGGAGAAAUGACUGCUGCAGUGAGCAGAGGGAGAAAUCACUGCAACACAUUUACACCCUUUACGACAGACAUGAACGGCUUUCAAAGCGGUUUUUAAUAUGGAGAAAUUUUCCCCUUGCCCAUUUGAGGAUGUAAAACAUCAUGCAAGCUGAAGUUUUGGAUGGAUGACUAAAGCUGCAUCAUAAAACAAGCAAAAAUGAGAGGGAAAGACGGAGAAAGAAACACAAUGUCCCUCAGCCUGAAAAAGAAAAAUGCUCAAGAGGAACAGAAAAGCUUUAUGGACGGUGCUUUGGUGUGACAGAGACAUAUUGGACAGUCCACUCCAAUCGUACCAACCAGGAACUGAGAAUAGCAAAACCAUAACUCUUUGCUGACAAAUCACCACAUCCUACAGUUGCAUGAACAUCAUAGUGUCAGAGCAGGAAAGCUGUGAACCAGGAGAGGUAAAUGAAUAAAAAGCUGCAAAUGAGACAGACAUGAAGAUGAAAAAGGGAGAGGUGCUCCACUGGAUGGGGUUUCAUGAUUUUUUUUACCUAAAUGCCCUCAGGUCUUAGCUCUGUACCUCAUAUUUGCCAUCUGUCCUCUAUGCUCGGACUCUUUUUGUCUUUGUCCAUCAGUACAGACGAGAGGAGUAAGUACAUUUGACAGGUUUUUUGUUUUGUUUUGUUUUUUUAGUCUUUCCUCUCACUGGAUGGGGGCAAACAUGGCGCCAUGAACUUAGACAGACAGAAGGAAAGUAGUCUGGUUCAGGCUUCUGGGUAAAGCAAACAUGGAGGGAAUGAGGUGUAGAGGUUUUGACAGUGACACAUUCACCAGUCGGGUUUAGGUUCAGCAUUCAUAGUUCUCUCUGUUUCCACCUCUUUGACUCCUACACCUCAUAUGUUUUUCUUCAAUUGAAAAAUGAUAUCUUUCCAGUUUGCACUGACUGAAAAUGUUGUACUGGGUAUCUGCAGCUCUGUCUCUAUUUCCUAAUCACUAAAAGUUUAGUCUAAUGAUGUUCAUCAAGACUCACCAGUAAGUAAAAUACCCCUGAAUGUUUUAUUUUUUCUUUUCUGUAAGGCUGAUUUACACAGAGACAGAGGUGAAAUUAACUCUAAAUAAAGACAUAAGGAACCAUUUAAAUCAAUGCUAACAUCACUGGCACAAAAGAUCCUUCGUGUCUUAGAACAAUGAAAUGUCUGUAUUGGCUGGAGUUACUAAAUAAGACCUUCAUUUUGUGUAAAACGUGAGCAGUUAUAAUUCUCAGACUGACUUUGAUAUAAAAACCCACCUCGUUUAAACAGUAAAAAACAAACUAAAGACACUAAGAGCAGGCACUAAGGCCAAUAUCUGAGGAGUCAUUUCUGUUCUUAGUAUUUUUACCGUUGACUUUAUAAUACAGGAGUGUAGUGUUGGUGACUCCAGUCAUUUGUUUGUGAGGCUGAUUUUUGAAGCCUGUUGGCAACUGUCACCUUUUGCAGCCAGCCUCAAGUGGUCACUCAGAGAACUGAACUUUUAUUCCUUGUUGGCUUCAUUUCUCAAGACCUAAAGUUGCUGCUUGGUUCUGGCCUUUUGCCUAAAGCUAAUUUGAAUUUUAGGCAAAGUCUUGUGUACAGUGCAAAGUUUUAGGAAACCCUAAUGCUGUAGAUGUCUUUGAUGUUUGCAAGAAAACUGAGCUUUACUUAAUUUAUAUACUUCAGUGCAAGGGGGGAUUAACAUUUCACGCUUAGUAGUUUUAAUUUUCCACUCUGCAUCCAACAAAAAGAAAGCUGAUUAUGAUGACCACUUGCUCAAGAAGACAUUCAAUAAUCAUGGACACAGUUCCUCUGUCAAGCCUGUGUAAUCAUUUUGAACCAUCUGUAUGUUGUUAUGUGGACAGAGUUAGUCAAAAAUAAUUCUGGUUUUGAGAACUGAGAAAAAAAACAUGUUUUUGAAUGUGUCUGUAAGUGUUUGGAAUUAACCUGACUUAGCCUGUGAAUGUGCAACCAUGUGCGUACAGCAUACAGUUCCUCAUCCACUGACACACUCAGUAAACUGUGGGUAAGUGUGUUUCAUGCAUGUCUGAGAGCUAAUCCAAUGUGUAUCAUGCGCAGUUGAAGCAGUCAGAUGGCCUGGGCUGCCUCUGAUUGUAUAAUUGUGUGUUGGUGUGUGACUGUAUGUGGGCGUGUGCUGGCAGUCUGAUGCUCAGGCUUUACCUACCUGUAAUUCAUCUAUAUGACAGGGUGAGCAGGUGUUGCUCCUCUGCAGAUGGCUGAGUGGGAUGUGAAGGCUGACUAAUGGUUGCAACAUGCAUGAUGCAUGCAGUCACUUUAAACCACAGGGAGGAGAAGAAAGACAAGAAACGUGCUGUUAGUUUUUUUUUCAACACAACACUUAAUCUUGCUAAUUUCAGUCCUUCUAAGUGUUUUGUCCCUUUUCCUUGACUAACUCAUCAACCCAAGGCUGCUAUCAGGUAACACUCUCCUCCUUUCUGCAAUGGAUUUGCAGACAUUGAUUAAGGUGCUGCUGUUUAAUGAGUCAAAAUUAUGGAGGUCUUCAGUUUGGUCUGCCACUGUUGGCAACCAUUGACACUCCUGUUUUCUGCUUAACAGUUAUACUUGUGAUCAGUGACCCUGCAAGAUCUUCAGUCUUUGCAAAAUCUCUGUCUGAUGAAAACCUUUGUGACUUGGUAGCAGCACCAUGUCUGAAGAUUUCAGAGGGUGUCAGAGAAUAGUCAUUUGUAUUUUCUUCCUAAUCUUUUGGUUUAUGGGCAGCAUGAACCAUUGCUUGAUUAUUAUAUAGAUGUUUGAUGUGUCAGCAAAACCUCUCCCAGAUAGAAUAGUUUGUUCAGAAGUUUCUAAAUUACGUUCCAAAAUGUGAACAUUUGCUUUUAGAUUUUUGAGUGACUUGAGAGCAGGGUGCUUACUAGCUUACAUGCUACUUACUUCAAUCCUGCUGCCCAUGUGAUUUUCUGGUAACACACACACACACACACACACACACACACACACACACACACACACACACACACACACACACACACACACACACACACACACACACACACACACUUAACCUCGUGCUGUUAAAUACUUGACUCUGAUUGGUCAAAACUUCAUAACAAGAAUCAGUUUUGAAUAACAAGAGAAAUACCAGUGAAAAAUAGUUCACACAUACAUUGCACAAGGCAUGUUUAAACUCUUCCUGUUGACACUUUGGUAAAAACCUUAGUGCUUGACAGCACUGGAAAAAACACAAUGGAUCUUUUGACAUUUAUCAUGUGUACACUGAGAAAUAUGGUUUCUCACAGAGCUCUAGGGUGGUGAUUUAUAACUGACCAGUUGACAACAGAGAGAAGAUAAUGAGCAAAACUGUAAAAAUAUGCCAAGGAUGUUAAAUGCACAAGAAGCAGAGUAACAGAGACCACAAACAAAUGGAGGAAAGCAGACUGGAGCAGCCACUGAGUGAUGCUGCAGUUACACAGGUAUGCUCUGUGUCCCAGGUGUGUGUCUACAUUUUUGCAGAAUCUGUCUGAGGGACAAUCAGUGUUUGCUGUGUUACUAGAGCCCAGUGUGUGCAUGCUUACAGUUUAGUUUGUUCCCUUUCCUUCUCAGUCAGCAGCUCAUGACUUUUAAUGUGUGCCAAAUUCUCCUUUCUAAAGUACAUUUGUCUCAUUGCUACCCUUUUUUCUUUACAGGCGCUGCAGGUCCACACCGUAACUUACAUUAAACUGGCCAUCUAUUUCUGCUCUGAAAAAAAUAUCACCAGCAAGUAAGUAUAAAUUAUAUUUAGAUGGGCCGAACUGCUUAAAGAAUGGCCGGGGGUGCCGAUAAAUCUGCAGCACAGAGAGUUUGAAGCUGUUUUCUAGCAGAAAAGGCAGAAAUUGAUUACUCUCCCUUAGCAGAGAGUAGAUAACUUCUGUGCUGGCAACAAUACUGAUAAAUUUUGCAGAGCUAUUUCUCUCUCUCCAUCUCUCCUCUCAACAUCCAAUCAUUUAUGGACGGAGGACUUUACCUUGAUGCCUUCAGGUAAGAACACGGAAAUAAAUAGAAAACAAAGAAGUUGAGAAGGGUAACAAUUCGAUAUUCAAGGGUUUUGUGGGCCAAGUGCCAAGUUGUGCAUAGAUAUCUGAUUUCUUAUUCAAAAGCUACAAAUACUUUUCUUGAAGAAGUUCUCAGAAACAAUAAUGCUCUCUAACAAUCACCUAUUCAUAUGAAUGUGUUGAUUUCUCCACAAGAAUUUAACUCUAACACAUAACUAAAGGACCUUUAAGGAAAUAGCUGUUAACCUGAUGGUGUACCACAUUUUAUUAUCUAAACAUUUAGAUUCCAACAGUUACAGAGAAAAAUGUUUUAAAACAAUUUGUAAGUUCCCUGAACAAGAUGCCAUAUGGUCAUUUUUGGUCCGUGUCUGCAUCAAAGGAUGUGAUCACAGUGCUCAGGUUGGGACUGUCUUUGUUUUAAAUAUACAAGGAAUACAUCUGACAGUUUGAAGACAGCUAGUCACAAAAAUACACUGAACAUGAUCAGUGCAAGAUUACUAAAAACAUACAAUUACCUCAUUCUACUUCACAGAUGACACCAAUAAAAACAUAAAUAGACUGUUUCUUACAGAGGAAAAAAAAGAAAAAAAGUCUGGUAUGUCAAACAGUGGUUAUUAUAUGCUGUCUAAUUUUUUUUAUUAGCUUAAAAUAUGUCAGUGUAAUAUAUUUUUUCUUUCUUUUGUAUUUUCUGUUCCAUUUUUGGUCUAGAGUUCCCCUGUGUUUCUGUCUCGUGUGUUUUCAGAGUUCAAUACUUGUGGUUGGUUUUGUGUGUGUGUUGUGUGUGUGUGUGUGUGUGUGUGUGUGUGUGUGUGUGUGUGUGUGCGCGCGCGCGCACAUGUGUAUUUUCUGGUUUAGUUUUUAAGUUCCUUCUUCUUGUAUGUCUCAUUUAGGCCUUAUACACUUGUAGACGGGUAUUUGUUUUUUGUUUUCUGGCCUUGAUUCACCCUAAAGUUAAUUUAAACCAGUUCCUUCAUUGUUGAUAUAAUAUUGAAAUAAAUAUCCCUGUAAAUUAACUUCUAACCCAUUUCUGGUUGUGGCUGCUUGGGAUUUAGGGAAAAAGGGUCUUACCCAUGUUGGGACUUGGGGAAAAGAGGCCUUACGCAUAUUGUGCCCUGGCCUUCUCUAGACGAGAAUGAUAAAUUAGUUUAUAUAUUUGGUGUAUCAGUGAACACAGGGCAGGGCUGACAAUCCUGAUAUUAAAAACAAGAGAUUAUUCAACUUCUUGUAUGCUUUUCAGUUCUAAAAGGCUUUUCAUAGAAGGAGUUCACCUUAUCUCUCUCUCUCUCUCUCUCUCUCUCUCUCUCUCUCUCUCUCUCUCUCUCUCCAUAUACAUAUAUAUAUAUGUAUAUAUAUAUAUAUAUAGAGAGAGAGAGAUAAGGUGAACUCCUUAUAUGAAAAGCCUUCUACAGAAGUUGACAUAAUCAGUAAAACAGUCAACCUGUUCAUCAAUGUUCAUAUUAUCCACAUCUGUUUCCAGCAGCACAUUCCAGUCUGUUGAUUUAAAACAGUCCCUUAGAGCUUCACUGGCUUGAGGUGUCUAUCUUCUGAUUUUGACUUUGGUCACAGGCUGCCUCAGCACACAAGGUCUGUAACAGGUCUGCAGAUAGACCAAGUUAUGAUCUGACUUGCCCAGAGGUGAUAAGACAGUGGCUCUGUAGGCUUCUUUGACGUUGGCAUACAGCAGAUCCAGGGUCAUGUUUUCUCUGGAUUCACACAGUUGGUGAACUGUACUACCAGUCAGGUGAGAGGAGAGGGAGUCUCCCGAUAUUAUUAUUAGUACCUCAGGGUGUUGAGUCUGUAGCCUGGCAACACAAUUUUGCAAAACAUUGCAACAUUCUUCAGUUGAUCUGGGUGGAAUGUAAAGAACUACUGUUAUGAUAUGACUAAAUUCUUUUGGAACAUAAUAUGGCCGAAGAGCAACUGCCAACAGUUCAAUAUCUGGACAACACAACUUCUCCUUGACAGUUAUGUGUGAAGGGUUACACCAUCUCUGGUUGACAAAUAAAGCCAGACCUCCUCCUUUCUUCUUGCCACUAGCUUGAGCAUCUCUGUCUGACCUUAUGAGAGUGAAACCAGGUAGAUCCACACUGGAGUCCGAGUUGUUUUGAUUCAACCAGGUUUCAGUAAAACACAGGAGACUGCACUCACGGUAUGCUUUCUCAGUUUUCAGCAAUAUCUCCAGCUCAUCACUUUAGUUGGGCAGAGAGUUGACGUUUCCCAUGAUGAUUGAUGGAAGAAAGGGUUUAUAUCGCCACCUCCUAGCAUUCAGCUUUGCCUUCACCUUUGCACCAGCACACCAUCCACAAUAACACCUCCUGAUGUCCUCUGGAAUUGUAUGUCGUUGCCCAGAUUUGCUUUUCCUCAAUGAAAGGAGCUCUUCUCUUGAGUGAACUCUGCGCCCAGCAGAAGUAUCCAUCGGCAGCCAACAAAAUGACAACAAAAAUAUGAAAAAAAAUCUAGCAAAAAUUUCAGAAAUUACAGAUAAUGCAGAGAGACCAGACUUGCAGCAACCUCUUGGUUUAAGCGCAUCAUUAUAUAUAUAUAUGUGUGUGUGUGUGUGUGUGUGUGUGUGUGUGUGUGUGUGUGUGUGUGUGUGUGUGUGUGUGUGUGUGUGUGUGUGUGUGUGUGUGUGUGUUUGUGUGUGUAUAUUACCAAGAACAGGACGGACAUCCUGUUCUUGGUGAUGUCACCAAUGUGCCGUAUUUUCUCUUGAUGAUGAUGGUCUUCACUUCAAUGGUAUCUGACUGAUAUCUUUGAAUAAUGAGAUCCCUCUGAUGCUUUGGAAGUUCUCUGCAGACCAUGGCUUGUGCUGGAAGAUGUGGCUACUAAAAUGUCAGGAAAAACUACUAGAACAGCUGAACUUUAUUUGGAGUUGAUCAGAGGCUCUUUAAUUGGUGACAGGUGUGUGCUGACUCCAAUUAACCCUGGGUUUUUAUGUUAUUGGCUAAAUCUGAACACAGCCACAUCCCCACUUAUUAAAGGGUGUGCACACUUAUGCAACCACAUGAUCUCAGUUCUUUAUUUUUAUCUCACCUCCCUGAAAGAUUUCUGUUUGCUUUUCAAUUGCAUUGUACAGAUUAUAGGUCACAUUAAAGGUGGAAAAAGUUGUGAAAUUAUUUAUCUUGAUCCUGUAUCCUGUAUGUGUUCACCAGAUAUAAUACACUUGAAUUUUUCAAAAACCAAACACAAGGAGACGUGAACAGUUAGAAGUUAGAAGAAAAUUAUCAAAGCUUGUUAUACCCGACAGCGUAUAAGAAAAUUGACACAUCGCAAAUUUAUUGUGAUGGCUGCUUGUGCAUCUGAUGUACGCAGACCUUCUGGGGUCACACUAUCAAGCCCAUGAAUUUUCUGCUUUGAAUUGCCAAAUAUUCACAUUUUUUAAUGCAACUUAAUGUCUUGUGCUUUUUGACUGAAAUCUUAUGAUUGUGUUGAGAAACAUUUUUAAUUCAGAUUUAAAAAUGAAUGGAAAAAGGUUUAUAUAUAUAUAUAUUUUUUUCAAUUUAUGGAAACAGAAGCUUUGUACUUUCCUUUCAUGCAUUGAUACUUGACAUAUAAUCAGGAAAAAAAAAAUUGGAGCCCAAAAGCGCACUUAAAUUUUUAGGACAUUCUUUACAGAGUAAUUGCAUUUCAGGUUGCCUGGUUUGAGAACAAGGCAUGUAACAUCUUAUAAGUUAUCAUGUUUCACCCUUUCCCCUGACUUAAAGGUAGGGUAGGUAGUGAUGUUCAGAGACACUUUUUGUCAUAGUGGAUGAAAUAGUUCUUCCACUCUGAGAGCAGUCAAUUCAUUAUGUAUUCAGAAAGAGAAAGGAAGAGAAUCCGAGAUCUGUGGCAGCCGCAAUACUGUAAAAACUUUGACCAAUCAUUGCAUUCGAUCCGAAUGUAAAGAACCAAUCAGAUGCCUUCAAGUCUUGCCCCGCGCCCGCGCCCGCCCAGCUCCCCUCAGCUUGGAAAGAUUACAGAUAAAUAACUACUGCAGAUAUUUUAGACAGAGUACUGUCUUCAUACCACACUCUCCUUCUCCUCAUUUUAGGUACCGCAAGCUGUAUAACAGAAAGUCCAGAGCAACGAGUUUGUUCACCAGAAAGGCCCCACAAGAUGUACAUCUGACCAAGAGGACUUAUUUAUGUUAUAUUUUAUCUUAUGUGUCAUCUUGUAUGCACCAUUACUACUGCUGACUCUGUUGUGACAAAAGUUGUUCAAGUCUUUGCUGAUGUUAUUGUCAAUGAUAAUUAUAAUUUACUAGUCUGCUAGUAAAUUGCCUAGGGAGUCGGAACGAGUGUCUGUUUGUGGUUGGGGCCUGCUGGAGCAGCAAGGGAGGGGAGAGGAGGAGCUGAGGGGAGAACUGGUGGGGAGGGGUAGUGUUUACAUUCAAAAUAACUCCCCAAUACUGUCACUUCUGAGACCCUGUCUACCCUAACUUUAAGGUGAAAACAAAGAGGGUUAGCAUUUCAUCAUUACUGACUACAGGUUAUAAGUUUGAGAAAAUGCAUCUCUGGCAAAAACAACAUUUAUGGGAAAGAUAAUAGGCUCAAACUCUAUGUGUCUCUAUGAAUGAACUGUAAAACAACCUUUCAGAAAACUACAGAGUAUAAAAACAGCCUUCUGGCGCAUCUCAGUCACAGACGCGUACCUCAAGGCCACCUGCCUGCAGAUCAAACCAGCUGCACAGCAGUAAAGGUGGGAUAAUCACAUAUCUCCUCUCAUACAUUGACCUGGAAGAUGAUUCUCGUGUUACUUGCCCAUAUAUUAUCCUUCUCUUUGUCUUUCCUUUUCCACAUGAAUUGGCUAAUCAUCUUGGUGCUCAGCUUUAAAUUGACCAUCAUCAUCAUGUGAAAUGAGUCAUGAUGGUCCUCCUAACAGUCCACUGCAUAACCAGCCAUCACACUCUGUUGUGUCGGAUUGUAUUGAACAACAAUUAUGGGCUGAAAUUGCUUCUUGAUUGCUAUGAAAUUAGUAUGACCUGCACAGGCAAAUAUGUAAACAAACAACAGAUGAAUUAGAAGGUGAUAAAUGCGUCACUUAUCUGUCAGUUUUAAGCAUUUGGUUGUGUUUGAUUUUGUUUUGAAAACCCAGUCAUUCCUUAAUCCCUCUGUUGCCACAAAACCUGGUACCAUGGGAAGCAUAUGCCACAAUAAACUUAUUCAGACCCCACAGAAGCACCAUCUGCUGAGCCUGUUAGGGUAUUGUUUUUUUUUUUUUUUCUUAUUUUCCCUGGGACUAUUAAUGCUCGUCUCAAUGUCACCUCACAUCUCUGUUCACCUGGCCUUACAGUUUUCUCUUUCCACAGUCGCUGUAUUUACCUAUGUGGACUCGUUAAAUGAGGCCACACAUUACUCUUAUUACACUUUUUUUGGUACCACAUAUUCCGCAGAACUGUCCCCUUACAGAAUAAAAUACAUGCAAAGGAAACUGGGCUUGUAAAUGGGCAGUUUGUCUAUUGCUUUCUUACAUUUAGGUUAAAAGUGGGUAAAAACGCAGCAAAAAUUUAAAGAGGAGACCUGCAGAACUGGAGAAGCCUUUUGGAAGAGAGGUAAGACAUCCUCAAAAAACUCCAGACGACCAUGACCUGAAUGAAUGAGAACCUACACAGCCGUUUGAAGAGGGGGUAGGAUGCACUUCUUUUCGACUCUAUACUUCCUCUCUGACUCCUCUUCACUAAAUAAUAAUAAAAAUAAUAAUUUGUAUUUAUAACGUGCUUUUACAAGUGCUCAGAAACGCUUUAUAAGGAACACAAUUUAAAUACAGAAAAAUUUGGAGUAAUACACCAACAAUGUAAAAGGUUAAAAAGGACAUAACAUGAAAAGAGAAUAAAAGAACAGUUUACAGGUUAAAAGCCCAUUUUAAAAGGUGUGUUUUAAGGAGUGAUUUAAAAGUAUGGGGGUCUGUACAGUCUUGGAUGGGUUUGGGGAGUGAGUUCAAGAGGUUGGGGGCAGCAACGGAGAGGGCUCUGUCCCCUCAAGUUUGGUGCUUGGUCCGAGGGGGUAGGGCAAGAAGAGUUCCCUCUGAGGAUCAGAGGGCACGGGAGGGGUGUAGUGGUGGAGGUCUGAGGUAGGUCAGGGCCAGGUUGUUGAGUGAGUUGUGGGUGAGCAGGAGGAUUUUGAAUUGUAAGUGGUGUGAGAUGGGGAGCCAGGGCAGGGGUGAUGUGUUCUCGGGAGUUGGUGAGGGUGAGCAGGCGGGCAACAGAGUUCUGAAUAUAUUGGAGUUUAUUGAGGACUGUUACAAUAAUCUAGUCUGGAUGUUAUGAAGGCAUGGAUCAAGGUAUAGACAAUAUCUUUAAUAUCUUUACAUGACUUUCAGAUUAACUUGGACUUGGACUGUAAAAUGAUACAGAAUUGACAGGACUGAAUGGGCUAUGCUAGGACAUAGUAUUAUACAGUAUGAUGUGAUCUUGUAUAUAAUACAAAGACAUAAGCCUCAUUGUCCUCUUUAAAAAAGAGUGGUGCAACCAUUUUCUACCGCUUAUUCCUGUUCCUGGGGACUUUUCCAGCAUCUUCGGACAAAAGCAGGGGACACCCUGGACAAGUCGCCAGUUCAUCACAGGGCUGACAUUAAGAGAUGAACAACCAUCCACGCUCACAUUCAAACCUACAGGCAAUUUGACAGUGGCCAAUCAACCUAACCCCACUUCUGCCUGUUUUUGGGAUGUGAGAGGAAACCGGAAUAAACCCACGCAGACACAGGGAGAACAUGCAAACUCCACAAAGAAACGCCCUGACCCAGAUUCGAACCCCUGACCUUCUUGCUGUGAGGCGAUUGUGCUAACCACUACAACACUGUGCCGCCCUAAAAGAGUAGUCUUGGAUUGAAAUGCUGCUAAGAUUUACUUUCAUUCACUCAAAUAAUUCAGAAGGCAGGAAGUAAUGAGAUAAUAAUGGCAGAAAGCAGAGGUGACCAUGUACUAUUUAAGUUUAAACCAGGUCAAAGCAAAGCUCUUCUUGACAUAAACCAUGUGUUUUAUGUGUAAGAUCUUGCAGGUUAAUCAAUCUAAAUUGCACCGCGCCAUUUCAUGACAAAUGUUAUCCCGAGACGUUUAAAAAAAAACAAUACCUGUUACCUGCCGUCAGCAGAGGCAGUUGUUUAUUGCUCCCAAGUGUUCCUGUAGGUUGUAUUAGCUGGUGGGAAUAAAUGACCUCUGUGGUUGUUUGGCUUGGAGGACUUGUUGGAUAAAUGACAAGUAAUCCCAAAGCCCCCACAGCUGAUGAAGAGUCAUGGGACCUGCUGUUCUCACAACAUCUGCUCCAGCUGUUGUGGAAAGUGCUCCACUCAUUAUAAAUCCAUGAUAAAGCAGCAAUGGCAGAUACAUGCUGUUUAGAAAUGUCACACAAACCCUCCUCUGAGGUCAAGUUGAACAGUAGUGGUGUGUUGUUGCCAGCUGAUGAUACCUUCCUCAUGCUGUGACACCCACAUUUCAUGUUAGGCUGGAGAAAGACUGAACCAUUGUGAUCCUCCUAAAGGUAAAAGUGCGCUCCAUGGCCUGGCUUUUUCUUCCACUAAUGUUUGCAUGUAAAAUGAACUUGACUCAUGCAAGUGAAUAUUAUAAUAACGGCAUGAAAGUGUCUUUUUUUUAUUGUUUUGUUAACAUUUUCAAAAUCCAAAUCAAUGACUCACUUAAUCACUAAAAUAAAUAAAUGUGCAGUCUUUACAGAAGGUUCACAGGGCCUGUCUGCUCCCUGUGGCCUCUGCUGUUACUCUGAAGCCGAUGCUUCUGUAAUCCUGUGCCAUCCACCACCCCUGCCUGUCCUAGGUGGCCAUCAAGGCUCCCUUGACAGCACGUAGUGUCCGGCUACCAUUUUUUACUUUUUACUGAAAUUUGUGUUAUUAAAACCUCUUCAUUUGCUUAUAAAAUCAGAUAUUCCAAAUUACAGCUGCAUAAAUACAAAAAGAAAAAAAAAAGGAUAAGAAACUUAGGGCCUGAUCUACUAAGAUCCCAAAUAUCGAGCGCUAAGUUGCGUGUGCAUGUUGCGGGUGAUCUACUAUCAUUGCGUGCGCGAUUGAUAACAGGUGCAAAAGUGGUGCAGACUGCCCUCUUUUGACGAGGAUUUUGUGUGCGCUAUCUGCUGUCACCAUGGAAAGUUUGUGAGAGCAGAGUGGUUGUAGAUGAAAAAUGAAGUUUGAAGCCAUGGAGUUUCACCUAUCGUUUGGGGGAACUGCAGAAAAAGUUUAUUUGUAAAACACCAUUUAUACACAAGGCAAUUCAAAGUGCUUUACAGAUGUAAGAAAAUGUAUUUGAAAUGAAAAAAAAAAGAUUCAAAUAAUUUAAAAUCAAUAACACAAAGAGAUAAAUUUUGUGACUGCUCCAUGUUUGACCUAAUCAUUUAUCAAAACCGUCACUAGAAAAACACUUUUGCCUCUUUCUCCAUGCAAUGACUGCAGCCAUUUGUGCGAAACACUGUACUAGUUAGCACGUGCCUUUCAAACGUGCUACAUGAAGAUGCAAAAUAGCGACCACAACUGGUUUCCUGGUUUGGUAAAUCUCGUUGUGGAUGCUAAAUGAUUCCAUUUGCAUCUGCUCCUCCCAGAAUUUUGUGCGGUCUGAUGGUCUACAUACAUUCUGCAUAUUCAUGAAGGCAAAUAUGCUAAAUGGAUUGCGCAUGCUGCGUUCCUCAUUUGACAGACGCACGCAAACCUUUAGUAGCUCAUGCCCUUUGAGUUAAAAAAGAAAUAUACUCAAGUGUUAUUUUCUAUAUACAUGUGUAAAGCAUAUACAUAUAAAUAUAGUUUAUUGCACACUGAAGUUUCUGUUGUGGAGUCUGACAGCUGCAGGAAGGAAUAACCUGCGAUAACUCUCCAUCACACACUUUGACUGGAGCAUCCUGUCCUUUAAGGAGCUCCUCAGCGCAAUGAGUGUGUGUUAUAAUCUCUCUCUCUCUCGCUCUCUCUCUCAUUUUUUGCUUCUUGUGAUAUCCCUGUAAAUACACACAAAAGAUUUCAGUCUGUCCAAUCCAUAAGUAAGAUUGUUCAGUUCUACUCUUUUCUAAAUCAACACCAAAAUGGCUAUGGCGAGGUCACCAUUAAUUCAGUGAUGGUACAAUAGUCUUCUAAGUCAGCUGAUGAGACCUACAUAGCCACACUGACAUGUUAAAACAAACACACUGGCUCUCGCGCACUUAGGCACAGCAGAAGCUUGCGGCGCUGAAGCAGAUGAGCUUACAGUAAGUCAUAGUGACAGCUGCUUCUUUCUGUGAGUCACAAUAAAUAUACUAAUAUCUGCACUCUCAUUCUUACUGUCUCCUUCUCCUACCUCCAGUCGCCUCUCACUGUUUCUGAGAGAAAGCAGACUGAAAUUUACCGUCUCAUUUCUGGUCUGCCUGUUUCUCAUUCUCUGCUUUGGCUUGCUCGCCUUCUGUCCUUUUCUUUAUUUCUUUUAUAAAUCAGACUAACGAAAAAAAAAACCCAACAACUCUUUAGUACUGGCAUUGGCAGUAGAUUUAUGGUGAUGUACAUACAUGCAUGCUGCUAUUCACUGCUCAGCAGAAACCCUCAGGGCUGAAUCUAGUAGUAACCUCAUCAGUGAAGAAAAAGCUAUGGUUCCUUGUUUACAGCCACUACCAAAAGCAGUUUUGGUGACAGAUGGGAGCCCCUAGCUGUGCGCUCAGUGUCAACUUAGUUAAUUCCAGUCAGUGAACUUAAACUCGGCCAUGUUUGUGUUGUUGGUGCAUUUUAGAGGAUGUGUCAUCUAAGAACUAUGGCAAUGUUGUAUGUUUGUUAAAAAAAUAACUACAGACUGUUUUUGUGGAGGUCUUUUACAGCUGUUUGUCCCAGAAUAUGCCCUGCUCUGCAUGUGUUUUAAUAAGAAAAACACACAUUAACAUUAUGUUGUGUCUCUAUCCUGUUACCUGUAUCCUGACUCAAAAAACACCCGUUCAUCAAGAAUAACCUGCAGCUCAUUACAUACAGGCUGUUUAGAAACCGAUGAGAGAUUGUGAUCUGUUUCCAGGUAGCGCUCUGUUCAUAAACCUCAGUGAGUGUGUGUUUCCUUUGAAACACUUCUGUGGAGGGUGUUCAGGUAUCUCCUCACUUAUCGUCUUAGAGAUUUCCCUGCUCUCUCUUUUUUGUGUUCUCUCUCUUCCACGCAGCAGUCAGAGCUUUGCAAAACUCUUUCACAUGGUGACAGGGGCGCCGCCAGGAAUUUUGGGCCCCAUGACAAAAAAUCAAUUGGUCCUCAUUUGUCAUCACCUCUGGAGGACCUAACUGUCCCAUCAAACAUUUUACAUAACUGAAAUUAAAGGCUUUUAACUUGCUUCUUGUAGUUUAUUACUACUACUAGCACAAUAUUUACUGCUUGUGAUUUGUACAUCCAAGUCUACAGGAUGCAGUUUACUAUUUGACACAAUUGCAUAGUCAACUUCCGGCCAUGUUCAUAAUUAAAAUAAUAAGCCUGUAUCUAAAGAUGUCAUUUAACAGUCAUAAUCUAAAUGAAUGUAUCAAUAUUAAUAUCACUUGCAUGCAGGUUGAGGUAAGCUACUCACUUUUUCCAACUGUCCAGCAACCAGUACAGACAGUAGGCUGUUUCUAAUCUUUUAUUAUUUCAUAAUGAUCAUUAAGUGAGAAAUAAUUUGUGUUUAAAUUUAUGUAAUGAAUAAAUAUUUCUCUUUUUUUGAACUGUAAAAAAAAGCAAGAGAGACAGAGAGAUCCACAGACUCCCUGCAAUGAUGCUAACUGUCAUGUCAUAGAACACAGUGUUGCUCACCUUCUUCACUGGGAUAGGAGUGGGUGAGGGUAUGGGGAGACUUGGGUGCUGCUGAAUCAUCUGUUGUUUAGUCUGGUAAUAGGGACAAGGACAAUGAUUUGAUAUGAAUAUCUUGCUAAAUGUUUUCCUGCAAUGAUUACACGUUGAUGAAAUAGGCUAACGCUAGUCCGUAGCUUGCUAGCUUACUUCGCAAUAGACAGAAAUAGGCAACCUAUCUUUCUUAGUAAAGAGGUGUUAAGCUCUUUUGUCUCUCUCUCUUGCUUUCCUGUCUUUUCUUUUCUGAAAAAAAUAACUGGUUUUACCUUCUUGGGCAACAUUGUGGUCACUCAUUAUAGUAACUUAAAUCUCCUGUCCCCACUGCAAUAAAACACGUUUCUGAUGCGCUAAGGCAGCUACAGGACCAAACCAUUUCAUACAAUGGGGUGGUCGGUCAACAGGGAUGUUUAUUUUGCAGUCAAUUGGAAUUUUUAACAUUAACUGCCAAAAACAAGUAAAAACAAAGAGGUCAAUAAUUCUAAGAAUUUUAUAUUUAACAUAUAUAUAUAUGUGUGUGUGUGUGUGUGUGUGUGUGUGUGUGUGUGUAUGUGUGUACAGUUCCUAAUUAUACGGCACCGCUGCAUGGUGGAUCUGCAAAUACUUCUGUUUCAACUGAGGACCAUGUAACUUUAAUGGAAGAGCUUUGGGAUCUGGCCUUUUCUCUCCCCGCAGUAUAGUCCAGCUGCACAGGUACUGAUCCCACACAGGGCACCAAGGUCAAUAUUUCAAUAAAACAUUUUCCUGCUCUGCUCACAAGGGAGUUUAAGCCCCAAGAACUUGCAGUUUAACACUAAUUGGAACAGGUGCAUGAGCAGCCUUGACACUGACAGAUACCUCUUCCAACAGAACCAACAUUAUGGACAAAACCAACACAACAUUACUAAUCUGCACUCACAACCUUCAAACAAGGCUGACGUCUGAAAUCUGAAGACUAUCUCUCUACUACUGAUAAAAUCAGUUGUUCCACUUUCACAAGGGUGCACCCCACUUGCCCAACCAAUUUACACCCCACUACAUGCCUAUAUGUGGUUAAGAAACAUACAACAAGCAGGCCUGUAUGCGAAUCUGUUUCAGAUCCCACAUAUUACUAAAACACUAAAUUAACAGUCUUAGAAUCAACUGGCCGAAAACCUGCAAUGCCUCUUUCGUGAAUGUGUUUCACACGGAGAAAAAGAAACAUGAAGACUGUUUGAUUAGUAUUCAGAUGCUAAUGUCACACACAUGUUCAUUUAGUACUGGCAGGCUCAUGUUUAUUCAUGCAUAAUCCUCCAUGUGUUGUAGCAUUUACAGGAUCAUUUAGCUGAGCAUGAUUGUUCAAAGCUGGAGGAGAAUGAAAAGACCUUCAGGUCCCUGCAAAGAGAACAUGCUUGAUGGUCCCGGAUAUGGCUCUGUUAUCCAUAAUGUGUAACAUGUUGUCAAUAGUAUAAAUAAUUACCUACAUUUAAACUCUUUGUUACUGUCAAUACUAAAGAACAAAUAUUGCAAUUAGAUGCUGCUGUUGCAUGCAGAUUGUUGAAGACUGUUUGGCUGAUCAGACAUUAAGUGAUUGUACUACAAUGGAAUCUCAGCUGAGAAUUUUAGUCAUGAUCUUUUAUAUUUCUGUGACUUCUUGUGAGCUGCAGAUGGUUGCUAGGCUACAGAACCCCGUGUAAAGCAUGUUUGUCUUUUUGUUUGACUGUCAUAACCCAUUGUAACACUGCAUCGGCUUCCUGUCACAAUAAAAAAUAAACCCAUAUUUUUCUGUCACACUGUGAAAAUGAGCGUGUUCUAUCAGAGCCUGUAGGUGGAUGGCCCUGCUCCAGCAACACAAAGGUAUGCUGUGGUUCAGAAAUGAGUUAGUGUGGGUCUCUCAAUGCAGAAAAAGCUUGUUUUGCUGUUUGUUUUAUUUUUGAUGCAGACAGGCAAUGACAAAUUUAUACUUUCACAACAGCAUGCACGGAAACCAUUCUAAAAACCCACAAGACUCAAGGUCUUCUGUUCACACUGAGUAUUAAGGCCACAUUGAAAAAAAAAAUAAUCACAGACUGAGAGAAAAGUCAUAAUUUACAUGAAUAAAGUCACAAUAUUAAGAGAAUAAUGUCAGCAGCCAUUCAUAGCAAUGCCAUAGGGUUUUCCAUAUCAAUCCAUAUGCAAUAAGGUGUUGGGGCUUUUGCAGGUGUACUACUGAUGCUGUGUUCAUCGGAGCUCCUUUUGGAUCCAAAAUCUUGAUGAUCAGUUGGAUUCUUUAUUAAAAUCUGGUUCUUUUCCCGGAAAAGAUCCAUUUCUUGCAUAUUCUUUUAAAAAUCCUUAUACUUAUGACAACACACAGCUGAUUAAGUAUCCCCUUGUUUGUACUAAAGUACAAUUCAUCUAAAUGCUCCACUGCUCGAAUUCUAACAACUCUCCUCUAAAACAACAGGUCAAAAAUUCAAUCUCGUAAGUUUGACUUUACUCUUGUAAAUUAAUGACUUUAUUCUUUUAAUAUGAUGACUUCAUUCCUGUAAAUUAAUGACUCUAUUUUCAAGGUCUGUGAAAAAAACAAAAAAAUCAAACUCAAUAUGGUCCUAAUCCCCGUCGCUUUUAUGCAAUCAUUUUUCAAACUGUCUUUCUUGAAACAGACAAGUGUCCUGGCGAUGUCUGAGAACAACUCUGUAUCCAUCAUCACGAGCUUGAAAACACAUCUGUUAUCUGGCUCAAGUUGUCAGUCUAGACAAAUUUCUUCUCAGUGUGUCUUUGUUUAUUAACGGUGCCUGCUAUUCCCAGUACUGCAGCAUCACAUAAACACUUGUGUCAUCCUGGCACGCACAUAGAAGUUUAAACAGGCAAAAUAGUUACUGAAUUCAUGCAUCUGUUGUCCUUCGCAUCAAAACACAUUUUCGCUCAAGAAAUCACACAUAAAAUGAAAGAUGUGCUGCAAGCAGAGCCAGCAAUGCCUUAUAUCAGACUGCUAAAAGUCCAGACAGUGUCCUUUUUCUCUUCCAGAAAAGGCUCAUUAGAUUCAGGUCCAGAAAAGACGCAUCAGUGGCAGUGAAAUUCCCACAUUACAAACUCAUGUAUGCUCUCCAACAUUUUUCACAUUCUGUCAUCCACAUAUACUACUGCAGUAUAAUAUCCCUGUGGGUGCUUGGCAUAAAUAUAGCAAAUGUUAUGCUAUAGAUACAUUUAAGACAACAAUAGGAGCAGACAGUGUGUCACCAUCUUGCCCAAGAGUCAGUUUUGAUAAGUUCAACACAUUUUCAAGCACAUUUGAUAGUUCACUAGAGCUGUAGAUCCUUUAAGUCUUCAAAUGCCACAGCGUCGUUCCGGAUUACAUGACGGUAUGGGAGGGUGGGGAGUGGGGGGGGUAACAAACUGAAGGUUCAAGGUCCUCCUAUCUGGAAAAGAUUUAUAUUGACCAACCUGAAAGACUAGACAGGUCUGACUGCUGAACUCUUGUAGUUUGCCUGCCCUGCUUGCAUGUUGCUGGAUGAUGCAGUCAACAUUAGACAACACAACAACUUUCAACACAUUAUCUUCUUCCCAGAAAAAAAGGUGAGGAUUUAAUGUUCAACUCUUUCACUCCAGACAUAUUUUCAUAUCUCAUCUUAUUGUACCAUUUUGUCUUGUAAAACUGUAUCAUAUCAUAAUAUAUGUGUUAUAAAAUAGAUCAUAGGAUCAUCAGAUCAUAGGAUGUUAUAUCAGAUGGCAUUACAUAAUACUGUAUUUAUUCCUAUCCUACCGGACAACAUUGCACCAAAAAAAUUAAGAAAAGAAUCACCAGUCGGCAAAACAAUCUCAAGCAGAAUCAUUUGUAAUGACAAAACAAACAAAACAGUGAAAAAGGAAGGUGCAAUCAUGUGCGUGUAACACAGUUCAGUUUGUGUCAAACAGUUAAAGUGUACUCUUUGAGGGAAAAACAGAAAAAGAAAGUCUGUCUUCUUUUUUACAGUCCCAUUUCCACAGCUCAGACUGAUUUUUAAAUGCAAAUAAAAAUACACAACAUUAUCACAGGUAUUCUUGCAUCCCCUAUAAACACACACUGGAGUACAAAAAUGGAAUGACGCACAAGCGUCUCUUGCACUGAAGAAUCAAAAACACACUUUAAAACAUAUUGUACUCACUGUACCAGUCAGUCAGUCAGCAAUUAGGACAUGCCGUCCAGCUCCAGGUGGCAGCUUAAACCCCAUAAAAUUGCAAAUAAUUGCCCUCAGAGCCCCGCUAUGCAGGCCACACUCCGAGAAGUACAAAGGAUGAUUGUGGGACAAGUGUGUGAAUUAUUGAAACCUGCCACUUCUGCUGCAAUGUUAAUGUUAGGCUGCAAGCUAGCAUGAAGAGGAGUGUGCAGAGCAGCGCUGUCUCCGCCCACAACUCAGAGGCGAACUGCUCAUGAGCUAUUGACGCUCUACCUAAGAAAAGUCCUUGAAAAUGAUACAAGUCGUAUGAUUUUGGCAAAAAACUUCAUAUUCACAAUUGAAUGACCUCUGAGAACUAUAGACUUUAUAAACUAUGGACAACUUGGUUCCACCUUCCGUCAUUAAAUGCAUUUGAAGCCGAAUUGCUCUCUGUAUUUCAGGGAUUUUCUCCACUUCCUGGAACCACCACUUGCGUAGUAGUAUUGUAUGCAUCUUGCGGGAAGGUCGCUGUGAUGACGCUCUGCCCAAACAGCAUAUCGCCCGGAUGAUCUACGCAAUCUUCAUAUGCCCAUAGGCUGUAUCAAGUGUCAAUCAUUGUACAUGAACCCCCUAAAAACUUUAAAAAACGGAGCUGUACAGAAAAAAGUGGACUUGAACACAAACCAGUCUUAAUAUAACUACGUCAACAUCACAUUCAUAUUCUGUGUAGUAAAAUUUCCUGGAGGAGGCGUGGCUUAUGACCUAUUCUGCAGCUCGUCACUAGAGGGUGCUGUUCUCGUGGAGGCUUCACCCAGUGAGGAGGCAGAUAACAUCCAUUAUAUAUACAGUCUAUGCUAAGAACACUUAAAAACAAUUAAAAAAAAAAUACAAAUACAAUCGUGGUGGGACUUUAACAUUCUGCCAACCAACACAGUAACGAGGUAGGAUGACUCAUAAAACGCCACAACACAGAUUGUGAUAGCACGAGUGGCUGUGGUAAGCUAGCAAGUGUGACUGUGCUGAUCCUAUCAGAUGCUCUCUCUCUUCCUAAGCUGAAAACAAUUCCGGCUAAGUGAUUCAGACGAGCCGGGCGAAGUGUUAUGCUGCAACUGGUUGGCUCAGAGUUGGUGGCUGUGGAGCAUGGGGCAGGUCUGGUCUUGUCAUGAAAAAGAGCUAACAGGUAAGGGGGAACAGGUAGCACUGGGGAGCAUCCAUGACUGUGUAAACAUGGAUGUCAUCUUUGCCCUGACUUUUUGAGAAAUAAAAAGAUAAAUGCACAUAAAGCAGAGAAGAGCUGCAUGUCUCCUACAUUUACCAGAAUCUUAUUUUUCCCUCUGUAACACCUUGGGCUCUAUUUUCGUGUCCACAGGGGACGUGGCAGAGGGUGGCCUGUCUAGUCUUUCAGGUGGGUCUAGUGGUAUUUUGGUAGACCAGCGCGUAUCGGUAUACGUCACCGAUGCCUCACAGGCAGGUUUCCACAGUGUCAGGCACAUUUCAGUGCAAUAAAUAAUCAUCAACAACUAAUAAUCUGAGUCAGCACAUACAUUUAGAUCUAUAUAGAUAUAUUCUGAUCUAUAUUUGAUCUGAUGAGUGCGUUUGGCACGCGUUUGGACACACAACCUGACCAAAUCAACACAGCUGGAGCCGCAUUAAAUAAAAUAAAAUAUCUAGUAAAUAAACACACAUGAUGAACUUAACAGGAUAUGUAAUUUGUCUCCCUCCCUUUCUUUCUUCCUCUUCCUCUUAUUCCUCAGCUAGACCUGAACAUGUCUCUGUGUCCUCUCUCCAUCCUGCUGCAGCUGCUGCUGCUGUGGCUGAACAGAUGAUUUAUUGAGAGAGUGUGGAGGACGCCCUCUGCAGCGCUUACAGCGACACUUGUUGAGAGGCUGCCUUCUGUAGCCAUCGCCUGGCAUUGCUGUCUUCAGACAUCUCUUUAUCUCUUUGACUACUUCAUGAAAACUGCAGUACGCCUCGCCAGUGGCAGAUUUAAAGGUGAGGAGAGGAGCUGAUGUUAUUGGUCAAUACAGGUCUCAGCUGUGUUAAAUCCACUCCACGCCCUCUCUCCUCCCUCGCUACGACUUACACCGCUGGGAGGAGCUGAGUUAGGGAGAGGGGAUACUUACGCCGGGCCGCGCCCCCCACCAAAAUACCAAAUUGUGCUUGGGAACACCUUGUCGGACCUGUUGGACCUACGCCACGUCUCCGGCGAAGCACGGAAAUAGAGUCCCUUAAGUUUGCAGCUCUUGGCUCAUCAAUAAUCACCCAGUAUGUAGAACAACUGGACCAGAACUGAGAGCUCAUCUCUGUCCUUUUUAUUUUUAGUCUGGCACAGACUUAAUGAUCCGAAUUACAGGUACGUAGAAAAGCAUCCUGAGAUUUGAGAAUUUAUUGGCAGCUGAAAAGGGACUGAAAUCAUCCUCUUUGUAUUCAAGUAAAAGGAUUUACUCGGUUUUUCCUAUAGUCAGUAAAUGGCUAUAUCUGUCAAAAUGCUCUGACUUCACAAAACCAUCAGUGGUAUGGUGGACCAACCAGCUAAUUCACAGACCUAAUUUUUAGGAUUAUCUGUACUCUGGGGCUCAUACAAGCAUGCAGAGAUGCCUAUUUAAGGUCACAUCACUUAUUUUCCCUGUCUGAGUGUAAGGUCAAACCUGAGGCAACUCUCAGGGAUUUCUCUCAAAGAGGCUUAGCAUUGAAUGAUUCACAGCCAGCAUGUUUGUGUGUUAAAACCGUUAAUGAAGGAUCUUGUGGGCAGACUUAGCGAGACGCUGCCUUUUCUUUAUUUAGCCUGGAUUUAAAUAGACUUUAGCCUUUAAGCUGCCUGCUUUGGUUUUGGAAUUUUUCCUGCUGCAGCACAAUUUGACUUUGCUCUGAUUACUGUAUAACUCUGCACACUGAUGUUUGCUGACUCCUCACGCUUUUUGUUUUUAUUCCACUUUCUAAACCAGGUCUGGGCUAUUAAAGUCUAAUCCUAAUGGAUAAACUUUUCAGUGACUGAAAGUUUUAAGUGAAGUUUUAAAGUGAAGUUUUAAGUUUUUUCAUAUAACUCACAUGCUAUGAACAAAACAACAGAGAUACAACUCACGGUUAUAUGCAAACAACCCGGGUAUUUUGGCCUUUUUUGAUGGUUCUCUUAAACUUUUGCAGUUGGAGAAGACAUGCAUGACAUUUGCAAAUACGGGAAUGUCAAUACGAUGUUUGCAACAUUGCAGAGAGGAAAUAUUUCAUGCCUUUUCACAACCAUGAUGACAAUCAAUCUGCUGUUGCUGUUGGAUAGUAUCCACAAAAGCAACUAGACCCUGAAAGGCUGUAUUUUCUGACAUUACAAUUCUAGGCGAGUCAUGAUCUCGUAACCCUCCAGAUAAAUGUGACGUAGCAGAAAUGAUGAAAAGUGGAAUAAACAAGAAAAAGAAGGCAGUGUGUUUACGGCUGGUAUUUUGGAGGUGAAAACUGAAAAGAUUUGUACCAGUCAGGGUGCCAACUGGAGGACCAUUUGCUGGCAAAUACAAGGCAGUGACUAUCAAAAACCAGAUGAUUGAACAGGCUGAUUACUGAAAAUAAAACAAACAUGUCUCAUCCAAAUGAUUUGCAAAAAUAACCAUUAGUCAGGCUUUAAAAUUGGGGAGCAUGUCUGUAUCAACAUGGGUGAAAUUCCCUUUAAAAUCUUUUUUUUUUUUUUUAAGUUUUAGGGCGCACUCAGACCAGGCGCAGUUGCCCGAAUCAUAUUAAACUGUACUUCCUGCAGCCUGCGCUCGUGCUGCUUCAGGCUUAGACAGGCCUCACCUAGAUUACAUCUUUAAAAGUCCCAUGCAUGGAUAUACUUCAUCUGGUCAUGUUCUCCUUUUUUUUUGUUUUUUUUUUUUUGUUUACAAGAAUAGCUGUUCAGUGGACAAAACCACAGACAACAUGACUGCAACUUUAGCCAUAGAGGACAAGAUUCUCUGCUCUAGAUUCUGCUCUAGAUUCUCUGCUCUCCCCCUAGUGCUGCUGGACUAGGGGGAGAGCAGAGAAUCAUUGUCUAGUAUUUAAGGCAAGCUUUCUGAUAAUUUAAUGUAUGUUCAUCAAUUUUCAAGUUUUAAAGCAAAGUUGAGCCAACAAAGAUCCUUAGUUGAAGUAACUCACGAUUCCUGAGUAAUACAACUUGGAAUUUGAAGUCUUACAAACUAAAACUUUCAUACCCUGAAAGUUGUCCCAACUAAUUAUUGUUUGUUCAGAAAUAAAUACAUAGAUGUACUUGAUAAAUAUAAAUACUUGCUGCAGUGAUAUAACAAACAAUAUAAUGUAAUACAAAAGUCCUGGAAUUAAGUGUUGGGCAGUUAUACUGUUUUUACUUUCAACUCAAACACUGCCAUCUCAUCAACAUAAAGACUGAUUGUUAUGCUCUGCAAUUCUUUUGUCAGGUGUUGUAUACAUGCCGUUUUUUAUGUCGAGGAUGCAACAACGACUUAAACAGUUAACCUAUUAGUAUAUAUAUACAGUAUAUAUAUAUAUAUAUAUAUAUAUAUAUAUAUAUAUAUAGGGGGGGGGGGGGGGUAUUUCCUAUGUUUAUAUUGUUUACCAAUUGUUCAGUUUGAUUAAUUCUUUGCUUUUCAAAUUUUUAAACUGUUCAGAAUGUUGAAGUGAGGAAAUCCUGGAUGGGCAACCUCUGUAUCUUAGAGGGCUUCAUUAUUUUCAUUCUUACUACAACAUGGACAUAUUGUUACAAAAUGGGGAUACUGUUACUUUAGUGUAACAAAAGGAAGAUAUAAUGUUGGAUUAAUUGUGCAAAUCAGAAAAGAAAUAUUCAAUUAAAUCAUCCCAAACCAACAUUUUUGGCCAAAUUGUUUUUUUUUUUAUAAUGCAAAAAAAGAUAACAGCUAAGGUUAUUUAAUCUAUGAUAGUCACCUAUCUCAGUUUCAUCCAAACACAUAAAUGGUGUAUUUAAAAGAUUUUUACAGCAGCACUUACAGCAGUAUCUAUUUUCUUGCAAAUGUAUUCUGUUACUCCAACAUUUUUAUGUUCAUCUGUAUAAGGCUAUGCUGACUGUUGUAACUAAUAUUUACUCUGUUUCUAUCCAAAAUUAAAUACAUAUUAUUCAAAUAGUUGACAGAAUAACACACUACAGUUCAAAUGGUCAAGAAGUUAAUUGAAAUUCAUUCAUGCUAUAUGCAAAAUUGAUGAAAGUCAUCAAGCAUCCCUCACACACUGAUAUAGUAAUCACAUAAGUUCACUGUAUGUUAAUCAUAAAGGGAGGAUUUAUUCCCAGUCUCAUCUCAUCUCGGUGUGCCUUGUAAAUAAGAAAUGAUACAUUAUAAAAGUAAGUAUGUGCAUGUGCAUGGAGCCUUGUAAACUUCCCUCCUUAUAGUCCAUUGCAGAGGGCUAAAGCGCUACUGUAUUUUUCCUCAGGACACUUAAGGCAAAGCUCGUGUUAAGGGUAUACUACAGUGAGAAUAGGGAGGUCACAUUAAUUAACAUCUAUCAUUAGUUAACAUCUAAUAAUAAUAUUUGUUUUUCAUUCCAGUUAGUCUACAGGUAAACUUAAAUAUCUGCUAUUAUCUUCAACACAGUGUAGCUCACCCUCAGAGAGCUAUUGGGACCGCAGUCUGUGGUGCAGAGCCUUUGGUUAGCUCACUGUGGAUUAUGCUGUUUUAAAUUCUUCAAAAUAAGACUUAGACAAUUUAUGUCUAAUUUAACUGCAGAAAAAUCAUAAUAUAACAACCAUAAAUGCAGAAACUAAAAGACCCUGUUAAAGUGUAAAGUAACACCAGGUUUUCCCCAUUUAGUUUAACUCAAAUUGGGUUUGCAUAUCUGUUACCAAUUGGUUGCAGCAACAUAUAGAUAAAAUAUAUGUUUUGUACUUUUACAUCUAUACCUACCUGUGCUAACAGACAUACAGGUAAACAGAGAUAUUCAGUCCACUGCACUCUGAACCAUCUCUGAACCAUUCCAUCUCUGAUGAUUUUCAGUUGAUCAAAACUGUGCCAUGUUGCAGAUUGAGCUUUAAACAGCAGCUAAACAAAAGGUAAAUGGGAAGUAUGAAACUGGUGUUACUUCAGUGGCCGGUGUUGGCUUUGUCACAGACACAUUUCAGGAAAUAAAAAAAACCUCAAUGAGAAUGAGAGGGUUAGGGUUAGGCAGUCAGAUAUUACACCUGCUUAAUACUUGCUAUGAGCAGAUGAGCGACAGAAUCAACACUGCCCCCCUCUUCUUACUAUAAGCCUGGUACAGUUAUGCAUUGAUAGUGUUUGGACAAAUGAGAUUCAAAGUCAGAUAAUAAUAUAUAAUGGAUUUUUAGAAUCUGAAGGUCAAGUGGUAACAUUUUGUACUGUCUCAUUAGCAGAAACAGAACAUCUGUCCAUCAAAGUUUCUAUGACAAGAAGUCUUAUUUAUUUGAGGUCUUAUUAAGGAUCGCCACAGUCACGCCGUUAACUCCACUUAAGUGUCCACCUUCCCCAAACCAGAACAUACACUCUGACACAUCACUCAUGGUGUUUAUAAUUAUUCAACAUUUCAGCUCACGCCUGUAGGAUCUGACCCAUGUAUGUUGUAUUUACAGUAAAGGUUCUCAAUCCUUCAGUGUCUUUUUUUUUUUUUCACCCACUGCAGUGUUAUUGGACCCCAGAAGUCAGACAUAAGGUGAGUAUUGUGACAAUGCUGCAGCUCAGCAUCAGGAACAUGUCCUCUCUGUUUUGUACACACAGUAAAUUGGCUCUUUCUACAAAAUGGCCUUAGACAGAUGGUUAGGGGAGAAAAUGGGCUGGUUGUGGUCUGAGCAUGGCUGUGCACAUAGUGCUCAUAUUAUAGGAGCGUGUUCUAUUGUUUACCGUCCCCUGCUGUCAGGGUGUAGGAUAUUUUCAGAGCGGUGAGUCUAUCUGUGCAGCAUGAUGCAAUUUAAAAAAAUCCAGCUGCUAAGAAAAAGAGCUGGUAGAGCAGAGCACCCUUGCUGCACUCCUUAUUUCCUCCUCAUCUUAUUGCCUUUUGGUUUCUCUAUCAUUCACAUCUCUUCCUCAUUCCCUUUCUCUCUCCUCCUCCUGCUUUUUAUCUUCACCUUUUAUCCCCUGCUAUCAUUACUGUUCCCCUCAUUGCUCUGGUUCUCUCUUUUUUUUACUCAUCUCUCGAAGGAAGCAGAUGUGUUCCUUGUAUGAUUUAUUCAGAAGCAGAGAUUGGGGCCGAGAGAGUGUGCUGCAGGGGGAUGCACUCUGCAUGAGUUGAAACGGUUGAGUGCGCUUCCUACCGUUAUUCUUAAUGCAAAUGAAAUUUCUUCAUUUAUGUGAAUCACGAGACUUUUUACCAUUCUGGCUGCACAAGUUGUAUCAUCAGUGUGGACAUAUCUUCAAUUUUCCAUAUUUGCAAGGUUACUAUUUAAAAAAGGAAAAAUAAAAAGAUUUUAAAAAAUCAGGUAAUGGUGAGCAUGAGACAUUACCUCUGAUGGUAGACUAAGCACUGCAACACUUGACUAAGCAGAAUCCAGCCAAUCAUCUCAUUGAAGCAGCUCAACUCUCAGCUGACUGUCAGACUGUAGGCACUACUGCUUCACAUUGCUUGAAUGGAAACAACCCUUUUGCUGUUCAUGUCACCCAUAUACUCCAAGAGUAAAAUAAAUUAGGAUGUAAAGCACAGACUUGAUAGAAGCGUAAUGUUACCUUUACAGUUGAACUGUACAGAGAGACUCUUUAAGGCCUAGAAGGGUUCAGGAAAAAGAAAACUGUCCAUAGACAUAAAAGCUUCAUGAAGCUUUCAAAAGCUAAAAAGCCCUUGACUGUGAUUUGUCAGUAAAAUGAAUUUGGGUUCAUAAUGUUUAUAGUGCAUCCGGAAAGUAUUCAUACCACUUCACUUUUUCCACAUUUUGUUAUGUUACAGCCUUAUUCCAAAAUGGAUGAAAUUCCUUUUUUCUCUCAAAAAUUCUACACAAAAUACCCCAUAAUAACAAAGCGAAAACCCUUUUUAGAACAUUUUGCAAAUUUAUUAAAAAUAAGACACUCAAAUGUUUCAUAUACAUAAGUAUUCACACCCUUUGCUAUAAAACUCAAAAUUGAGCUCAGGUGAAUCCUGUUUCCACUGAUCAUCCCUGAAAUGUUCCUCCAACUUGAUUGCAGUCCAAAUUCAGCUGACUGGACAUGAUUUGGAAAGCCACACCUGUCUAUAUAAGAUCCCACAGCUGACAGAGCACGUCAGAGCACAAACCAAGCCAUGAAGUCGAAAGAAUUGUCUGUAGACCUCUGAAACAGGGUUGUAUCGGUGCACAGUUCUGGGGAAGGUUACAGAAAAAUAUCUGCUGCAUUGAAGAUCCCAAAAAGCACAGUGGUCUCCAUCAUUAAGAAAUGGAAGACGUUUGGAACCACCAGGACUCUUCCUAGAGCUGGCCACCCAGCUAAAAUGAGCAAGCGGGGGAGAAGGGCCUUCGUCAGGGAGGUGACCAAGAACCCGAUGGUCACUCUGACAGAGCUCCAGCGUUCCUCUGAGGAGAUGGGAGAACCCUACAGAAGGACCACCAUCUCUGCAGCACUCCACCAGUCAGGCAUUUAUGGUAGAGUGGCCAGACAGAAGCCACUCUCCAGUAAAAAGCACAUGACAGCCCACUUGGACUUUGCUAGAAGGUACCUGAAGGACUCACAAACCAGGAGAAACAAAAUUCUCUGGUCUGAUGAAAUGAAGAUCAAACUCUUUGGCCUGAAUGCCAAGCGUCAUGUCUGGAGGAAACCAGGCACCGCUCACCACCUCGCCAAUACCAUCCCUACAGUGAAGCAUGGUCGUGGCAGCAUCAUGCUGUGGGGAUGUUUUUCAGCGGCAGGAACUGGGAGACUUGUCAGGAUUGAGGGAAAAAUGAAUGCAGCUAAGUACAUCGAAAUCCAAGACCUUCGACUGGGGCGACGCUUCAUCUUCCAGCAAGACAAAGGAGUGGCUUCAGGACAAGUCUUGAGUGGCCCAACCAGAGCCCAGACUUGAACCCGAUUGAACAUCUUUGGAAAGACCUGAAAGUAGCUGUCCAACCUCACUGAGCUUGAGAGGAUGUGCGAGGAAGAGUGGGAAAAACUCCCCAAAUCCAGGUGUGCCAAGCUUGUUGCAUCACACACAAGAAGACUGGAGGCUGUAAUCACUGCCGAAGGUGCUUCGACCAUGUAUUGAGUAAAAGGUGUGAAUAUUUAUGUAUAUGCAACAUUUGAGUGUUCUUAUUUGUAAUAAAUUUGCAAAAUGUUCUAAAAAAAGUUUUUCGCUCUGUCAUCAUGGGGUAUUUUGUGUAGAAUUUUUGAGGGAAAAAAGGAAUUUAAUCCAUAUUGGAAUAAGGCUGUAACAUAACAAAAUGUGGAAAAAGUGAAGUGGUAUGAAUACUUUCCGGAUGCACUGUAUGUUCAAACACAUCAAAGUAAACUGGGCCAUUUGAGGAGCUGUGGUUACGCUAGAGCUCCCGUAAAAGCCCACUUGAAUAACAUUGAAGAGAUAUGGAAAGAAAAACGAGACAAAUACCCACACAGGAUUUACAUUAAGGACACAGCCCCAUUUCACCUUCAGACUUGAGAGAGACCUGGCUUUCAUCAAGAAGACAUAGGUAAGAACAAGUACCUACAUUUCUUGAACAAUUUCAAUAUAGAAGGUAGAUCUUUUCUAAGAAGGAGACUUUUUGUUCUUUUACCAUUGGCUUAUGGAUCUACCCUAAAGAGGAGCAAAAAAACAAACAAACAAAAAAAAAACAUUUGAACUGAUUUGGACCGGGACUAAUUGUCUCUCAUUCAUUCCAGAAGAUUGAGAAAUCUCAACACUAGUGGUCCUUCUUGACAGUGUCAUGCAAAUUGUUUCUAACUUGGAUUUGUGAUGCUGAUUGGACUGUUGGUUGUACUCCCUUGCAGUUAUCUUUUAAUUAAAGUGAAAACAUUUUAAGUAGAUUACAGAGAAUUGAAUUCAGCCCACGUGUUCUGUUUACAAGGACUGUCUUCUGUAUAGAGCCUUCUGAUAAAUGAUCAGUCUAGACAGCUUACACUUCAGAAUACCAACAGAGAACUACAUACCCCCUUAUUGAAGCCCAGAUCUCCAAAGACCAGUCUGCAUUUUAUGAAGACUCUGUAAAAAGAAAUUACGAGUUGGAAAACAAUGAAUAGGUGAGUUCAGUUUUGUAAAAUAGUACUUUCAUAAUCCUGAGCCAUUAACUGAAAUUUGCAGUUUAGCUAAGCAGCUUAGCAUUCUGGCACCUGAACUACUGUAAUUGUUGAUGCGUUGCAUCAGUUGAAUUUGGCAGGAUAGAAUAGCUGUUAGAGUAGGGACUUGGAGGUGCUGCAGCCACUUUGAUGUUAUAUAUACAGUAUAUAGCACAUUACAUGUCUGAUGUUUGUCUCUUUGUCGGAUGUUUGUGUGGUGUAAUAGUGUGGUUGCAAGAAAAUUUUUCAGAGAAGAUUGUGACAAUUAAGUAUUGGUUCUAAAAUACAUCUUCUGAUGCAACCUGAACACAUCAUCAGUAAUGUAUCCUGGGUUCAUAGGUUGUUUCAGGUCUUGCAACAUUAUACACCCUCGCCCAGGCGACCCAGCCGUGGUUGAUCAAGCCGCGGCUUGUGUUCAGGUGGCAUUCACUUGUCCCCAUGGUUCUCCUCUUCGGAUCCAGAGCCAUCUCGAGGCUUUAUCAGCUGCCUCAGUGGUGUUCUUGAUGGCUCUGCUCCUUGCUGUUCCCGUAGUGCCCAACACGCUCAGGGCUUUGUAAAGUGAGCGUCCCACAAAUCCCCUGCUGCCAACUUCGAUGGGCAUACAUCGUGCCUUCCAGCCCUGUUGAUGACAUUCGAUUACCAGAUGUUCAUACUUGAUCCUCUUCCUUUCAUGGGCCUCCCCCAAGCGGUCCUCCCAUGGCAGCGUCAGCUCCAUGAUCACGAUGUUCUUGGUGCUCUCUGAGACCAGGAGGAUGUCUGGCCUCAGGGUGGUGCUGACGACGUGCUGGGGGAACUGUAGCUGCUUCUCUACAUCUACCGAGAGCUGCCAAUCUUGGGUAGUUGCCAGGAUCCCUGCUGGUGCCUUCUUUCCACCUGCCUUUGGCUGAACUCCUGCUUUGACAAAAGUGAUGGUGUUGCGCACCUGGCAACAGCUGCUGAUACCCCUGCUGAUGGCUUCAGCACCUGGUUGUGGUGCCAGGUGUAUCAGCCCUGGCCGAGUGCUGUUAGGCAGGAGCUCAGGACGUGUUCCAGUGUUCCUCUCCCUGAGCACAGCUGGCAGCUCGGGUCUCUGCCUUCCCCCAGGUGAAUAGGUUUGCUGGGCUAGGUAGGAUGUCAUAGACUGCCCGGAUUAGGAAGCUGAUACGGUGUGGGUCAGCCUGCCACAGGUACGUCCAGGUGACUUUCCUGUCCAUGGCGUGCUCCCAUCUGGUCCAGGCCCCCGGCUGCCUGAGACCAGCCGCUCUGCUUGCUCUCCCUUCCUCCACUGCAGUCCUGACCUCCUCCUGAAUCUGCCUUCGCUGUUCCUUCCUCUUGCACUCCCUGUGUCGAGGUGGUGUUGGGAACAUCCCCAGACCUGCUCUGCCGUGGGCCACUACACCCACCAGAUCUCUGUGGCGCAGCCUUGCCUCUGAAUCCAGCACAGCAGAUUGGGCACUCCACUUCCUCCCGGUCUUCACCCUGACUCCUGCCUGGGCAACCUUUGGGUCCUUUGAGUCUCGGUACAGCAGCACCUCUCUGGUCCGAGUCACCUUGAACUCCUCCUCCAGACACUUCAAGGGCAACUUUGUGGUGUUCCCAUAGAGGGCAAUGUUACUGAGGCUCCUGGGCAACCCCAACCAUCUUCUGAGACAGGUGCUGACCUUCCUCUCCAAGGUCUCCACCGUGGAGACGGGGACCUCAUAGACAAAUAGUGGCCAGAGUAUCCGUGGUAAGAUCCCAUGCUGGUAUAUCAAUGCCUUCAACUUGCCUGGGAGGCUAGAUCUGUCUACUGCUCUCAGCCAGCUGUCCAGUUCCUGGCAGCUUGACUGGACUGAUGUGAAGUCUUUGAGGCCGCUGUCAAACACCUUGCCCAAGCUCUUCACAGGCUUACCGAGAUGUUGCAGCCUGUAAUUAUCCCCACCUCCAACCAGUGCCACUCUGAUGUUACUUCCCCUGCUGUGACUCUCAUCCUGAACUGAUCAUAAUAAUCCAGGAUGAGUUCUGCAACGUGGUGUGGCACAUGGUGUUUGGUCAUGGUGGUCUGAACCAGUUUGUGUGGGAUGGAGCCAUAUGCAUUGGCUAAGUCUAAACACAGAACUGUGAGGUCUCCCUUGUUCUCCCGGAUGAGCUGAGUCACCACUCCAGUGUGUUCUUGACACCCCGGUACUCAGACGAUCCCUCCCUUUUGCACCGACGUGUCUAUGUAGUUGUUACUGGAGAGGAAGUCCGCCAGCCUCCUUGCUACUAUGCUGAACUUUAACCAACUAACUAACUAACUAACUAACUAACUGCACAUUUUGGUUGUUGGCUGUGAGUUGAUCAAUAAUCCCAAACUAGACUUUUUUCUUUUUGACAGUUUAACUGAACUAUUGAAUUUCCCCUCAUAGAUAAAUAAAGUUCUUCUUAUCCUGUCUGUGGUGCAAAACAGAUGCUGAAAAGAAAGUCAAGCUGACUUAACCUACAUUUAAGUCAACCUACCAAGGCUUUUAGACAACUUACUAUCAGUUACAGAGCACCUGUCAGCAGUGUUGGGUAGUAAUGUGUUAUGAGUAAAGCUGUUACUUUCUUUAGUUGUGUUACUCUGUUCCUUUUGGUGAGGUUUUAUAACUGCACACAGAUCCCAUGAAAUUGUUGUUAUCAAUUAAGUUGAGUUGACUUGGAAACACAAAGCACUUGUCACCCUCCAGCAUCAUACAUUUAAUUAAACACGCUCCAUGAAGGCAUGAUGGGGAGCGAGAAGGGGAAGAUAAGUUUCUCCUCAUGGAGAUACAUUAUUUUUAACUGGAGAGCAAAGGGAAAAACAAUAUUUCGGUGACAUGUAAACUGUGUCCUGGGUCAAAAAAUUUUUCUAUGGUGAACAACAGCAACAGCAAUCUACUGAAGCACCUAGAGAAGUGGCAUGCUUCAACAAAGUAAGCAGCUAAGGUAGCUAACAUAGCAUCCAAGACUUGAGAGUCACAGCUGCAAGCACACACCACCCCGCCCAAGCAACAGAGGUUGGAGUUGGAAAGAAGGACCCAUAGCCUGACCCAACUUGAUAAAACAAUAGCAGGGUAUGUUUAAUAGUUUAUAUGGAUCUCUUUUGGUACUAUCAGAAUAUUAUUUCAAGGGUCCAAAGGUAAAAUUCUGGUGUUAGUGUCAAGGUUUGUGUUGGUGCACAAUAGAUCAUAUUACUUAGAUGAUUAGAUUCAGUGAUGUGGAUGAAAAUGAAUUGAAACAGUUGUUUUAAUCAACAGUUUGUUUAAUUUUAGCAUCAAUACAGAACUGAAAUGAUGGCUAGAGGGGAACUUAAUCAAUCCACCAUUAUGUAAUGGGAACAUUGGAAGAACAUUUGACAGUAACUAAAAAGGAACGCAUUACUUUUUGGUUUAAGUAACUGAGUCACAAACUGAUUUACUUUUUUUUACAAAGUAACAAGUAACUGUAACUAGUUACUAUUUUUCAUUUACAAGCACAACACUGCCUGUCAGUCACUCCAGUCAGCUGUGCCCCUAAUUAUGCAAAAUUCAUUACCUCAAAAUUCCAAAACAAUAAGAGCCUAAAGUGGACAGUUAGGGAACAGCAGUAUGAAGCCCUUUCAUCGGAGGGUCAUCUGAACCAAACUGGUGUGUUGUAAGACUGCUGAGGCUUUUUUUAAUGGGAGCUCUGGCAAAAGAAGCCUGAAGCAGAGCAGCAGAUAUCUCGUUUACUCUCCUCUUUAAACUCCAAAGACCACCGAUGCUUUAUUUUCACCUCAGAUCAUUUAGAUCUGAGUUUACUAAACUCCCUGUGUACUCCCCUUUAAAUGUGUCCUGCAGGGCACCAUUAAGUCUACCCUUUAACCAGGCAUCUUGGUGCAAUUCUAUAGGGCAACUUUUAACAGCAAUAUAUAUAUAUACUAUAUAUAUAUAAAUAUAUAUAUAUAUAUAUAUAUAUAUAUAUAUAUAUAUAUAUAUAUAUUUGUAGAGAGAGAGACAGAGAGAGAGAGAGAGAGAUUUGUGUUCGGCCUGAAAUAAUCCAGUGCUUUACUUCUUUUAUUCGAUUUGCUGAAUGAAUGAAUGGGAAUAGAUUUAGUCUGAAGUCUCUUAUCAGUCUCAAUGUUGCAUGUCAUUUCCAGCGCACUUGAAGGUAGCAUACAUCAGGGGUUAUUUUCUGUAGAAGCUUUGAGGCAUGCUGACUUUCUCUGUCCUCAUUUUCCUCAAGCACUCAUGGAGAGUGCAUUACAAUAGCUUUAAAGAAACCUGCUCUUCAGUUUCUCAGAUAAUUAUUAGUUUCUCCUGACAGAUAUCAAUAAAAUAUCAUUCAUAUAAACUAGUGCAAUCAAAUGAUCAUUUUUUAAAAAUCAGAUUAAUCACAGGGUUGCUGUAGAUUAAUUUCGACUAAUCAUGAUUAAAUUUUAUUCAUUUUUAAUCUAUAAAAAUUGUGUUUGAUUUUUUAUUUUUUUUUGAGUAAGGAGACUCCAGAAAGAAGGGAAUAUAUAUACUUAACGUGUUAAUUUAACACUGAUGCUUCUCAUUAAUGUGGUAUUUUAAGCUGGAAGUGCUUCAGUGAGAAGAAAACUUCUUCCUGCAGAGUGUGUGCAAUACUUGUGUCAGUCGACUGUUUCGUCAUGGGUUUUUGAACUCAAAUUCAAAUCAGGUGAGAGAGCCAAUGUGCUGUUUAAUGUGUUUCAUAUUGACAGGGUUUGAGACCACCACCAAGACUUUUAGGAUAGAAGAGAGCUGUAUUCUGUUUAGACUGAUGAAAAUUCUGUCAUUUUGAGCCACUGAGCUAUUACCGACCUAAAACAAUUAAAUUAAUGACAUUACCACUUAUUUCAGUCUCAAAAAAUUAUAUAGUUUAGGCAUCAUUGUUGGACACCUGGUCAUGAAAGUGCAAGCUUGUAAAUUUUCAAUUUUUCAAUUUCAAUUUUGACAAAUUUUCCAGUUGUUUUAACAGCAGUUUUCAUUUGACCAGCUUAUCUACACUACAGGCCAAAAGUUUGGAAACAAGGCCAUUACAGGCCGAACAGUUGGGAGUAACUUCAAGUUUUUGUUCACAAUGCUUUUUUUAAAUCCAGCAUGAGUUUUAUGUAUUUUGGGAUGUAUUUACUCCAUGAUCAGAUGUUGCUUUCAUGGAAAUGCACCAUUUUACUCCAUUUACCUUUAGAUAUACAUUGAUGUUAACAGACCAUUGCUAAAUAUAUGUCAGCAAAAGAAAAUAAGGGCUUAGUUUUAGGGUUGAAAACAUUUGCAAGAGUCACAACUUCAGUGUAAAAGGAAAAAAAAAAAAAAAUCACAGUUGGAUUAUUCACUUCAACUUUUUGGCUUUUGAGAGUCUGCAUACAAAAAUCCUAAUAAAUCUCAACUGCGUUCAAACUACUGCAAAAACUGCUAGAAAGAAGUAACUGAGUAAAGAAACAAAAGUACAUAUUUGUACAUUGAGGAAAGAAGGAUACACAGAAAGAGAAAUUGCAAAACAUCUUAAGGUGUUUAACAAAGGAGUCCACUACACUCUGAAGAGACUAGAGGAACCUGGAAGUUAUGAUGAUAGAAAAAGACCUGGACGAAAGAGAGUUACUACAAAAGCAGAGGAUAAACAUAGUAUUGUCACCUGGAAGAGAGAUCGGAGAAAGACAGCACCAAAAAUAAGGGAGGAAAUCAACAUGACAAGGUCAAAACCCAUAUCUCUGACAACUGUGAAAAGACGUUUGAGAAAGGCUGGUCUGAAGGGUUGUGUAUCUGCAAAAAAAAAGACUACUUCGUCAACAGAACAAGAAAAAGAGAUAUGAGUGGGCAAAAGCUCACAAAAAUUAUACUUAUGAUGACCAGAAACAAGUUUGAACUGUUUGGUUCAAAACGCAGAGUCUAUGUUCGCUGACAAACUGGUGAAUGUCUGAAAGCACCAUGUGUUACACCCAUAAUUCAGCAUGGAGGUGGUAGUUCCAUGGUAUGGGGAUGUUUUGCAGGUGAUGGAGUAGGAGAUUUGUUUGAAGUAAAGGGUAUCAUGAAGAAGGAACAGUACCACUCCAUCCUCCAGCACCAUGCUGUUCCAUCUGGACUCAGAAUUGUGGCUCAUACGUUUGUUUUGCAGCAAGACAAUGAUCCUAAGCAUUCUGCCAAGCUCUGUCAGGGUUACCUAGACAAAAAAAAGAAGAGGAAGGUGUUCUUCAAAAGAUGGUUUGGCCCCCCCAGUCUCCAGACCUUUCUCCAAUUGAGCUUGUGCGGGAUGAAUUGGAUUGAUCGGUCAGAAAAACGCGUCCCACGAAUCUGCAGUCUCUUUUCAAUGAACUUAAGAAAGCUUGGAAUGCAAUCCCUGGAACAUACCUUAAAAAACUUGUGGAACGAAUGCCUGGUAUAUGCCAAGCUGUUGUCAAAGCCAGAGGAGGUUACUUAAAAGAAAGCGCAGUCUAAGCAACAAUAACUCUAAUACCUAAUAAUUAUAGUCAAAAUGUCUUCUGAUAAGUUACUCUUUACACAAUAGUCAUGUUUAUUGUGUUGCAAAUAAUAUAUAUAUGAAACUAAGAUUUUUUUUUGUACAAAUCUGAUCUUGCUUCCAAACUUUUGGCCUGUAGUGUAAAUGUCAGAAACAUUCAGAAAAUAUUGGAACCACAGGAAGCCAGGGUUAGCGGAUAUAGCAUCAUCAGUUUCAAGUCCAUCUUGCAGGACAAAUCUGCAUGCUUUUGCUGGUUGGGUUAGUUCAUUCAUUAACACUCAUACCAAUAGUUCUGAUUAACAUACACUUGGAUAAUUGUGUGAAGGAGAGGUGCAAAAUACCCUCCAAGGGUCUGAUCUGGGUAGAAUCAUGUACAGUAAUUACAUUAAUCUAAAAGAGAAAAGACAAAUUAUUUGGAGGAAAAAAGGAUAUACAAGUACACAUAAUGUGAUAUAAUACAGAUAAAUCAGUUGUUUGUAAAGGUGACCCAAAAGGAUAAUAUUGCAGAGACAGCCAGCCAUUCCACAUCUUUAAUAAACUUUACCAGUUACAUAUUUGAAAAAUGAUAAAGCAAACCUAAUCACUAAAUCUCUGUAAAUUAGACCAAACUGUACAUGAGAGGCUUGAGAAAUGAGAGAUAAUACGAGCCAAAGACAAGUAGGUAAUUGCUUGAUUCAAUAGAGUGAGGAUACCUGAUCUCAAAAACAAAGGGUGAGAUGAAAGGGUUUUACAUACAAUGGAAGAUCCUUGGUGCAUACUUCUGAAGACAGAAACAUGUAACAAGAUGAGUGCCCCUUUAGCAGAAUUACAGCAAUAUACCUUACGUGAAGAUAAACCACUGAGUAAUAUAAAGGUUCGGAAGCUUCUGGGUUUAUCAAGGGUCAAGUUUUUCCUUGGAUCCCAAUGCUUUUCCCAAAAGCAUACAGCUCAGCGUACAGCCAGUUUGGUAUUUUUGUGGACUGAGGCGCACCAAGGUCCACCAAGCUGGGCGUGGUGGUGCCGGUGGCAUAUAAAGUACGCUGAAAGCUCGCCGAUUCAAACCUGGUCAGCUUUCAGCACACGCGGAGCACAGCUGGUCUAAUGGUAUUUUGGUAGACCGGCACUGUAUCGGCAUACGUCACUGAUGCCUCACUGGCAGGUUUCCACAGUGUCAGGCACAUUUUAGUGCAAUAAAUAAUCAUCAUCAACUAAUAAUCUGAGUCAGCACAUACAUUUAGAUCUAUAUCGAUAUAUUCUGAUCUAUAUCUGAUCUGAUGAGCGCGUUUGGCACGCAUUUGGACACACAACCUGACCGAAUUAACACAGCUGAAACUGCAUUAAAUUAAAUAUCCAGUAAAUACACACACAUGAUGAAGUUAACAAGAUAUUUAAUUCGUCUCCCUCCUUUUCUUUCUUCCUCUUCCUCUUUUUUCUCGCGCAGCUCGACCUGGACAUGUCUCCGUGUCCUCUCCCUGUCCUGCUGCAGCUGCUGUGGCUGAACAGAUGAUUUGUUUUAGUGAUCAGAUGAGUUAUUUACUUUAAGCCUACAUACGAAUAUUAUAAUAUUCAGUUUUGUGAGCCAAAUUUAUUUUAUAUGCCAACAUCUAUGAAAGAAAGAGCCAGGCCAGGGAGCGUGAUGUGCCCUUUACGCACAGAUGGUUCUGAUUUUAAUGCCAUUGGAAUUUAUAAUGUGAUCUCUGUGCACAACCCACCUUUGUCACGUGAGUUUUGAAUAUGUGCAACUUUAUGUGAGUGUCUUUAUUUGUGGAAAAGGGUGUUUGUCUUACCAGUGGGUCCAACAUUACACACACCGAAUCCAUCUGUGCUUAUAUGAGACAGUGUGCAGGACGCCCUCCGCAGUGCUUACAGUGACACUUGUUGAGGGGCUGCCUUCUGUCGCCAUUGUGUGGCAUUGCUGUCUUCAGACAUCUUUUGAUCUCUUUGACUACUUCAGGAAAAUUGCCAGGGGCGGAUUUAAAAGUGAGGAGAGGAGUUUAUGUUAUUGGUCAAUACGGGUCUCGGCUGUGUUAAAACCACUCCACGCCCUCUCUCCUCCCUCCCUAUGACUUAAGCUGCUGGGAGGAGCUGAGUUAGGGAGGGGGGAUACUUACUCCGGGCUGCGCUGCUCACCAAAAUACCAAAUUGUGCUUGGGAACGCCUGACUUACGCCGUGCCUGUGCCACGUCUCCAGCAAAGCACGAAAAUAGAGCCCUUUGUGUCGAGGACCUGCCUUUUCCUUUUGCACCUUUUUUUCCCCUGUUCUUUUGACCUUGUCUCUUACCACAAUCAAAACUUAGCUUCUAUUUUGCAGAAGUUUUAAAGUGGUAACUCCUCUCCCCUAACAACUGCAAACAUUGUGCAAUAAAGCUGCUGUUGUAUCACUGCCCGGAGCUGAGGUAGUGUUAUCAGAAUGACAUAGCAGCUCCUCUCUCUGAGGGCAGUGAAGUUAAGCUUGUAAACAUAAGAGCUUGAAGGAUGACAUUAGGUGCAAAAAUCUGAUUUGGUGUGGUGUAAACCUGAGCUUGGUUCCUUUUUUCCUUCUGUUAUCCGCUUCCUGGCUUGUGUUAUCAGACGUGGCUCACCCUAUUUUAGGCUUCAGAGCCCUCGUGUCACUUCCCACAGGCUGUUGGAGCACAUAUGGCACUACAGAAACACUGCUGAGGGCCAGAUUAUCAAUUCAUCGCUUUGUUGUGAGGGCUUAUCUGCGGGACACUCCACUUGCUCUCCUUUCUUUUCAGGUGUGUUAAAAAAAGAAAUCAGUUGCAGUCUACAUGACUGGUUCGGGGGUGAGGUUAAUAAUUCACUGCUUUGUUGAAUCACCUACUAUGGGAUUGCAUGCACAUUGCAAAAAAAUAAAUAAAAAACUGCUGAAAAUAGACAGAGUCAGUGAGUGGGCACCUUUAGAAACCCCUUGGCAUUCAGCUGUGCCACUGAGCGAUACACACAUAUUUCAACAACAGUUAACAGCAGAGGUGCCGGUGGGUUUAUCAAAUGGGUGCUUUCCAUUAUGAAGGAGACACGACUAGGCUCAAUUAUAAAAUCAUUGAACCUCUGGGAAAGUGAGUCUCACAAUGUGACUCAUCCUGUGCGCUCAGAGGAGCUGGCUCUGAAACAUGGCUGGAGGGAAGAGCUGAUAGUGGAGGGCUAAGAUUGUUAAAGCUGCAUUAGGUACACUAAAUUACACACCGGCGGCUCCAAAAUGGCAGCAAGACAACUAUUUUCUCCAUGUUAGCCAAGUAUUCUACAUCCAAUUUCUCCUUAUAUCCAGAAUGUUUCAGGUUGGUUUAUUUUCUCCCGCAGGAUAAAGACGGGUUACUGUCUGUACUGGAGGUAUAAUCUGGUGGAUCAGGAGAAAUCCUGGUGGUGCUUGGAUGUUUCAGGCUGUUCUGAAAAGAAAAGGCACUUUCACACACACGGGAAAGUUCAAAUCAGAGUUCACCGAAAAGAAAUCAGUCAGCACAACAACAUUGCUGACUGAGAGAUGUAAGAAAAUAAGAGCUGUUCAUAAAAACUUUGUAAACCAUUGUUGCGAUUUUGAUUUUUUGCACAGACAUGGUGUUUGGGUGUAAUCUUUUGAAGACCUGGUUUCAGGGUCAGGUUUUUUGAAGAGAUCACUUCUUUUGUCACUGCUGAAAAACAAAAGUGACUUCCAAGUUAAGACAUGCAUGAGGUCUAACAGCUGCAGACCACAUUCAUUUCUCAUGCAAAAAUGUAAAAAGAAUCUGGUGCAUACACUAUAAAACAGUAACGUAUUUACAUCAAAACAACAUCAAAUUACAACAUGCAGUUCUCCUGUGGAGUUUCAUCACAAUCUAACUACCACUGAAAUCAAUAAAAAAAAAAGCACCUUGGACCAACAACAACCUGGUGUGAAAUUGAAAACCAAAGAUGCAAAGCUUUUCUGAUAUGUAAAGGGUGCUUACAUGAUAAAUUAAGAAGGUAUGAUGCACAUUCUUUUUUUUUAUUCACUUAUGGAGAUGAACAACUGGAUUUCCACUUCUUACAUUUUUUUUUUUUCUCUCUCUCUCUCUCUUUUUUUUUUUUUCGGAACAGUGUUUUUCAAUGGGAGCAAGGCCUAGGAAUGCUUGUACUUUUUCUGCCUGACCUGACUACCUCCAAGCUCUACAGCAUGUGUGCUUUCAAAUACAUGUAGACAAAAAAAAAAUUAAAGUUUUUUGUGUUUGUUUGUUUUUUGUAAUCCUUAUCUGCUCAGGAUACAUGUGGGCAACAUUCACAGAUAUUAACUGAAACUACACAGUAUUUGUGACGUUUUUAACAGGCAGUCUAAAGUAAAUCUGGGGCCUCAUGUAUCAACGCUUGCGGCGCAAGAAAACCUUGCGUACGCCAAAAUCGGCGCACACGUCCAGAUUUAUCAUCGCGAAACGAGCGUCGGUUCCAGCGCUAAUCAACGCAAAGUCAGGAGGUGGUGUAGAAAUUGGCGUUGAGCCGAUAUUUGCGUUGACUGUGAUUCGCACUUUGGCGACGCUGUGUGGCGGUGUUUGGUGACUCACUAUGUGACAAGCGUGCACCACAUCCCCGUGGCCGAGCAGCACGUCGCCCCACAUGACCAACCAGCAGCAGACGGAGGGAUGCGAGCUGAUCCCUGCCGGGCCGCCGUCCUCGCGCGGGAGAAUCUCAUCGCCACAGUGUGAAUGGGUAAGAAGUGAAUACACAGUUCAAUGAGCCAAAUUAAUUUAUUUUCUCCACCAGACGCUCGAGGACAUUUACGAGCCGGUCCAGCCGCUCGUUGAUCCCCGCGAUCCCCCUGAUGAUUUCUUCCUGCGAUUGCAGGACCCCCUCCGCGAGGACCCUUCCACUGCAUCCGGGUGGUCCAGCAGAAGUGCCGCGGCUGGUGGACGCUCCACCGCUUGUCGGCGCGCUGGUGCUGGUGCUGGGGCCGGGGGGCCGGGGGGCCGGGGUGGCCCGAAUGCCGCUGGUCCUGGCCGAUGACUCCGAGCCGGCGGACGGGCUGCCGCGGGCCGGGGUUCCGCAAGCCGGCGACACGGCCGACAUAUUGAUUUCUGUGACACAAUAAAGAUAUUUGUUCAUUUCAAUUCCUGCUUCUGUGUAUCUGUUGCGUUUACAUCUCUCUCCACGGUAUCAUAGGUAAUGUAAUCCAGUAUUUCGAGGUCAGUUAUGCACAUUACAGUUGUUUAUUGCAUAAAAAGUUAUCGAAAAAUGAAGUUAAGGGCGAAGUAUAAAUCACGUCUAAAAAUAGACUGGAUCCCGACGUUGAAAUGAAGUAUAAACUUAGACUAGACGUCUAAUAUACGUCUUUUGCUCAGUGGGAUGACAAAGCAUGUGGACAUUUGUGUGACACGCCACUUACCCUAUAAUAAUAAUCGCCACCACCCGCUGCUCAAACGGUGUGAGGGUCUCCUCCCCCGGACCCCCACCUGUCUGGCCGGUACUCCUCCGGAGGGCAGCUGUACGCCGCUUGACCUCCACCUUGAGGUCCGACCACUUUUUUUUAAUCUUCGCGGGGGUGCGUGUCUCGGAACCCACCGCAUUCACCCUCUCGCAAACUUUCUCCCACUCCAAGCGUUUUCGUUUUGCACUGACGCCACUGGACAGGCUGCCAAACAAAACACGCUGUCGCUCCUCCACCUCCGCCACCAGCACCUCCACCUCGCACGCCGUAAAUUUAGUUUUUCUUGUCAUUUUGUCUGCGUGCGAGGACAGGGAGACCAUAUUUAAAUAAAUCUGAAUAUUUAUAGGAGGGCGUAACGGGGACGGGCCCAGUCACUCCGACAUCUGCGCUCAAUUCCACGCUGAUUGGGAUUUAUCAAGGAAACACACGUGGAUUUCGGCGCCCGCACACAUUGAUACAUACGGAUUUUUUUCAGCGUGACGGACCUUGCGUGCGCUCGUUUCUGGUAUGAGUUCCAUGCAAGUAUUGAUACAUGAGGCCCCUGGUCUGCAAGACCUCAAUGAUAAACGAAUGCAUGUCUCAACUUGUUUCUGCUCUUCAGUAUGAAAGUUUCAGUAGAUUGAACAUCUGUCCAUGUGUCAACAUUAGUCAUACAAUGACCUUUGGGCAUUUUAAAAGUGAAUGACAACAGACACAGUGAUUUGUUAGGUUCAUGUCAUGUCCUAAACGCAACUGGAGGACUCAGUUAAAACUUUUGGCACCCUGUGCCUCACAUAGAGCCCAGUAUGUACUGAGAAAACAUACAGGAUCCAUAAUGAGCUUGUUUCGUCAGCGUUGCAUAUCUGCUCCGUUGGGCAUCACUCUUCAUCACCACAGGAUGCGUAUUUGGAAUGUGGCAGCAGCGCACUGCAGCCCCGGUUAGCUGGGCUCAGUCUAGAGGAAACAACAUAUUCACAAUGGGUUGUUUUUCCUUCCUGUGGUCUAUUUCCUGCUAAUUUGGAUAUAAUUCAGUGACUGUUGAGCUUCUGCUGUAUGUGAAAAAACAACAUGAUUUUACAGUUUUGGCUUUUGCAGAUUUACUCGUGUUUCCUGUCCUGUUGGGGUCCACAUGGAUCAGGGAUUGACCAUCGGAUUGUUCUGUGUUACUGAUAAAUCCAGAACCAGGUAGUAUUUCUGGAACAAUCCUCUCUGUGUUGAUUGACGCGUGUUGGAACCGCAAGAGCAGAAAAAAUAGACUCUGCGUGAAUCUUUAGCAGAGCCGAGCUUAACAUGCUUCUGAGACGGAGCUGAGACGCGUCCUGUGUGCGAUGCUGCAUUGAUUAGAAUGGCAACCUAUUUGCUGCAUGAUACCCAACACUGACGGAGCGCACUCAAUACGGAUCCUGUGUGUUUUAGCCUUGACUUUUAGUAAUACACAUGCCCUAAUUCAUUUGGUGCCAUGCACCUCAGACUGAGCAUACGGACCAUUGGGAUAAGGCCCACAGACUCAAAGUGAACCCUUGCUUUGAUAUUGUUAGGCUUUUCAACCUAACUACUUCCCUUGCCAAGCCAUCACAACAUGUCUAAGAGAGUCAUUAAAUCUGUAUGUUGGAUUCAGGGUCUGAUCAUUGCGAGACUAACAUGUGCUUCUGUGUCAGACACACGAGUGGUAGUGAAAAUAACAGUCUCUGAGGCUCUGAAGUAGUAAAACAGUCCCCAGUGGCACCUGAUCUGAGACAUCAAGGGAGUACAGGAGAUAUGCAUGUAUUAAAACAAGAAAGGUCGAUCAAAAAUGAUGUUCCCUGUGUCUAAGGAGCCCUGUUAGACUGUUUGGGCUAUAAAGAGAGGCUCUGCUAUCGCAGAGACAGCAGCUCUCCUCUCACAUCCUCCCUCAGGAAUUGAACCUGGACACAGUGACAUUAUCCUUCACACAUGAACCGUGUCUUUUAUCUGCAGAGGGACAGCACAGCCAGGAGUAAAGGGGGUCGUAAUCAGGCAUGAUUGUGUAGUUAACUCAAAAGCCUCAGACAGAUGUUGAAGGAAAUGAGGUUAAGAGCAGGUACAUCUCAGGCAUAAUCAAGCAGGCAGCUUCCCACAGACACAGCACCAGAAGCAAAGAAAUCCACCUCUGCUUCCAUCACACUCCUCUGGGGCACUUUCUGCUCUUUUAAAGCAAUGAAUUGGGCAACAGAGAGACAGAAAUAAAAGCACUGAGCAGCGGGAUGGAUAGAUGGUACACAGGCUGAGGUUAUUAAUUCAGAGCUUUGUUGAAGCUCUCUCCCUCAGGACCACCUGGCUGCUUCUCAAAAUGGCUCAGCUGCGGUACAGUCAGACAUUUUAACUUGUUGAAGGAUUAAUGUAAAACAGCCCAGAGGAUGGGCCCUCAAAGUGUGCAUAUUCACAAACCUGUUCCAAGAUUCCAGGGUCAAAUGCAGCGGUGCAGUCAGGGGUUGUCAAACGGGCAACCUCCAUUAUACAGAUUGCAUCAGGGGGCUGGAUCAUCAAUUCAUCACUCUGUGGGAAAAGUUUCCCCCUGGGCACUCCUGCUCUUCUCUUACAAGAUGCUUUCCCUCUGCAGCAGGAAACAGCAGUGAUAGAGAGGGCACAACCCCCCUCAGGAAUCAUUGGCUGCAUUUCAAAACAAAAGAACUGGGUAAACACACACAGACUGGGCUGCUGUCUAACCCUGCUGUGUUUUGGGAUAUGAAUUGGAGAUAAGAUUUAUUCACACCUGAACGUGUGUGCAGCAUCAAUGCAGCACACAACAUCAUUUAGAUUUUUUGUUGCGCUAACAAAACUUCUAAAAUGAUGUUUUUAUUGUCCAGAAAGUUUGAUUUGAAAGUCUGGGCCGUCUGAAGUUAGUAUUUAUUUUGUUUUAUUUCUUUUUUAUCGUAAACUUAACUGCUUUAAAUGAAGCCUUAAUGAAAUGCUGUAUCUCAUUGGCAGUUUGAAUGUAAAGCCCUGUUUGGGUCAAAGACGUCCAAGACGUGUGAAAUGUACAUUUAUUAUUAUGAGGUUAUAAACUAAAUGACUAAUAACUAAUUUAUGGGAAAGGAAAUUUCAAAUUUUGGUGGAUAGGAAAGCUUGCAUUUGGUGCUAUGCUGAUUAAUGUGGUUCUGUUCAUCUGGUUUCACUUUACAAUGAGUGUAAUUUUUUUAACAUGAGUAAAAACAGCUAAGUUAGCGAUAGAGUUCAGUGAAUACAGCUCUGACUGUGAGCAUAUUGUAAAAAAUUUUUGUCCUAAAGAAAAAAAAAUAAUUAUUUAAAUUAAUGCAAUCAACUCCAAAGUAAUGGUUGGUGUGGAAUCAUUCAGAGCAAAGUUGUUAUAGUUCAAGGAAAGUAAGAGACUGUUACCCUAAUUCUGUCAAAGGAUUAGAGUCAUCUGGAUGAAUGGAUGAAGCUGUGGUGGUCUCAUUAGACAUGAGCUUGACUAACCAAUGACUCUAACACUGAGGUGACAUGUUACGAAGACAGCAACCUGCAUUUGGAAACAGGAGAAUGACUACUUACUAAAACUGACAUUAACAUAAAAAGACAAUAAAAUGCAGGGCUUAGAGGGGUAAAGAGUCACACAUCUCAGUUUGAAUCGUAUUUAUUAUUUAUUUAAAAAGAAUAUCUAUCUAUCUAUCUAUCUAUCUAUCUAUCUAUCUAUCUAUCUAUCUAUCUAUCUAUCUAUCUAUCUAUCUAUAUAUAUAUAUAUAUAUAUAUAUAUAUAUAUACACACACAGAAACACAAUACAAUCCAAAAGUUUGGACACACCUUCUCAUUCAAUGCAUUUUCUUUAUUCUCAUUACUAUUUAAAUUGUAGAUUCUCAGUGAAGGCAUCAAAACUAUGAAUGAACACAUGUGGAAUCAUGUGCUUAAGAAAAAAGUGUGAAAUAACUGAAAACAUGUUUUAUACUUUAGAUUCCUCAAAGUAGCCACCCUUUGCUUUUUUUGAUAGCGCUGCAAACUUUUGCUGUUCUCUCAAUGAGCUUCAUGAGGUAGUCACCUGAAAUGGUUUUUACUUCACAGGUGUGCCUUGUCAGGGUUACUUUGUACUUCUGUCAUCAAGAGCAAAGGGUGGCUAUUUAAAAAAAAAACUAUGAAAUAAAACAUGUCAGUUAUUCCCCCUUUUUUUAUCAGUACAAAAUUCCACGUGUUCAUUCAUAGUUUUGAUGCCUUCAGUGAUAAUCUACAAUGUAAAUAGUCAUAUAAAAAAAUAAAUAAAGAAAAGACAUUUAAUGAGAAGGUGUGUCCAAACCUUUAGCUUGUACUGUAUAUAUAUAUAUAUAUAUAUAUAUAUAUAUAUAUAUAUAUAUAUUUAUACAUAUAUACCUGAGGCGUAAGCUUGUUUAAAGAGGGAGGAAAGCACCUGAUACAACUCCAGUCUCACUGCUUCAAGGGCGGGAUUAUGAAUAAUUUGUAAAGUUUCAAGUAAACAAGAAAAAGUUGUCCCCGAUUAUUAUUUCAAACAUAUGGGCAGAUGAAAGCUCUUGUAAAGAUUAGUCUUUAUCUUCCUGGUAUUCCAAUGAGGAUAUAAAUAAAGCUUUUUUCCAUUGCCCAGCAAGGAAAGCCUGCACUUCCUCCGCUUAUGUAAGAGUGGGUGUUGGGUCUGGCUGCUUGACCAUGAAUGGGCCUUUGUGCUCACCCAGCAGUCUGUGGCAUUGAUUUAACACAUGCCUACGGCUGUAAUAGUGUCUGAAAACAAAUCAAUUAUAUUUUCUUAAAAAGGAUUUAUUGAAUGGAUUAGCUGACAGCCAUAACAUAUUUCAAUGCCGAAAUCACAAUAUCCCUUUAAGGUUAUUUCUUCCUGCAACAAAAGGUGUUUUUGUUUAUCGCCAAGCCAAGGGCUCUAGCUUUUUAUUCAGCACGUUUAUUUUGUGUUCAACAGAACGUGGGAAGGAAAAAGUGCCUGUUUUUUUGUCUCUUUGACAAAAAUAGAAAAAAAAAGUGCUUCAUCUGGCUGUAAAAGUGACUAAAGCUGUUUCACUUUGGUGUCGAGCUUCUUGUGCUAGCAUCUGAGAACCUGCAGGAGAAAGUCCAGUAAAAGCUGAAGAGAAGAUAUUUAGAUUUACCUGUGGAUUGUUUUAAUAUUAACCCUUUCUUAUUCUGGAACCACAAAAAAAUAAAAUUAAGUGACAACAGCAGCAAAACAACAACAACAACAAAAAAACACUAAUUAGCUUUUUGUUUUUUUUUGUGUUUUGUUUUGUUAUUUUGUUUGUUUUUUUCAGAGUCUGAAUUGUAGUCAGGACCACAUCUGAUCAUAAAUAAAAUGUUGUUAAAAACUGCAAUGAAACCAGGUCCAAUUCCAUAGAGGAGAGACAUGCAGCCUUUUUUAUAUUAAUGCUCUUAUUACACAGCCACCAAUUUAAUCUGCAAAAAGUAUGAUGAAAAGUAUUGGACUAAUUAUUUCACUACCUCAUUUAGGUCACACAGUGUUUGGCUUAAAGACAAGGAAAAUAAAGGUCAAGUAUUACAUUAACCAACUUUGAGGUUGGACAGGAAUCGGCCUCUUUUGGCCAGGUAAGUGGGUUGACAAUCAUGACACAAAUGAUUUUAUUUAUUUCGACAAACUUUUAGCAGACAGUUUCACAGGCUUAUAUUUAAACUAUGAUACAUGAUGAGAAAAAGAAAAGAAAAAAAAAAUGGCACCAAUAACCUACUUUAUUCAUGUCUAUAUCAGGACUUAAUUGUCACAUGAUAAGUCAUUCACAGGGACAGUUCUUUGAAUUAAUGUACUGUAAUAGUUAUUGAGUGGGCAACAAGGUGUGGGUAGCACUAGAAUCAAGAUGGGGUGGAGCAGGCACGGUGGAACAGAGAGAGAGCGUGUGAAAGAGAGGGAUGGGGAGUGUGUGUGCUUGUGUGUAUAUGUGAAACUAGGUGUUCACAAUGACGAUGUAAAGUCACCCACAGAGAAGCUAGUAUCACACCACAGCAGAAUCAAUACAAAAGUGUGAUGAUGGUGAGUGUGUUUUUCAGUUUGUUUGUAGUUGUCCAUUGCUGUGUGCUGCACUGCAUGUUCACGUGUGCUCACACCCUCUAUAAUCAGGCAAAUCUUGGCCUGUCCCUGAGCCUGCCAUGCCUUAUUAGCCAAACUCAUAUAAAGCUUGUCUUGGGACACUGGCACUUGAUGUCACAGCUUCACACCUCAGAGGAGCACUAAUGACUCCUCUGAUUCAAUUUAACGUCCCUCCUCAGCCAGAGUGACAAUACAUGGGAGCGGAAGAGCAAAAGGACUUUUAUUUAAUAGAGGGCAAAGGGACAGGAAGAAGAGGAGACUGAUGGGGAAGGAGAGAGGAAAGAAGAUGGAGAGAUUGAGGAAGCAGAGCAUGUGAGGGGAAAGUGGAAUUUUAAACACGUUCAGGGUAAAGGGGAAGGAUAUGUAGACGGCAGAGGACUUUAAUUCAAUAGGGGGCAUGGUGGUCGCAGAAGGAGGAGAUAGAAUAUAUGAGCGUUAAAGGAAGCACAUAAAUCUACUGCAAACAGGACAGAAAAAAAGGGAACAGGGUAAAGGUGAGGAGGAUUCAGCAAAGAAAACAAACUACCUUCAAGAGCAGGGUAAGCCAAUAGUAUAAAGAUCAUGUUUUUAUAUGUACUUUGGUAACUGAACUGGGUUUAGCACCUCACUCAAUGAAUAGCUGUGAAGUAAAAAAGGACAUCAUAACAGAUGGGUUUGCUGGGAUGAUUUUACAUUCUCUCUGAUUCCCUAAAGGUCAGACAAUUAACAGCAGUCAGAUUCAAAGGGACUCUCCAGAGAAACACUGGAAAGGUUUUCAGAUGUAAUAUAAAGACCACUUUGGUUGGGGGGAUUUUUCUUUCUCAGUCUAAAACCAUAUUUCAUCUAAGACAUACAUGUCUGCCUCUGGGUACCCUUGAGCAUUUUUUUGAAGCUACAUUCUCAUUUCUGUUUCCAGGUAUCUUUUUAGCAUCUUUCUAAAGGCAUCCUUUCUUUCUUUAUUUGUUUAUUUGUGUGUUUAUAUAAUGGUUUGUUUGUUUGUUUGUUUGUUUGUUUGUUUGUUUGUUUGUUUGUUUGUUUGUUUGUAGGUGUCCUUGAGGGUCUUUUUGUGUUCCUUUUGUCGUAUGUUGGCUGUACGUUUAAAAUGCACGUGAAUGAAUGUAGGUAUGUAAAUGUGCCAGACUUUAGCGUAUUCCAGUCUGUAGUCCCUCACAGGUUGCUUGUAAACAUAUUAAUUUACAUAUGUGAACAUCAAAAACAAUAAAAUUACAAGUACGUAGAAGCAGACAACAUGAAUGACCAAACUUUACAAAGACGCACAUACUGUGUAACAUUCCAAAAGGUGGCUGUAAAAGUCCUCUUCAGAAAAACUGGAACUCAAGUUAAACUUAAAGCUAAUAGCAACAGGUGAUUUGAGUGCAGAGGUGAGUGGUAAAGUACCAGCGUGUUUAAGUGCCAAAAUUGGUGUGCUGCAGGGGUGUUGGUGUAAACUGCACCUUUGCUGUGGGCCUGUUAGUUAAAAGUGCAGGUUCACUUACACAUAGCCAUAUUGCUCAAAUUUGGCACGAACAAACAAGUUUAUACAUGGACUUUUGCACAGAGAUAGCAUACCUAGAAAUGAUACUGUAUGGAAAAUUAAACUAAAGAUUCAUACACAGAAAGAUUUAAAGGGUAAACUGUUGUUUCUGUUUAAUGAGUUCUAUGUCAACAGCUCAGAGUAACCCAGUUUACCGAAAGAAGACUGACUUUGUGUACCCUGCAGCUGAUUCAGGGUACCUCUUCUUUCAAGGAUCUCUGACCCUGCUAUUUGUUGACUAUUAUAUACCAAAUUGACUUGAAUGUAAAGGACACUCUCUUCUAACCCCCCUUCAAAGACUAACGUUUUGGAAAAGACUUUUUGAAGAUAAAAAUUUAAUUGUAUAGUAUAGUCAACAUACAAAGAGCAUAGAUCUACUGAUGCUACAUUAAGCUGAACAGAAUAAAACCAUUCAAAAAUGUUCUGUCUCUCCCAUUUCUAUACUGUGAGCAGACCGUUGUCUCAUGCUGCCCUUGUUUCUUAUUGGACCUUGAUAGAUCAGCUGACUAGAGAUACAGCAUCUGAUCAGCGGACCAAGACGAAGCCUGUUUCGCACAAUCAACUAACAACUGAAAUAACACUUUCACACUAAAAAAUAUACAGAAAAGAUCACAGAUUGUCUCUGAAAUUACACUGAUCUUCUCUGUGGGAUAGGAAAGCUCCUGGAUGUUGUAAAAACAGACUUCAUCUUAAAUGCUGUCAGUCUCACAAAGCGAGUAGAUUUCACAGUUAUUCACUUUGUGCUACAGCACUAAUGUUUGAGCUGAUAUUGUAAACACUGCAAUAACAUACAAUAAAUGACCAUAAAUAACAGCCUAAUUAUCUGAAUAAUAAUAAAAUGGUGUUGAUAGAAUUAACCACUCAGUGCUGAUUAUUGUUCAUCCCUAGGAUCACUCCUGACCUUACCUUGACGCCAAGGGAACCACAUCAUCACUCUAAGGCUGCUGUUGCUGGACUGCACCGUUGAUGGGUGUUAUGAAGGCCUGAGAGGUGCUUUGUGUGUUUGUAUGAGAGAGCAUGAUGGGAUCAGGUGUCAGUAUUUGUCACUUUGGAAAGAGAGUAGCAUGAAUAUCCAGAGAGCUGUUAGUUCAGAGGACAGGAGAUGAUGAGUGGUGGUUAUUAUACUGUACAUUCAACACAUACCAAGCUUCAAGGUUCUUUACUGUGAUAAAACAUCCAUGUAUUGUGUUUGACGGCUCAGUAACUCAGUGAAAUGUCAGCUGCAUUUAUAGAUCUCCUCCCCACCUCAUUGUUAGUUACUUAGCCUGCUGCUCAGCAGUGUGUCAGUGUACUAAUACAUUAACAUUGUAAACAGUCUUUGAGACUGUUGCAUACAUUACAGUACAAACAGUCAUUCAGAUUUGCAUGUGUAGAGCCUUUCUGGUGCUGACAGUUUAGAGACAACAUAAAUCACCUUGUUUUUGUUUUUCAGUUUGUGGUGAAGUCACAGGAGGCAGAGUCAGUUCUGGGGGUCAUUGUGAGUUAUAAUUAUCUGACUCCAUAAUCUGCGGCUUCCUUGGUAGCAAAGGGCUGGAUAUAUCAGCAUACUCACAACUCACAACUGCCUUUUUUUUUUUUUGCUACUUUUGGCCUUUGGCUCUGCAGUGAUUUCUGCAAAAAGCAACGAUUGAGCAAAGAACCAACCAGUGAAGUUCAUGCAUCCAAGCCAGUGUCAAGGAUAGAGAGUAAUAGUGUGCAAGAUAAUUCUUUAAGUAGAAGUGUUGCUGGAGUUUCGACCUUUUCAACUUCUGGUCUUUUUCUGUGCACCAUGGAGGUCGAUGAAGUUAUAGCAGGAUCCCCCUCUUUCUGCUCCAAGCUAAAGUCACCAAGAGCUGGGGACUUUUGUCUCUGAGUUGUUUGUCUGACCGUCUUUCAAAUUUCCACCUGAACCCAAAACUGGACAGAUUUCUAGAGAAGGGUGUGAAAUGUCAAAGUCACUGAGAGCUUGUACUCCUAAUUUACCUGGUGAAUACACUCAGAAAGGGACUUGUUUUCUUUUCAUGUUAAUCAAUCUGGUGUAUAAUUUAGUUUUUAUCCUAUAGAACUCCAUCAGAGAUCGAUGGACUGCAACCCCCCCAUGAACCUAAGAGUAAAAGCCUCCCAGGUUGUAUUCUACGUCUUUUUAAAACAAGAGAAGGACGGUACAAUUUAAGAGGGGUUUAUAUUUUUAAAACAGAAAAAAAGCAAGAACAAAUGUGAAAGCUAGAUGUGUUUCAGUUUGGGGAGUUAAGCAAUGGAAUAACCUUAACGAUGGGUUAAAAUUGUGUAACUCACAGGUAAUAUUUAAAAAAGCAUUAAAAAGCAAAAUAAUUCAGGAGUACAUACAGCUUUGAGUAAGACAUUUUCUUUCAUUCUUUCUGUUUUUGUUUUUUCCUUUCGUAGUGCAACAUACUAUUUUAAUGUUUUCCUUUUAAUAUUAAAGUGUCUUUCUUUUUUUUUAUUUUAUUUCAACAUUAUCAACUGUUUUAAAUAUUAAAAUGAUGUUACAAGGAUUGUAAAGGAUAGGCAACUAUAAGCAUUGUGCUUCCGCCUAAUCCUUUUUUUGGUCAAGUUUAUAAUUCCGUUUGUUUCUCAUUUGUUGUUAUUGUGACCAAAAAUAAAACCAUUCAUUCAUUCAUUCAUUCAACCUAAUUGAGAAGUGUCUCUUUAGAAACACACUAAAUCAGAGGUUUUUUUGGUAUUACCAGCUGUAAUGGAAACUCCUGUCUAAAGCCUACUUGUGCUUCGUUGAAUUUUGAGGCAAAUUAAGUCUUACAAGAAUUAAUACUGCGUAAAACAAAAAUAUCUACAACCCAGCAGGAUGCAGCCUUUUUCUGAAGUGCUCAGCGCAUCCAGAAAUGCCUCCCACGCCAUUUGAGACAGCCCAAACUGCUAACACAGCAUUGAAUACAUGCUGAAAAUAUACAUUUGUUUAGGCUCUUAAACCACUGCAGAGCUCUUCUCAGAGGUCACAUUCUUUAGAAAAUACCAUAAAAAUUACUUAGGAAUAGAUGUUUUUAGAUAUAGGUAUAGCUUGAGGCAAAACAAAGCAAAAAUGGAGUGACACAUGAAUCACCACCACAGGGAGGAAGGUGUCAUAGUAGUCUUAAAAUGUCAUCUUGUUGUGUUGUUGGUGCCAGAAGAGAAAGAGUGGAAGUAAAGUCUCAAAACUAGAACUCUACCCAUUACCUGCUUUUGUGGUACCAUGCUAUGGCAGCACAUAGCAUGAAGUAUUCAGGACUUUUCCAUAAUUCUAACUUUAUAGGCACGUAGGGUAACGUCAAACAGUGGGAACUGUUUGUCAUCCUUGUCUGUACAAUGAGCUUCAUAAUCAACUACUUGAUAAAGGACCCAAGAGCUCUCCGUUUAUCAUUGUUUCACAUGCAUGUUUUUUCUGUCAUCAAAGUGUAAAUAUCUGAAAGCUUUACCUUUGGCAGUUCUGACAAAUCAUCCCUCCAAUUAACAAUCCGAGGGCUGGUCUGUCCUGUUUGUUAGGGUUAACCUACUGAUGUAAAACCAUUGGCUCCAGUCAGUAAAACUGGUUUGUACUGCAGUGAUCACCUGAUUACAUAGAUUUGCUGGUCUCAAAGUUCCUCAUUCUCGGUCAUGCAGCUGGCCAUUUGAGGUGAACCAAAACUACAACUUCAUCAUGAAAUUAUGACUUUACUUGACUUUACUUUUCAUAAUACAAUGAUUUUAUUCUUCUUACAUAACGGCUUAAUUAUCCAUAUCAGAACUUCACUUUGGAGGGUAGGAUGGAACAGGAGAUCGACAGGCGGAUCGGAGCAGCGUCAGCAGUGAUGCGGACGCUUAACCGACCAGUCGUGGUGGAGAAAGAGCUGAGCCGUAAGGCGAAACUCUCGAUUUACCGGUCGAUCUACGUGCCGACUCUCAUGGCCAUGAACUGUGGGUAAUGACCGAAAGAACAAGAUCGCGGAUACAAGCGGCCGAAAUGGGUUUCCUUCGCAGGGUGGCCGGGCUCAGCCUUAGAGAUUGGGUAAGGAGCUCGGACACUCGGGAGGCGCUCAGAGUAGAACCGCUGCUCCUCCACGUCGAGAGGAGUCAGCUGAGGUGGCGCGGGCAUCUGGUUAGGAUGCCUUCUGGACGCCUCCCGUUAGAGGUUUUCCAGACAUGUCCCAGGGAGGAGUGUUUCCACCGGGAGGAGACCUCGUGGCCGGCCUAGGACCAGGGAUUAUCUCUCGCCUGGCCUGGGAGCGCCUGGGAAUCCCCCCGGAGGAGCUGGUGGAAGUGGCCGGGGUGAGGGCCGUCUGGGCUUCCCUCCUGAAGCUGCUCCCCCCGAGACCCGGAUGAAGCGGAAGAAAACGAAACGAACUUCACAAAGUCUUUAUUCUCACAACAUGACUUUAAUCUUGUAACAUUUUUUAAUCUUGAUUUUCUGAGGACUUAUUCUCAAUACUUGCCAUAUCAUGAUUUUUUGGUGUCUACAUGUUUGUGCACAAGUAAGCAUGGUGACUCAGAGUGUAUUUAUCUGAGUGUGUUAUGUUAGUCAGGGCCGGUAAAUGUUGAGGAGACGUUGAAUAUAUGGAAAAACUGUCAAAAAGAGGAGAUGUUAUCUAUGGCUGGUAAAUGUCAAUAUCAGAAAUGCUGUAAAUACGAUGCUAACCAGUAGAUCAUUCACACAGCUUGCAGUCUACAUUACUUUGAUGUAUAAUCACAUUUAUGGAAGGUGAAAGUCAAGCUUUGUACGUCAGUUGUCUGUAUUGGUAAGGAGCUCCGCUGACCUUUAGCACAGAUUUGUCUACAAAAUAUCCCUUUUGUAGAUAUGUGUACUUGUCUGCUCUUCAGUUAUGUGAAGUCUGGCAUCCUAAUAUGAAGUCUGGCAUCCUAAUAAUCUGCAGAGGCAGACUGCAGAGAUGUUCUCUGAUGUUAUUUUCAAUCUGCAGCGGAAGCUCCCGCUUUAUGUAAGCCAAUUUAUCCUGUUUAUUCAAUUUUGAGGGAAAUUAAUUUGAACAAGUACAAAUAUAGAAACAUAAAUACCUAUAUUCCAGCUCCAGUCAUGCUGUCAGAGCGUGGGUAACACUGGAUGCAUUUCAGACUUGACUGGCUGGCAUACAGUGUAAAUGUGGGACGGCAGUCAUUUUGUUUUUGCCAGAGUGUAACACAAGCUGUUUCUGUGGUUUCUGUCUCACAGCAGGAUAACACUGUCCUGUCUGUGAACCACACAACCACCAGAUUACCCCACAUACAUUUUACGAACAUGACUUCAUUGAUGACUUGAAAGCACUCACUUUUCUGCAGAUCAAGAACCAUUUCCUUUUUUUCUCUUUUUAUAUUAGGGUCAGGAAUGUUUGAUUGAAGGAAUAAAAUGAUGUAGCAGUCAUAUUUCCUAGGUUAAAUGAAGCAUGUGAGCACCUGCAGAGCCCCAGUCUGGUGACCUCCAUUUCCUCUAUAAACCCAGAGGCGACUUGUCACACAGCAAACGCCCAGGCCCCAGAUGUACCCUUUUGUUUCAUUCAUCAACAACAUGUCAUGUUACAUGUAAACUGAGAAAUGAAUCCCCACCUCUGGAAGUUGCUCAUCCCGGCAGACUGAUCACCUGCUUUUCCCUGUGGGAGCUGGAUUCAGCAGUUAAAGAUGGGAGCUUUGAAACCGAGUUCAGCCUUACCACAAGUGUUUCCAACAGCUGCCUGGUGAAUUUGUUUCCUCUUUCAUUUAGCAGAACAGCUAGUUUGAGAGGCAGAGGGCGAGCAAAGAUAGCCACAUUAAGCCACUGUCUGGCUCUUGUACUGCUCUCAACAACACAUGCUGUGUACACCUACAGGAGCUGAGAGCGCCUGCUGUUCCAUGCCCUCGGGGUACCGACAGGAUGUUUGUGCGCUUUCAUUUUUCCUUUCCAGCUCCAAAAUGAAGCGAAGAAAAGGCUAUGUGCAUGCUGUACAGAAAAAUUAAAUCAUUGCCCUAACCAACUGCCUCUCCCUUUAAAAUGUUGGCUCUUCCUUCAGCUAAGGCAGUUUUCCAUGACUUUUUUUGUCAAACUCAAGUGUCUUGUUAUGACAAAAGAACAACUAAAUUCUUUAUACAAUUUGACAUUUAAAAAACUGAAACUACACAGACCAGAGCAUGAAUUAUGUAUCACAAGUAAGCAUUGACCUUGGGUGUUGAGGAAAAGCAGACAUAAAAGUCUUUACUGGCCACAGAGACUCCAUUUCUCCUAACAAACUCAUGAGUAAUUGUUCCUUUAUUGUCUUUUCUAACCUCAGUACAUUUUUUUUUAAAUAGUUCUUCCUGAUUUCUCUUUUUAGGGACAACAUGAAGCUCAUUUUGUACAUAGCUGUCCCAGUCAAGGUAAAAUUCAUAAAGUAGGGCACACCUCCUUUUGGUAACAAGCCACUACCGAGGUGUCCUAAUAAUGUCUUGUUUUGCUAAAAUUAGCAUCUAAUUCCUUGCUAAGUUAGCGCUAAUGUUUACUAAAUAGAAGUUCCCACUGAAUAGUUUGUGACUGCAAAUAUCACUAAAAAUUGAACAUCACUCUUCCUCACCAAGAAGAGUGCCAAUGGUGUAUACCAAGUUAGACACCCCCUCGAAAGAUGAAUGUUGCCGACCACUUGCUUUUCUAGUUGUACCAACUUUAGUAAUGACCGUACAAUAGCAAUACACAGCGGUCUACAUCUCCGCACACAAACCUCAACCAAAACACCGCUCUAUAGCCACAAAUAAUGCACAGAACAGCACCUAACUUCAUCAACAGUACAUAUAGGGUCUCAGCCAUAAUACUAGCCACCAAACAUCUUUUUAGCUGUGCCUGGUUUCUUAAGCAAAGAGACUAAACACAACUCACCCACUCUCCUCCAGCAGCUGCUUGUUUGUGGGAGAGCCCUGACAGGUCAAUCAGCAGAAAAUGUAUGUUUAUUACUUCAUGGAAAUGCAAUCAGACUGAGACGCUGAGACAGAAGAACUACCAUGUCUGCAGUGCACAUACAAGAUACACAAGAACUCUGAUGCAUAUAUAUAGACCGCUGUGUAUUGCUAUCGUACAGUGGUUACUAAAGAUGAUAUAACCAGAGAAGCAAGCGGUUGGCAAUCCAUCUCUUGAGGGGGUGUCUAACUCUCUGUUACAGUGUCUUUGACCAUGACCUAAACUUACACCAGAAUAUCCCUCUAUUCCUUGGCUAAAAGCAGUUCUGAAAAAGAUUCGUAGAGACAAAUGUCAUAUAUAAAGGCAUAGGGUCUUUGUGCAAAAGUAGAGCCACAACAUAAACAUACUUUACAUACAGAGGGAUUGUUGUGUCACCUGUAUGUUUUCAGAUUAUGCAUGUGUGAAAGCCUAUUGAGCCUGUGAUGAAAGAGAUGUUUGUUUUUAUUGUUGUUUCUCAGUAUGUUGAGGGUCCUCAGUGCAGUGAAGUGAUCUGGCUCAUUUGUGCCCUGAAUGCUGAUAAACCUUUGUAGACAGUGUCCAAAGAAGUCUUCAUCAUUUUAACCGUAAAAAGUGCAGAGGCAGCCACAGGGACCUGGAAUUACCCCAGAAAGGACAGACAUGGCCCCCUGGUAGCACUAAUCCCAUGUUUGAUGAGCUUUAGACUGUGUUUUUUUGGGCUCAUUUGCACAGGUUAAGCAGGCCCAAAAAGCUGCCCAGUCCUUUUGUAAAUCAGGCCCCUCAUAUCCCACACAACAGACCAAAAUUUGCAUAAGUGGAUGCUGUCCCUGGAAGCCAAAUGUAAGUGCUCUAAAUGAGCUUUUUUCCUUCCUUUUUCUUUUUUCUAUUGCCCAGAAGAGAUCCCACUGCUGUGACAACACAUAUGAUUGCAUGUUGCAAUUUUUGAUUUAAUCUUAGCAAAUAUUUUCUGAAUAAGUUUAUGUUUCAGCAUUCAUAUUUUCAAGAAUUUUGUACAAUUUUCAAGUAGUGAUCCCAUUCAAAUAAUAGCAGGGCAUGGUCACUUGGUAAAUACAUACACUACGAGUGUGUGACAAAAAGUAGCACCCAAAAGAGUCCCAAAUAGCAUCCUUUUGCUUUCGCAUCCAAGCUUGCACCAGUUAGACAGAAACUUAGCCUCCAAUAACUUACCCGUUACCUGUGCGCUUUAGCCCCAUCAUGGUGGUUGUCCAACUUUUAUGCAAAGUGAAUCAGGCUUGUGGGAAGAAGAAUUAAAAGGCACUCACCAACCAUCAGGUAUGAAUAUUAUUUUACUGCUCUGUGGAUCCAAGGAGAAGGACUGACUCUCUGAAGUUUCAUCAACACAAAGCAGAUGGGGGAUUAUCACAUUUAAAUCAUCGUAUAAGAUCAGGGGUGAAGACUUAAAGCUUUUCUUACUGUCUCUACUUCAUAUUCCAUUUUUACUUUUCAAUAAAGAAUUAAAAGGGCAGCCUUUUCCUGAAGCCCAGAAUGGAAACUGUCCAGAAAAGUCUCCCACGUAUGAGACAACCUGAACAUCAUUGAACCCAUGGUGAAAAUAUACAGUAGUCUGAGAUUUAGACUCUUAUACCACUGCAGAGUUGCUCUCAAAGGACACAUCCCUCAGAAAAUACCAUUUUAAUUGCUCAGAAAAGCAAACUCUGCAUGUUCCUGUUCAAAUAUUCUGUUUUCUUAUGUCUUAAUUAACAGGAGAGAGCUUUGGGAAACCUGUGGGACCCUACCUGCUCUGGCCAAAUUACUCUACUCGAGGAUUUUUGGUAUCUCUCAUCAUAGCAACAUAUGGGAGUUUUUUUUUUCUUUUUCUUUUUUUUUGGUUUCUUGUCAGAUUGGACAAGUUGGUGUUUCUUUUUUUAGGCCAUGGUUUCUUCUCAAAAUGUCUUGCUGGAUGAGUCAAGAUGCUGUUCCCGUGAUGAUGUUUUCCUCUCAUGUUCACAGCAGUGUUUUCCAACAGAUCUGAUGUGUCACUCAUGUUUUUAACCACAAAGAACGUCCUGAUGACACGUCACCAGGACAUCUGGUGACGUUUUUCACACAUAGGUUCAGAUUCAGUUCAAGUCCGCCUGUUGGGCACACCACAUGUGUCAUCCCUCCUGUUUUUGUUUCACUGACUUUGUACUGUGUGUCACAUGAGUCAGAAAAACAAGCGCCUAGUUUGUUAGGAACACUGUAAGAUGAGGACGAGACAACAUGCUGUGGCUUCAAUUAUUUAAGGUGAAGGGAUGAUUUGCACAUGUAAAAUUAACUACCAAACUAGUGGAAAUAUUUAAUGAAUGAUGCAACAUUAACAAAUUCAAGAAAGUGUUAUUCAGUUUAAAAGAAGGACCUGACUGGUUUAUUUAUUUUUUAAAAUUAAACUUUUUUUCCCCCAUUAUUAUCAAUUACUGGGCCUUUUCUGGAGCAACUAAAAUUUGUCAUAUUUUGCAUAUUUUGUCAAAAUCUUCUUGUGUUUUGACAGGCUGCUGUUUGGUCAAGCAAGUUUUUACCAUCAUGAAAACGUCUUGAGCACAAAUCCUCUUCUAAGAACAUUCACUCUUUCUGUCAGUGGAUUCCAGCUGAUGCAUUUAAGCAAAGCCACUCACUAUGUUGCUGCUCUGGUCUGGUCAGUUGUCUGGUCAGUGCAACUGCAGAAAUAAUGAGCUCAAUAACGGAAGUUUGGUUUGUUGAAUACUUUGAUCAGUUUGACGAAGAAAUAGCCAUUGUCUGGUAGAGAUGAAAUAAAACUUUUAAUCUGUUAAGAAACGAAUAGAUGCUUCUAUUCUCUCUGUCAGAGACAGGGUAGUAAAGAAGUUUUAGGCUUUUGCUUUUUCAGUGUAUUUGUCUUCAUAGUAUUAAUUAACAACUCAUUCUGGCUGACGUAUUAUUAUUAUUAUUAUUAUAUUAUACUCUCAGCUCUUAGACACAGGAAGGUGAAUUAUUUCAUUCAAAUGUAAGACUCUGGUGACCAGGUUUGUUGUGAUAACAAAUUUAGCAAGUUGUUGAUACUUUCUGUUUCUACAGAUUCAGAAACCCAUAAACAAAUAACAAAUUUGCUAAUCUGUCAGGAGAGGGUUUAUUUUUCCAAUUUUUUGGCGUGUCUACUCUGGAUUUUAGCAUUGAAUUGUUUGCAGCACUUUGAAGGAGUAUUUGGGGACAAAGGAAUUGGUAAACACGUUUCUUUCUUUCUUUCUUUCUUUCUUUCUUUCUUUCCUUCUUUCCCAUAGUGCCAUACAAAGCCACAUACAAAGUCACUGAACAUUUGUAGCGUCUACUUUGAAACAUAGUCUAUGCUCCUGAUCCAGCUGUGACCACAACUUUGUAGUUUGUGCAGGUUAUUUACAUUUGCAGUAAUUGUGAGCCUAACAUUACUGUGCUAACACAUUCACCAUCGUGAACAUUUUACUUUGAGUUUUACUUUUUUUCCCCUUUUUUCUGUUUUUCUGAAGUUUUACACACUUCCUUCUGCUUUAUUGAAGUUAACUAACCUGUUACCUUUCAGGUAUGACUGAGUUAUAGCCGUCAUAAAGUGAACACAGAUAAUUUCACUUCUCUGUGACCCAGUACCAGUGAUAGACCAGCCUUUUUCUUUGUUCAUUCAGACCUUUAAUAGAAAUCAUAAUAAUAAUGUUUGAGCACUCUCAUGCUUGUGUUAGUGGAUUGGCACCAGCUGUGUCACUCCAUCUUUGCAAUCACUGCCUUAUUCAUUCAACUUCAAUCACAUUCAACCACCAGAUAGCUUCUUUAUUGUACUUUUUGUAUAUUGUAGGUAAGGACGGAAGCCAAGUUAAAUCUCCUUAUCAAGCUAACUGUGCAUUUAAUGUACUGUUUAGAUCCUCCGAGUAACCCCUAUUUGGGAGGUGCUGGUCCAGCUCUCCUUCCUAGUCGUAGUUUAAACGUCUAGAAAAUAUCCUCUGGGAUUUGUAGAAGCUGGAAGUGUCUCAUUGAGCUGCUAUCUACUAACAUGUGAAACCCAGUGUACCUCUUGGACCACUUAUUAAGAGAAAUUAUUCCCAGAACUGAACUUUGAAUGCAGUUUACUUUUUUUUUUUUCAACUCGGCUAGUUCAAAAAGCUUAGAAGCCAAUUCAGAUUAAAAUUCAGAUUGAAAAGAUUAAAUGGAAAAAAAAGAAAAGGAAUGAUACUAAAUGGAUAGUUCAGAUCCAAUCCUUGAAUUUAGAAGCCUGAGGCCCGAUUCAGAGAUAAUUGGUCGUCUUUAACUGACAGGGGAUGUAGGAUUAUUCCAAUUAGCCAGCUUGUUCUCAAUAGAAAAAGUUUACUAUCAGGUUUUUGGUGUUUGCAGAGUCUCUCUCUUUUUACAGCUCCUAGACUCUAAUCUGCAUCAUGGCGCAUGCCGUAGAUCAGGUCCUGAGCAUGAACGUCUCAGAAACUGACCAAGAAAUGUCCUGACCUUUACUUACGAUCAUACAAAUAUUUGGAAGCACAAAUCUUUGAAAAUCAGCCCUCAUUCAGUCACCUCUUUAUCAUUACUGUGCUACACUGCUUCUUGAAUUGACCUUUUCUCUAUAAGAUCAUUUUACUCUACUUAAGUGCUUUGCUCCUCAAUCACUCAUCACUUUCAUAAUCAGGCUGCCUCCUGGGAAAGCCUGUAGACCUGUGCUGGUAUCUAGGUCAGGUUUUUUUGUUAGUCCUGGAAUGAUGCAAUACUAAACACAGCACACAAUCAUGAUUUUUCCAUGUGGGAAUGUUAAAGAGCAGACAUGGAGACACAAAGAAUGGGUGUCUGGGUGUUCAUGGGUGUCUGAGCCUUGUAAAAGUCUCCCUGAUACUCACCUUCAUGUUAAUCCAUCCUGAACUAGGCCUGCUCUGCUUCCUCUCAGAUCCAGCUCAUGUUCCAGCUCGUGUCUGUUUCCCUCUAUUUCUCCCCCAUCUUCAUUCUGUCUUUCAUCUCUCUCACCUCUUCCACCCUGCCGUCCUUCUCUCUCUCUCUCUAUUAAGAUCAAUGCGUCUCGGCUGAGAGGGAACGUCCGUCGGGUGCGAGCUGCUCCGCUUAACCUCCUGUAGUGGCUCACUGUACCCCUCUAUAUCACAGAGCAUGCACACACACACACACCCGCCCACUCGCACACACCAGUGUAAAAUCACGUGUUCAGUGUGACGGGUUGGCUGUGUGUGUUCAGAGAUUAAUCUCACACACACACACACUCACACACAAAGUGAAUCACAGAGGCAGGCAGAAAGGUUACAUUGAUCUUAGUCAUGGAUGAGAUUGCAAAAGCCUCCAUCCCUCAUCUCUGUCUCUCUUCACCUCUCUCUCUCUCUCUCUCUCUCUCUCUCUCUCUCUCUCUCUCUCUCUCUCACUCUGUCCACACCACGCUUGCCCAUGCUUUCUACUCUUUAUUUUGGCUCCCUUUAUUCACGCUUUUCUCUCCUCCUCUUCUCCUUCUCCCUAUCCGUCUUAGUUUCUCUUUCAUUUCUUCUCCCUCCAUCCCUUCCCUCUUCAUCCUCCUCCUCCUCCUCUCUGAGUGCCGGUAAUACUCUCUAUAAAUCAUGAUCACCCUUACACACACACUCUGCCAGACGGCAUACUAAAACACACACAGCCUCAGCCGGCUGUACGUUGAUGCAGCCUGCACAUGUCGUUAACCAUGCAUUAACUAUGCAUUGGCUUUGUGUGUGUGUGUGUGUGUGUGUGUGUGUGUGUGUGUGUGUGUGUGUGUGUGUGUGUGUGUGUGUGUGUGUGUUUGCAGUUAAGAUCUGAAUUAUGUAACUUCACAGUCAAACAGAUGCAUUAGUCUGCAGCAUAAAAAAAACACACCGACACAAGCAAAUGAAGCAGACCCACACUGAGAUAAUCAUCACAUCUGAGACAACACUGAAGUUCCUCUCAUAAUAACUUGCCACGAUUCAACCAGGCCAUCCAGUUGGAGGCAGACAGAUCUGUGUGAUGAGAUUCUGGGCUGCAGGACGUGUUCAGCGUUCAGAUUUCUUUCCCUCUCCUAAAGCAAAGACAAAAAGAAAUCUAAGGCUGGCAUUUAGCCUGGCAUUGCUCAAAGUGAUGCCAUGGUGAAUAAAGAUGAGGUCAAACUGGUGAUUUACUGGACCAGGCAAUUGAAAAAAGUGUCCAUUUAAAUAAUUUUACCCAUUUCUCAUCUUUUUCAUGUGUUUUUUUCCCUCUCAAAUUCAGACGCUCAGCCACCUCUUUAUCUUUAUUAAGCCAGAAAAACACAUUCAAGUUCUCUGUUACAUUAUUCAAAGGGGGACCUGUUAUCAUUUCCAGGCUGAUGUUAAAGAUGGCCUAGUAAACUCAUUUUUCACCUCUUAUGCAGAGUUACUCACUACAGGUGUCCCAGCCUGACAGGAUUUUCACCAUCCUCCUUUUCCGUUACUGGCGCACACUUCAUUCUGUCUCCUAUUACACUGGUAUAAAGUUUGACAGAGCUUGUAGGUGUUGCUGUGUACACAGCUUUGUCAUCAUUGUUUAACCCACAAUGACUUCUUUACAGAAAACAUCCAAAGUUAGAUGUUAACAUCAACCUCCAUUAUAUCUUAGUUGGUGAAGCAGCUCCAGGUUGCAGUGAUAAGACAUACAUCCACCUCAUACUGACCUUUGUCUCUGUUAGGGUGAUUUUUAACCAUUCAUGUAACUCUUUAGGGUGGUUAAACUACCUCAGGUUUUUUAGUGCUAGACUUAAGUCCCCUAGGUGGUGCCUUGUGUCCCAGGGAACAAUCCUAAACUAGGGCCUUCUACACCUGUUCAAAAUUACCCGAGCUCCUAAAACACGUUAUGUUCAUACCCUAUGGACCUUUUCUAUUGUCUAUAGCAGAGAUGUUGCACUUUUAUGAAAUUUGCUCCACUGUAUUUGGUGAAAACAAACUAAACAGUCACAUGUUGCAUUAUUAUGACAGCUGCUUGUUCAGGGCAGUAUAAUGAAGUAAAAGACAAACAUAAGAAGAGAACUGCUCAUCUAUUGGUCAUAGAGGGAGGUAAAUCCAUCCCCUUUGACCAGAUUAUUUGCCACAGAGACAAUAGAGCAACACCAAAUUUCUGCAGUCUUGUUGUUUCUCUUUUUCUCAAGUGUUCAUGUCACAAAUGUGUUUGACAAGAAAGUGUGUUUGACAGGUAUGAGCUGCAGGUGAGGCAGAGAGCUGUCAGCGUGAUGUUCUUCACAUGAGAGGAACAAAUCAGUGACAAAGACAUUGAGCUGAGACUGAAGCUUACUGGGAAGCAAAUUAAGACCGUCAUUUUUGAGCAGACCAGGGUUCACUAGUUUGAGCCAAUACAGUGUUCCUUUGAGUAAUGGCACCCCUCCAAGCAAACAGACCAGUGUUCAUUUGAAGCUGACCAAACAGCUCUGGUUUGACUGAGACUUUAAGAGCAACUUUCUGAGAAAUACUAGAUCAACAAAGUGCAGAAAGGAGCAGAAAGUCUGAGCAGUGAAAUGGAUUUUCUACACCAAGGAAAAAUUGAAGGAGCUUUUAGGUGUGAGUCUCCAUGAAAGAGCUGCUGGGCGGGCCUGUCCUGCAACUUUGUCCUGGUAGGUUCAGGUUUAGUCCUGGAAAGUUCUCCAAAUGAGCCGCUCAGUAAAGUCCUGAGUCAGGUCCAGGGGUAAAGCCAACAUCUGUGUAUCUUAUAACUUUGCCGAUGUUUUUUUCUGGACAUCCAGCAUUGCCAAAUGAUCAAUAUGGAUUUUGAAAAUACUGUAGGUCUCCAGUCAUGUAAUCCUUUGAUUAAUCUGGUGAGAAAUAACCAGAUAGGUAAGCACACUUAAUGCUUGGGCGAGGUUUAAAAGACAUACAAUGAGCACAAUUAUAACAUCUGUAUUAUAGACUGUAUAUAGAAUGGACAGCAUCUGCCUCCUCGCUGGGUGAAGCCACUCUGAAAACAGCAUCCUUUGUUGGUGGGCUGCAGUAUAGGUCAUAAAUCCCACCUCCACCAGCAAAGCUUAUGGGGCUGUGAACAAACUUUAGAAAUUUAUUACACAGAAUAUACAUUUUCUUCCCCCCUGCUUGCGAUGUUGACAUUUAGUUACUGUAAGACUGGUUUGUGUUUAAGUCCUCUUUUUUCUGUGCAGCUCCGUUUUUAAAUGUUAUGAGGAGGUUCAUGUUUUCUAUGAUUGACACCUGAUACAGCCUGCCGGUGUACAAAGAUUGUGUAGCUCACCGGGGGGGGGAUACGCUGUUUGAGCCGAGCGUCAUCACAGCGACUCUCGGUGACUCUCCAGCCGAAUGCAUUCAACACUACUGCGCAAUCCUGGUUCAGGAAAUGAAGAAAAAUCCCAGAAAUAACCGGGAGCUUUUUGGCUUUAAAUCCUAAACUGACAGGAGGCCGAACCAAGUUGUCCAUAGUAAAUACAGUUUUUGGUCUGUCUUUACUGAAUGUUAAAGUGUGAUCAUUUCAAAAAAGAAAGCAAGUCCAAAGGAGAACCUGUAAUGUCAGGCUACAUACCUGUCUCAUAGUUCACCUCUACCUUCAUCUCCAAAUCACCUUCUCUCUCCUGCAGGUUUGGUUGUGACCUUUCUGAACAUCACUAGGUUUCAGUGUGUCAUAUAGUGAGUUCAGAGCUGUCAGAACUGAUUACAGCUAAAACAAAGGGCUUUAUACGCCUGCAGCACAUAACACGCCACAAAACCUACAUAUCUUUGAGUUCUGUCACAGUCAACACCAGUCAACGGCAUGCUGAUGCAUCCAGUCCUCUUAGGAAACACUUUGUAGACAUUUUGAUUUGCUGCUGUAACUUGCAUCAACGCUCGCAAGGAGAAGACGUCUCAUCUCAUGAGCUUAGAAACACCUUGUCACCUCCACUUACUCUUUCAUAAUUCACUGAACAGACGCACUCAGCUAUAAAGUCAGAUGUUGUGGGUACUUUUGAAACGCUGUGUAGGUGCAGGGCUGUGCAGCUGAGUUUGAAGUAAAACAGACUUGGAGUUAAAUUCUAAAUCAAUACUGUUGUUAGAUAUUUCUGAUCACCUACAGAUUGGUAGAUCACGAGGUUGCUGGAGGGGAGAAUCUGGUGUCUCAUCACUCAAAGUCUGGCAUGUGCUCGGUGUUUUACUGUACAUGUUACUCAGCGUUUACCAUAGCUUUAUCGUUUCUGCAGGAUGGACUCAGACUUUCUGUCUGGUGUGAGCACAUUAAGAGGAAUAGGAGGGUCUCGCUUAGGCGCAGGUUGACUCUGGAGCUAAGGUUUUUUUUUUUUCCAUUUUCACAAUUUUCAGUUCCUGUUUAAGUGGUUAAAUGGUUGAAGAUUUCAAAGUGAGAGCAUAUCCUAUGCUGUUGAGUUGUUUACAUUUUGAUAAUAUGUCAGGAAACAAGGAUAGAUAUUGAUACUAUGAAUAUUAAUACAAACUUUUCAGUACGAUUUUGCAUUAUUUGAGCAGAAACUACAAUAUCUUGUCAUAUUUUAACCUUCUCUUGUUAGGUGACCUUGAAAGCUUUGACAAGCACCUGUAGAUUAAAUACAUUAUUAUUAAUAUUAAUACCACUGUAAAAUGUCAAAUACAGCAUGUUAGAAAAAGCAGAUGUAAUCUCCAAAUGUAAUUGGGUAUAUGGGUGCACAUACUGGUGCACUGGCAAGGAGAUUUCUUGGAGUAUUUUUAAAUGCUCAGAACAGAACAAGAGCCUGAACAUUGUGCUGCACUGUUGUUAUGAAGUACAGUUGGGUUUUUCCAGUGCUCAAAGAUGCCCCUACCAUCUCUUUAUCUACACAAACGUGUCGUAAAUGGUCUGCUUCAGUAGUACAAACAUGUUCCCAUUCCGUGUAAAUAAAGCCCCCCUCAACAUUUUCCCCUUCCCUUCAGAAGACCAGGAUCCUGUGCCUUUGCAGUGCCCCUGUUUGAGGCUCUACCUCCACAUAGAAGAGCCCCUGAUGCAUAUUUGAAGAGCAGUGGGUUAUAUAUCAGCAAUAAUUCAGAGAGAUGACUUCAGACCCAGUGUUAGAUUAUUAAAUGAUAUCUGUGGCAGAUGCUCCAGCAGUGAAGCGUGUGACAAUGAUUAACCAGCACAGUUACAAGUGCUUUGUCACACCAGCCAUCAUAAAGGAGUACAUGGACACACUGCAGCCAAUCAGAAUCCAGUCAGCUCUACAGCCACUGCCCCACAAAUGACCUCUACCACUAUAUGAGUGAUUUUUUUAUUCAGAGCUUCUCCUUAUAGCAUGACCCCAGUGUCUGUUUCGAUCGCAUCACAUUAUGUGUCUCUCACAGUUAACGUAGCCGGGAAGCAUCCCACUGUGCAUCGAUACAUGACAUGAUGUCCUGCAGUCACUAGAUGAAGUCCUUUGUAGGGCGGCUGCACACAUACACACAUACACACACAGAAAUUCCAGUCUGGCUGUAAUUAUGAGGACUUUGUGAAGAUACCCAGCCUCAGGCUGACUUUAACCCUCUCUUCUCUUGGGUUACAUAUAAAGUUGUAAGUCAGAAAUCUCCAAAUAACCGAGUUGUUGUUUUUUUGGGCCUGCUGUGGCUGUGUUUGGGAAAUAAAAAUCACCGGAGGAGAAAGAAGCACGGCUGUGAGAUUUAUGAUGUUUUGUCAUCUGUCUUUGAAGGUUUUCAAUUCUCAGGAGACGAUGACAAAAACAGUUUUUCUCCUUGGAAUUAUAAGCCCCUAUAAACUCUGUCACAUGUCGUCUUUAUGAGUGGAUUGUUGAAUUGCAGUGAAAAGGGCUCUAUUUCUGUCUGAAAAGGUGCCUUGUACACUCAGUACAAUGUGCAUCUAAGGUCUGAACAUGGAUUUACUCAGCAUAGAGCAACCGUGUGUUUUUACUUGAUGGAUAACUCUGAUUAACUGUAAAUACAAGUUCUGUCUGAGAGACCUGUGCUCCAAAAUUUUAGACAGACCAACACCUGGUUCUGUCUUCCAUUGUGAUCUUGUUGUAACGGGUAUUGACUGGACCCAAUUGCAGCACAAACAAGCAGGUUCACUUGAACAACGGUCUUUAUUUGACACCAAACCAAAUGAAGCAACAAAGUAUAGCAGGUGGGUAUGGCAGGAUUCGAACCCAUGUCUUCCAGGUGCCAGGUGAGCAGGUUAGCAGAGGACCACAGGGCAGGGAAGUAAUCUGGGACUCGUGAGCAGGGAAUUGUCCACAGUCUCAAUUUGCUUUACGAGUGUGGUGAAGGGGAAAACGCUCAAACUCACAGCUGGAGGAAGAUUUCUGGGAGAGUGGUUCAGGUGAGGACUGGGUGAGGAUCCAGAGCUUGCAAUGGAGCUGGCAGAACCGACGUCUGCAGAGGAGGUGAGUUGGCGAGGUGAAGCUGACGAGCAGGGGGAUCUUGACAGAGCAGGAACAGGCUGAGUGCCACCCAGCCGCAGGCAGACGAAUAGCAUGGGAUCAUUUUGUUUUAACAAAAAUGUAAAGCACUUUGAGUCACAUUCCUGUAGGAAAAGUGCUUUAUAAAUAAUUGAUUGAUUGAUUGAUUGAUUGAUUGAUUGAUCUGGGGGUGAAAAUUGACAUCGAUAGGAUGACUUAUGCAUAACCCUCUUUCUAUUACAAACUGUGCCUGUCAAAGUGUACUAUGCUAUGACUGAAUACAUUUUGAAUGCAUUCAGUAAUGACACCCAUUAGUUUUUGACGAUCUAUGCUGAAUUCAUCUGACUUUUGGCUAAUAUAGAUGGUACACCACAGUGUACCGUCUAUAAAGAUGGUAGACGGAGGUGGUAAGGUAAACCAUUGAGUAGCAUUUUUAGCUGUUUACGGCCUUUUUGUCUUAUUAAACAUUUUCAGCCUUUGUGGAGGAUCUGCAACCUCACAGCAAAUUCAAUAUCUGUGCAGUGAUCUGAGUAAAAUGGUGAUACUCGGAUAAGUUUCUCUGAGAGGGUGUGCAGAUGCGGAAUAACACCAAGGGCUCUAUUUUCGUGCCCCGCCAGAGACGUGCAAGGCGUUCCUAAGCACAAUUUGGUACUUUGGUAAGUGGCGCAGCCCGGCAUAAGUAUCCCCCCUCCCUAACUCAGCUCCUCCCAGCGGCGUAGGUCGUAGCGAGGGAGGAUAGAGGGCGUGGAGUGGGUUUAACACAGCCGAGACCUGUAUUGACCAAUAACAUCAGCUCCUCUCCUAUCCCACUGGCGAGGCGUAUUACUAUUUUCGUGAAGUAGUCAAAGAGAUCAAGAGAUGUCUGAAGACAGUAGUGCCACAUGAUGGCGACAGAAGGCAGCUCCUCAACAAGUGUUGCUGUAAGCGCUGCAUUGGGUAUCCUCCACACUCUCUCAUAUAAGCACAGAUGGAUUUGGUGUGUGUAAAGUUGUACCCACUGGUAAGACAAACAUCCCUUUUCACAAAUAAAGACACUCACUUAAAGUUGCACAUAUUCAAACCUCACGUGACAAAGGUGGGUUGUGUGCAGAGAUCACAUCAUAAAAAAAAAUGGCAUUAAAAUCGGAACCAUCUGUGCAUAAUGACACAUCGCGCUCCAUGGUCUGGCUCUUUACCGUAUUCGGCUUAAAGUAAAUAACUCAUUUGAUCUCUGAUACAAAUCAUCUGUUCAGCUGCCGCAGCAGCAGCUGCAGCAGGAUGGGGAGAAGACAUGGAGACCUGCCCAGGUCUGGCUGCACGAGAAAUAAGAAGAAGAGGAAGAAAGAACAGGAGGGAGAUGAAUUACAUAUCUUUUUAACUUCAUCAUGUGUGUCUAUUUACUAGAUAUUUAAUUUAAUUUAAUGUGGUUUCAGCUGUGUUGAUUCGGUCAGGUUGUGUGUCCAAACGCGCUCAUCAGAUCAGAUUAUAUCUAUAUAGAUCUAAAUGUAUGUGCUGACUCAGAUUAUUAGUUGUUGAUGAUUAUUUAUUGCACUGAAAUGUGCCUGAAACUGUGGAAACCUGCCGAUGAGGCAUCAGUAGCCACGUUUACAUGCAGACUUUUUUCUCAUUCGGAUUAUAAUCAUUCCGAUUGAAGCUCCCAGGCGAACUGUUUACAUGGAAGCAAUCUAUUCUGAUCUGGUGUUUACAUGUGCCACGGCAUUCAAUCG